CCCACCAUUGACCUUGCCGGAGUUCACCUCCAUCACGAUGAGAUCCUGUCCCUCUUUCAUAUGUUAGAUUUUCAAUCAGACGACUAGGAUUAGAACACUUAGUUUUAUUUAAACACCAAAACAUUUUUUUAAGCCACGGUUCUCUACCCAUAGCUCUAGCGCACACAGGCCUAAGCCUACCACGGAGCACCACGUGGCCAUAGCCGACCCGUAGUGAUUCCAUUUUUCUGUUUCUUUUUAUUUUUCAGAUGUAGUUUCUGUUUUUGAAUUUGAAUAUCUUUUAUGUUUUAGUUCCUUUUUGAUUCUAUUUGCAUUAGGUUAGAAAUUAUAUAAAGUUUCUGUAGUUUCAAUUUAGUCCAUGUUUGAAAACUUUAAAUCUGAAUUUGAUGAAAUUUGUUCAAGUCACUAAUUUCCUUAUAUGUUGUAUUUAAAAAUAGGUUUUAAUCUCAUUAUUUUUGCUAGUUAUCCGUGGCCUUUUUUUAUCUAGUAGGGUGUUAAAAAUUUCUUUUUGAUUUAUUUAAAUUUGUUUUAUUGCAAAACAAUACUAUUUUGAUUAGGGUUUUGAUUUACCUUCAAUAUUUUGUUUUAAAUUAUUUCUUUUUGUCACUUUUGACAAAUCAUGUUAAGUUUUUGUUAGUCAAUAGUAGACAAUUUUUAUAGGUUUUAAAAUUUAUCUUUUUUUUCUUUUGUUUGUUUUAAAAACUUGUUUAGGUCAUACAUAGAGUUUUAUAAAAGCUUUUUGGUUAAUUAUUUUUGCUAGUGAAAACUAUUAUAAAGUACUUUUUGUUUAUUUCAAUUUUUAUAUUUUCUAUUCUGUUAAUUUGUUGGGCUAGUAUUUUUCUUUGUUGUCAAGUUCUUACUUGGGACAGAAAUAUUUUGUGUGUACAGUUUCUUUUGUAGUUUCUUUAUGGUUUUAUUUUGAAGUUUUAUUUGGAUUUCUUUGAUUUCAUUAUUGUCUUAUUUAUUGCUUUUAUUUGUUGGUUGUUUAUAUGUGUGUUAGAAUUGCUUCUAGAAUAAAUGCUUAUGUGACUGCAAUGUUUGAAUAUAUAGAUUUUCAUUCAGAGGGUGCCGAAUGCUUCUACCAAGUUAUUUUUGAGAGCGAUAUUAAACUUCACAAACUUUACUAGGCAAGUUCAAGUUGUCCAUACGUUCAUACCCUUGUUUGCAUUUAAUGUCACCUUUGCAAUAUUUCCUCCAGUGGUUAUAUUGAAUCUUGUAGUUGGGUAGAAGAUGAGGUAGGAAACCACGCCCCUAUUACUAAAUCCACGAGAACGUUAUUUAUUUUAAUGCUACCCUAUAGUAGACGAGGAUUGGUAUGUGUAAGUGCAUCUAGUGCCCCUUAGUGAUUUUGGUGUAUUGAAAACUUAUCGGUUAAGAGACUAAUGUGUUUGUGAGUGUAAACUUGUCCUAUAAGUCCGUGAGGAGUUUGAUUAUUAGACGGAUGUCGACCCCUAAAAAUCAAUGUCUUCAACUGAAUACUUUGAAGCUUUUUUGAAGACUUUGAAAAUGAAUAAAUUGGCAUGACCUUGAAGAUAUUGAUGUCAGGACUAUGAAGCAUGAAGACAUUUUUUUCGUAGUUUCUUUCCUCUUUUGAGUCAUAGAAAACACCAUACCGUUAAAGGGGGUCGAGGUAAAACUAAGGAACAUUUGCAACUGAUGCUCAUCUCAAAGCCUACGCGUACCCAAUCCUUCAAGUGAACCCUUUGGAAAUAUCUUACACUUUAGUAAAAUUCUUCAGUGACAGGGAUGAUGUUUUUCUACUCACUGAGGAAUUUGGUUUGGAUGAGGAGUUAGGAUUUCGCUAGCACGAAUUUCCUACAAGUCAAGAAUAUGAUAGCACUGAGGACUUUCAUAGUUUGAAAUUAUAAUCGUUGCUAUGGUUAGCGCCAGCUAUCCCAAAAUAUCUUAUCCACAUAACGGUCAUAUCAUUGGGCAUUUAUGUCAUAUCAUAUCGGGUUGCACCCUCACUAUAAAUAGCCACCCCAUAACCACUAGAUGGAUGGCUGCUCCGAGAGAGAACUUGACAAGUGUCAUUUGAGAGCAACCCAUCCUCUGAGGACUUUGAGUGAAAAUCAUUAGUGAGGAAAAGCCCAAAAACCCAAAACCCAAAAUUCCAAAUACCCAAAGUGAUUGAGCAUCACUGAAGAGAUUGUUCCUGUGUGGAACUGAUGCUUGUUACCUUUGAAGACUAUGUAUCUUCCAGACGGUUAUGCAUCAAUGGUCUAGAGAAUCCAAGAGGAAAUUGUGGAUUGCCGGGUGACCGAGAUUGCGAGGGUUUGAAAGUUGGCCCUGAAGACUUACCACCAGUGUUGGGAGAGAUUUGUGUGACCUUAGCUCAAGGUGAAUACGGUAAGGACUGUGUGCCCUGGGACUGUUUAAAUACCAAGGCGCUCCAAACAAGUCAUAUGACUGUCACAUCAGUUGGAACUAGGUCAUAAAAUCAUUGUCUCCACCAAGCCCCUGGUUCUAUUUCCUCAAUCCUUCCAUUUCCUCAAGUACUUGUUGAUGAAAUUAAUCGUUACUCUUUGAAGAAUUUGAUUGAAGAUUUUCUUAACUUUUUCAUCUCAAAUCCUUUAGUCACCUUGUUCUUCACGUGCUUAUCCUGUUUACACGGUACUUGUGCUCUGUGUAUGUUUCAUUUCAUCAUUAUGAAUAUGCUACUUCUAUGUUUUGCAUGCAUUUGAGUACUUAUUCCGCUACUAGUAUUUCAUCGCUUAGCGAAUUCUUCUACUAGUAAUUCUUGAGUGACAAAUUUGUAAACAUUGCCUAUUCACUCCCCUCUAGUCGAUAUAACACACUUUCAGUAUGAGUAUCUCAGAGUGAUGUGAGAAGGAGGAUUCUACGUCAAUAACGACAACUUCAUAAUGGCAUCUUCAAGCCUUACAUCUGCAGGACCUCAAGACUGCAAGACCCGAGACAAGAUGUCAAUACACACUAUUGGGUGGAAUGGUUCCGAGGCACCUUGGAGUAACCAGUUGAUGUGUUGUCAGAUGGAGUAGGCAAGUAUUCAUGUGGAAGGUUCCAUCCAGACUCAAAGAGACGGAUGAAUACUUCAUGUCGAGAAGCUUGCCUGUGCAGCCACAAGUCAUUAUGGGCUCUGGCUUGGUUGAUAUUAGUUGUGACUCUCGCUGGACAAUUGCUAGAAAAUGUAGACAAACAGUAGGCUGGAUGGGCACUUUCAGUGGUUAGGAAAACUCUAUGAAAGACCAUAUUCAUUCAUCCUGUUCUCAAACACCUGAUAGUGCAUGGACAUAAAAGAAGGGAUGAUUCUUGUGGGUAAAGUGCAUAACACUCUGCGGAGUUAACAACCUAAUUAAUUAGCAAUGCCCCUGGUUACGGGCAAUUUGAGCCUCUGGAAUUGGAUCUAUCUCGGAACUCUCAACACCGGACUGAUAAUUAAUUGUGGGCCACUUAUAAUGAUUUAGGCAAUGAGAUAUUGCUUGUGAGAAUCAUGUCAUAUUAGAUAACUAUAUAGUGAAAACUCCUAAUAUUCCUCUGAUGUAGGGAAAAUAAAACCAUCUUUUACACAAAAAAUGAGACAUAGAACCACAAAUCCAUAUUGCAUAUACCAUAGUUUAUCAUCUGCUUUCUUAUUAUGAUCUUGCUUGUAUAUUCAACGUACUGACCUAUGCGACUGCAACGUCUCAUGUUGUAGAUAUUUCUACAAUGACAAAGAGUUAUGAUUUAAGGUUACAGUCUACACUUAAAUUGCCAUUGGCGUUGAUGGGACUCCACCCCCUCAUGAAUGUUUUCCGCUGUGUUACUUAAGGUAUACUAUGGAUCUACAAUAUUUAUUUUACAUGUGAUUUUAUGGUAUUUCAUCGAAGUACUGUGUGUGCCAGCAUACUGAUCUCGGGGUAGCACAGAAAAGAUAGACACUUGACCAUAUUGGGUCGGGUCGCUACAGUUAAACUUUGCAAACUGUGAAUUUUUUAGAGAAUGCUAUUUAUAUCUACCACACCAAAAUGUAUACAAUAUGAAAGUAAAUGUCUGUGAUGUAUCUAAUGAAAUGUAUUUGAAUUCUAGAUGUAUAUGUUUGUAUCUACAAACUUGAUCAAGAUAAUUAAAUGUUGACUUCUCAAAAUAUUUGUCCACGACACAUUGUAGAACUGAUGGAGUAAUAUAUUAGAUCAUUCUACAAUUGCAUUUUAGCUUCUAAUAUUGACUUGCUUCUUGUAGUUACAUAUGUCCUUGGUAUAGAUCCAUGCCUGGACCCUUUUGCGUGUGGGGCAAUGAAAUAUUCAUGAACCAACAUCAAGUGAGGAAAUUGAUAAGAAUUAUUAGGGAAAAGAGAUGACGAUGCCAAUUAAUCUAUUUGUUUAUGCUCUAUCCAAAACAAAAGUGUGUUUUAGGAUGGUGACUACUAACUUUACAUCCUUCUAUUAGUUCUAUCCAUAAUGAGUUGUCACACAACAAUGUCUGAAUAUUUUCUUUUGUAGUUGUUCCCAAAGCAGUUUACUCAAGAUAAUCUCACAAAGUACAAAGUGCAUGAUUGGUGGACGUGCAAUGAAGGUUAAAGUAUUUCAUAGAGACUAUAAUGAGUAUCGAUAAAUCGUAAAAAAGACUGUGAAGGAUGGGUGGGAGGCCAUCACUAGGAGUUGUCCUAGAGUAGUGUGUGCGUUAGGCAUGGAGGAGGGCACAAUUUGGGUAUUCUGCUUCACCUUCUCGAGCAACUAGAAUGUCUUUUGUCCCUCUCUUUACCAUCUUUCACACAAUUGUGGUUCCAUUAUUCUUUAUUUAGUGGUUCUGUAGUUUUCCUUUUUUGCAAAUUGAUGCUUUUGUAGUUCUUGAGUAUAUGUACAUGUGAAUCGAAUUACGCAUUCGCUCUUGAACCUAUAUUUGUACACAUGAUUCGAUAUGAAAUAAAUGUUUCCUACAUUCGAAUUUAAAUUAUGUGAAUUUCGAACACAAGUAUUAAAUUAGGGAUAAAUUAUGCUUUGAAAGCCAUUACAAUGCACACAGUUUGAGAAAGCAGAAUAUUUAUGAUCAACUUCAAGAUCAGACAUGUUUCUCCACUCGCAAUGUGUGUGAUGAAUCUCUUUGAUAUCUCCUUUUUAUAGAUCCAAUGUUGGAACAUAAAAGGGAAUCUCGUGCAUGUUUCCCUAGAGGUGACCCUGGGUAUUGAAUCCACGAGAGGAAGAUUCCCUUGAAGCAAUGGUCUCUAGCAAGCUUUUACCAAAAUGUCAAAUCCAGCUUUUGACCGCAUCAACAAGCAAAUUUUGAUACAAACACUCAUAAUAAAAACAGGUACGGGUAUGAGGUCUUAAUGCUUAAAACCAUGUAUUUGCAUUGGAAACAAAAAGGAUAUUAGUUUAUGCUUGGGAAGUCACCCAUCAAGAUGUGCUUGUUUCAUAUCGAAGCGGGGGAUGUGUCCAAGUAAUAUCUUAAUCGACACGAGUCCUGCAUCAGGAAUCGGUUGUCCUACCGAAGGCCAUAUACGUUUCACACGGUUGCCCCUAUAAUUAAGAUAAUAAUAACAGAAAAAGCAUUGGGUGUUUAAUGAUCACACCUCAUGAAUACCCAAGGAUAUGAUUCAUGUUGUCAUACUAAACCUUAUUUUCAAUGAUGUACGGUAUACCACAUCAUGGUCCCAUUGCUCCUAGCCUCACCGGUGCUCAAUAUCCAUAAUCAUGGAUACCUGCAUGGAUGAAGAUCGCGGACAAGACAAGAGACACUUCAUGAAGAAAUUUUACUUCACACAUAUGGGACGUCAUGUCAAAGAUUUCCAUUGAUCCCCUCAACAAUCACUUAGGGUUGCAAGGCUCAUGCCUCAACCCAUACCUUAUGGAACUACUCACACAAGGAGAUCAGAUUGCGAGAAGAAGACAUUGAAGAACACAUCUUGGGAUUGACUGAUUGCAAUAUGUCUUACAAUGGAUGCCUUGUGCGAUGUGCAAUUACAAGUAUGAACUAGAUGAGAGAGCACUAUGGUGGUGGAGAUGGCUAUGGAGAUGAAAAUGGCGGCGGCUAGGGUUUAUGGAUGAUGAAGAGGCUCUGGCUAUGCUUGACGCUGUUUUGUUGGCAUUUCGACGGGUUCCCCUUUAUAUAUGUUGUUCAGGUGGAUGACUUGCCUCAGCUUCCACGACAAACGACCACGCAUACAGGCGCUUGCGCCCGUAUGGAACACCGUCCUUUGCUUUGAUUAACUUCUCGCGCCUCCCAUUGAUUAUUUUUUCCUUUAUUUUCCUUCCUUUCCAUUCCUCCAUGUGAUUUCUUCCCUUUUUAGCCCAUUUGUUGUAGGAAAAAAAUUAAAGAGAGGAUUUGUGGAAUCCUUUACAUUCAUUAGUCAUUAGUAGCAAUAUCGAAGCGAAUAUCUCUCUUUUAGUGAAAUAUCUCAGUUUAAACAAGGGUGAAAUGAGUGUAAAAAUAUCACUCAUCACUCUAGUGCACACACGAUCAGCCAAGAAAUAAUCUGUGAUAUUAACAACACCAACACACACUGUUAGUUGUUAUCAAGUGUUUGUGAUAGUCUCCUUAUGACACACAAUUUAGUAUCGUGAACUUUUUAUGAUGUCGUUCACAUCAUAAAUACAGGUCAUAGAAGAAUGCAUGUGAUAAUGUCGGGAUAUUCCAGACUCAUCAUGUCUGAAGUGAAAGGUUUGCAACACAAUUCGAUGAUAUAAUGUUGUGAGAUUCUCGGGAAAUGAACCAUGGAAGCCAGCUCCAAAACAUGAGUUGGAUUGCAAGAUACUUAUGAACAUAAUGUCUAGAACGAUCGUGUCCACAUGGAAAUCUUACAACAAAACACUACCGAGUUUAGGUUUGUAGCCAUCAUGAGGAAGUUGAAGUCCUUACAUAAGUACGGAUUAGCUCUUAAGAAGGAACUUCUUUUCCUUCAGCAAAUCAAUCAGUGGCUUGGUGUGCUAGGAGAUACAUAUGGAAUGGAUAUGAUUAGUCUAUCAAACCAUAGAAUACUUCGCACGUGCGUGACUGACUUGGGAUGACUCCAAAGAAACCAAAACGCGCUUCUCAAAUUCAUGGCAGCAACUUGCACCAAAUGCACAUGAAUUUAAAGGAAGUCAAUUGUUAUACCUAACAUAUACUUCAUGUACAAGAAACGAAGAUAUUGCCUACAAAGUUUCCAACACUAGCUUAAUGUCCACCAUAAGUUAUGGAGAAGACAAAGGUGUUUCUCAUGGGCUCAACAAUAGUUCAUCGAAAUAUCCAUACAGAUGGAAUUCCGCAACUCACGUGAGCAAGGUGAUAGCAUUGGUCAGAUCAAAGGAUAUAAGGGUGUAUGCUCAAGGAAAUCCACGAGUAAGACACCAUUACAAAGAACUUUGGUUCUGAGUUUGAUUUGAUGAUAGCCCAUACUGAAAUAAAAAAUUAGACAAGAUAAUAGAUGCAACAAAUGAUCACACAGAUCAGUCCAUGGAAAUAUCAUCUUUCUUCAACACACACACACCCACUCACACACAAGAUAUUCCUUUGAAAUGAACUAAGUUAGGCAAUGCUUUUAUCUUCCAACUCUCCAAGUUGUUGUUUAGCUUAACCAACUACUUUUAGGGUAUCCAACAUAAGUCCUUAGAGAAAGGGUGGUUUAUAGGAAAACCAACUUGGUCACGACCUCAACAUAAUGGUCGGGGGACAACCUCAUAAUACUUCCGAGAAGAUAUUCAGAAAAUCACGGACCAUCGUAUGUUAUUAAGCUUGAGAACAAUCUUGCUUUUCAGGGCAAGAUGAUGUGAUCGAGAGAGCAAUGAAUUGACACAAUCUUAACUCAUUGACCAAAGAGUGCACCAGGAAAAUGGACUAGGUAGCACGAUCAAACUUAGAGUGGUGAUUCAAUGACCAUCACACUAGGAAUGAGAUUAUUGUCCAUUAACUUCCAAGCAAUGAGAUUCCUAGGAGUAUUGAUUUCAUACAUCAUGAUUCAUUUCUCGGUAUUCUGGUUACAAAUAGCACAAAGACGGAGGAAUGAAUAAUGAUGGUAAGGAGUAUCACUUCUUCAAGAGUUCGUAAGAGAUGGUGCAAUUCUCACAACAUCCUUCACAUAAAAGGGUAAUACUCCAAGGUAGUACAGAACAAAAGAUGGAUUGGCAUUUUGAUCUGCGAAAUACAAGUGCUUUGACCAAAUCCAAGAAAUGGAUGAGGCACUGGAGUUUGUUUCUUCUAGUCAUUCUGAAAUAGAGUGACUUGAAGGACCACAAGAAUAAUAUGCAUCCAUGAACAUGAAUGCACAACUACUCUUGACCAUCGACUGAUUGGUAAAGGUCGGAAUACAAUUGAAGAGGGGAAACUCAAGAGCACAUGGCUUCUCUAAGUUGUAGAUGCAUAGGUUAGCAUGUCAUACGAGUUCAACAUAAUUCUUCUGGAUAACCCAUGUAGAAAGGUAGGAUUGGCAGAGUCACAAUUAGAAAGGAGAACUCAUCGAGCACUAUUAUUGUGAUCAUUUAGUUCAUGAAGAACUUAUGCCAUGAUAGUUCAUGGUAUUAGAAUAACGAUAUACCAUGGGCCUCGAGGACUAGAAGAAAGUUACCACUGUAAAGGCACGAGCAAACACUAUCAACAGGAGUGAGCAGAAUGAUCCUCGGGUUUAAGAACGCGGAGAUAGAUUACCAACUACUAUAUAACAUCAUAGGAUGCUUUAGAUAAUGAGGGCCAUAAUCAUCAUACUGGGAACACAAAGUACAAUAAGACUAUUGGGUGGUUCUCUUAGAUAAUAUGGUUUCAUAACACCUACAACAAAUACGUCGAGGUAAUAGAGUACAUCAACACAAUAAUUAGUGUGCUUUGUCUGGCCCAAAAGACAUUAACUCGAUAUGAAAGGAUUUUCAAAUGCAUCAGAUUAUUCAUAAACCUGGAUAACUCGGACAACAUAAUGGUUGUAUGGUCAUGAAAUAUGAAGCAACCUGCAUCAAAGCUGAAAACAUAACAACUUUCCAAGAAUACAACAACUUUCCUAUAGGUCUCUAACAUAGUAACUCGUCAUCUAGAUAGAUAGAUAAGAAAGCCUAGUUCUUAAACCACUUAGAAUAAAGAAGAGUGUGACUUAGAAUUAGAAUGACACAAGGAUAGGAGUAAAAAGAGUCUUACAUUCCCUUCCACAAUCAAUUCCCUUAUAUAACUAAGGGAGUACUAGACACAACAUCAACCAGUUUGGCUUGGUAAUCCUACAUGCACUCAAGCUAUGAUACCAACGCUGUCGGGACCCCGAUCCUAAGACAUAUGAAUCUAGCAUGUAACACAACAUAUCGCUUUCCAGCCUCACACAUGGUAAACUCCAUGGCUUACAGCUUACUUUGGCCGCGACCGUUUGCGUAUUUUGGAUCACGUAUAUGAAUGUGUUGCUAGAAAUCAUGUUAGAGAAACCGGGUCGACAUGACUAGUUAUAAACCCAAGUGGCACAUCCAUACAGGGACAAACAUAUGUAACCCAGCAAUACACGUGUUGGUCAGCAACUGCGUGUAGACAAGUCAUAGCAAGCUACAUGGACUCCAUUACACCGUCAGGCAUUUCUAUCACCAACUGCGUGUAGACAAGUCAUAGCAGGCUACAUGGACUCCGUUACAUCAUGUGCCAUUUCCCCCGUGGGAACACACACAACAAUAAAGAAGGAUACACGCCAGUCAAUCAUUGUGUCUAGAGCAGUAGCAAGCUACCAUGAAUCAGUGGAAGCAACAACAAAGAGGCAUUUCCCUGGAAAGAGGGCUACUAAACGCACACAACUUGGCGUUGAAUCCCACACAUACAAUACAUUUCAGAACAUACACGCAAUAUGCACAAUAUGUGUAGAUACAACAUGGCAUCACAACACAACUCUAUGACUCAAGCAUUUAUUAAAGACUCAUAAGAGCCAACAUAGUGUGAUAUUACAAACAGGGGUCACAUGACCGACCACUCAAAGUCAUACAAGCAUCAAGAGGAAGCAUAACAUGUCUGGGUACAGACAUCUACUAAAAGUGGCUGGAGGAGCCUAAAAAUCUACAACGACCCUACCAAAGGAGCCAGACCUCUGUCUGGGAUUCCCAAGCUAACCCCGGUCAACAUCGAACUUCGCAUAGAAAACUAAUAGUGAGACUGAAGUCUUGCCUGCAAAAACAUAAAUUAAGCAACAGUGAGUACAAAGGUACUCAACAAGACUUACAUCAGAACUAUCUACAAAUGCAUCAUUAUCAACAGUGGAGUUUAUUGCAGCAAGCCAUCUUUGACUCUUGGCUAACCUGUACUACAACUACAAGUAGUAUCUUUGAGGUGGGAUAGCGCACACGAGUCCACAUAUUCACCAAAUCAAUAGACCACUAUGGAUCCACUCCCCAUCUCCCUAUGAGAAGGCCAUCCAUAGCACUCACACUUAUCUUGCGUGUUUCGAGUAUCCUUUUCAAGUUGUCUAUGUACCACAUAAUGUUUUCCAAGUGGUCCAUAUUCGCGGACGCGGCUAUUCGAAUAGAUGAAUUAACCCUGCACGGGUAUACUUCUUCACACAUGCUCUCACCACUUAUCACCAUAUGCAUGUCAUGCAUCUCAGCAACCUUCAAGCGGAAGCACUAGUGUGGGCAUCGGCCACGACCUCACAAACCACAUAAGACUCUAGUCCAGGUUUAUUGCCUAUUUGAGACUGAACGCGCAAGGAAGUUCGGCCGAAGUUUCCAUUACGACCCAAACGAUGUGUACAGGGUUCCCAAGCCCACCUCGACGAAUGGUUCUAUGCUUGAUACACCUGGCCAUGUGCAUAUACCGUGCCAUAGCCUACCUCUCCGGUCAGCUCUAUGCACGGCCGCCGGCAUAUCCUACAACCACAAAAACUAGUUGCAACACCUAGACACGGGUAAGGCGAUUAAUAAGCCAAGAGAUUCAAUUAAGGAUCCGAAUGUGUGGUAGUAUCUUCUCUUGGAUAACAUACAUAGAACUCGGGUCUUAAGGACGGUCCGAAUGAGACAACCCACCAUGUACUCCUACAUGGCCUCUCAACGCUACCUUUACCAAAUCGGAUUCACACACUUUACUCUCACACGGUAGGACAUCAACACAACCAUUAUAAUUCAUCACCCAGAUGGAUCAGACCUGACACAACUCUAAGAAUAGAAGGCACAGUAAGCAAGCAUGGAUGAGUAGGCACAACAAGGCUCAAGCAGUUGCUACUCAUGCUAAGUGGUUUCAACUAUUUACUGUGACAAAGACAAGUCAUGCAAAGGUACAGGUUCAACUAUCGGGAACAGAUAACAGCUGAAUUGUUGUUGUACUAGUGCAGUAAAAGAGAGCAGGAGCGAGAGAGUGGGUUUAUAUCAGUAUGCUCAAGGGGCAUGGGGUGCUUGGUUGGCACUUCUGAAGAUAACAGUGAGUCUUCAUCAGUGACAUCGAUCUUAUCGUUGGAACCACGUCUGUCGAGAGGGAAAACACCGACAAAUAGGAAAAGAACAAACAUUUACUUCGCGGAAAUGCAACACUAUGAUGCAUGAUCAUCACAUGGCAAUAUGUUGUUGUUUGAGCUAAUGCAUCUAGAACAACAUUAAAUGAAGUUGGUUUGAACAAAAGAUUCCAAUUCAAACUUCAUACGUGGUUAUGUAAAUCUCAUUUAUAUGUUUAGUCCUAAACAAAUGGCAUAAGUUGUUCUAAUAUGCAUGAAAAUGCCAUAAUAAGAUUUAUUGGAUUUUUCUAAUCACUUUCAUACAUAAUUUAUUUUCAUCAGAGCUAUAGAUUAUUUUCUAUGAAUUUUCUAAGUUUAUAAUACUUUUUGGAAUUUUCAGAAUAAUUUAAAAUAGAUUUAAUCCAGAAAAUACUUUAUUGCGUCAGCAGUGUGUCAUGAUGAUGCUAGGUGGUCAACUAACCUGGUCCUGGUCAGAAUUGAUAGUUGGGAUCCACUUGUGAGUGAAUUAUUUAUUUAACGAGAGGUUAAUUAUCUUAACUAAAUGCUUAACCUAAUUAAACUAGUGGCUGGUCCCACCUAUCAUUGACACUGGGGUGUCAAAUCUUGGUUAGCCGGGGUCAUACUAGCUGGGGUUUACCCGCGGCUCGUCGCCGGCGAAGCCACAGACGACGGAGGGCAUCGGGUUUUACCUACAUGCGACGGUUUCGAGCGCAGAUUGGCUCUACAGAGAGAUGGGACCGAGUCACAUCUAUUGGUGGAGGAGCUGGACCAAGUGGUCGCCGGAAUCAUGGUCGGCGAUAAGGCGAGCGGUGGCGGCGGCUUGGCCUUGCACCGAUGCUGGGCUACAUAGAACGGGCGAGCUGGAUGAGGGUCCUUGCAGCUUCUAUAGAGCUCCAGUAGCUCGGUUUUGAGCUUGGACGCGCCUGGUGCUAGCCAGAACAAUAGCGGCGCCGUGGCCGGCGCCGAGGGAUCUCAAAGCUCGUGGUGAAGUGGCUAGAGAAAGAAUACGAGAGGGGUAAGGAUGAGCACGAGGAGACUCACACAGCUCUCCUGGCGGGGAGAUGGUGACAUGGGGAAGGCCGCCAUCACGAAGCAGGAGGUGACGCUCCCGCUCGUGUGUUGUCUCACCCUCUCCCUACUCGCGAGAGGAGGGAGAUGACUGGCAGUUGGGCCCGGGGAACUCCCUUUGCCACUUGGGCUGCAUAGGUAAGCGUGAGGUAACUUUCCCUUCUUCCCUUUUUGUUUCUUUUCUAUUUUCUGUAAUAUGUUUUGGUUUGAAAAAAUAUCCAACCACUUUCAAAACUCCUAAAAUUUAUAUGUGGGAUGAAUGGACUUUUCCAAACACACAUCAUAACUUUGAGAGUUAUUGGACAUAUAUCAUAUAUAUAUUAGAUAUAAAUACAAUGCAUAGUUAUUGGUUUAAAUCAAAUUCCCAAUACAAAUAAUCAUGUGAGUCCAAAAAUAUUGGUUUGAAUUUUACCUCUUGCAAAUAUUUUCACGGAAUAACAGGAACAUUUUCUUGGACUUAUUUGAAGCAAUUUUGUCUUGAUUAUUUUGACAAAAAUGAUUUCCGAGGCUUGCUAAAUCCCCAAUUCAAUUCAUUUUAAUUUUAAAAUACAUGCAUGAAAUGCAAUGACAAGCAAAUCUAAAUUAGGGCUGUGACAGAGAGACCUUCAACGGACAUGGGUAGUACGAAUAAAAUGUUUGGGACAUUUUAUAUACCAGAAACGUUUAUCAAUAGCACAAUGUGUGGGAUAGAUUCAACCUUCCCAUAUGGUUUUAUAAGAUAAAUGUAUGCACUCUUAGAUCCCAUUACAGACGAUCUCGUAGAACUAGAUGUGUGUAAUAGUCCCCUUAUCAUACAAAUUUUACAAUCACAGAUUAAUUGUGACGCGGCUCACAUCGUAAAUGGUGCAUCACAGAAUAGCUCAUGCCAUGGUAAUGCAAUCCCAUACGAGUAGCAAGGAUGUACCAUAUGGGAAAUAUGACAUAUCUCAAAUGGUUGACCGAUGAAUCUUUUUUGUGAUAGAUGCACACAUCGCAUCCGCUCACUUAUGCCAUACAUUUGUGUUCUUGUUCCAUAUCACCAACGAUUUCUUUUGUAUCGUGUGGUAUGGACCCCCCCUAUCGCACAGACACGCAUAGCGACUGUUUAAAACUCUUUCGUGGAAAGGGGGUAAAAUUGUUUGUAUGCGACGUCGUUGCACCAGUGUGUACGUUCAGGCAUGGAAGUGGAGGACUACGCAAUGUGAUUUAGCAACGGAGUAAAGCGGAAUAGUUGGCACAAAUUCAAUAUGAACAUGGCGACAUUCACCGAUAUGAUCCACAAUUGGGCCUUGUGAUCGAGUUCGGGAUUAAGGGAUCCUCGGGAAGUCGGCUUACUAUGAAGAGGUCGGCCUGAUGGGCCGUACAAGUUGGAGGCCGGGUUGUGUGGUUGUCUCGUGCUCAACCAGGAAAGCGUUGAAGACCGGUGUGACGUCCAAGUAAUGUAUAUCAGGUCGGUUCUAUGUAACCUAGGUCCCCUGGUGAUUAUAAAAAUUGGGGGUCCUCAUCCAUGUAGAUAGGUUGAUUCACCUAGGGUUUAAUAUACAUGAUCUUGAGGUAGACUUUGUAAUCAUCAUCCACAUCAAUAUAAUCAAUCAUGACGUAGGGUUUUACCUCCUCAAGAGGGCCCGAACCUGGGUAAACACUGUCUCCCCCUCUUUCCUGCAACCCAUCGAUCUAAGAUCCACAGUUCGGGACCCUCUACCCGAGAUCUGCUGGUUUUGACGCCGACAUUGGUCCUUUCACUCAGAGUUCCACUGAUUGGAUCACCGGAAGGUCGAUGGCAGGCCUAGUAAUCACCGAGGAGAUCAUCAACAGGGAUGUCUUCGUCCCCGGACAAAUCUUCACUUUUGGAAGCAUCAUUCUGCAUGCCAAUCCGACCGGCCACCUCAGCCUGGUCGAGAACUUCGCUCCAGUCAGGAAGUCAGGUUUGGAACCUAGAUUUCACCACUGACCCCAGGGGAUAUCUUGCAUUAACAAGACUCUUAGCACCUCUCGAAGAACCAACGGGUCCUGAUACUUCGGCAUCGGAAACCGCAAAUCUCACCACUGGGACGACCUGCAUCCCCACCCUGGCCCUAGAGCUCGACAUGGUAAACACGCAUGAGCUCGUCUCAGCCGAGGACACUCUGGAAAUGACCUUCAGCGCCAUGGGUUAACCCCCGAACUAUUAAGCGUCACGUGCUCCACCGAAACCUCGGUGCUACACGAACUACUCGAUUAGAUAGACGUCAUGGGCAUGAAGAAAGAUCAUGCUACAGUCUACGAUCAUAUCGGGCUUAGACACGACGGCAGGGAAAUUUACACCCUGCCCAUCACAUACUUGGUCAAGAUCGUGAUUACGCGCUCCCCGCACUAGCCACCAGAGUUGAGGACAGUUUAUUUCCCAAUGAAUGACCAUCCGGACUUACCCGAUAGUCCGAAGAACUAACCUCGCCCGGGUAGUGUCUUGGGGCCAGUGGCAGGUCCAGUGCGUGACCCAGCCGGGAAUGUGACCAUUAAGGUCUCUUGCCCACGAAUCACGGGAAUUCAAAAUCUUUUCCCACCAACCACCCAACUCGAGCACAACGCAAAAGAGUAUGGUUCUUAAGCCCCACGUGAAGCCACGCAACGGGCGGGGGAAUCAGUACACCACUUUUGGGCUAGAUUCCUCCUCAACAACAGGAAGAAGUCUGCGAUGAGCAGGAGCUUAUUCGUGCUUUCCAGCAUGAUGGCCGUGAUGAGGGUAUCCUGAAUGCCCUGUGCCAUCGUUGGAUUCAAACCCUCACCGACUUGUCAAGCCUAGUACUCAAAUACUGUGCCAUGGAAAGCAGUUGGCAAAUACAACAAAUGUGCAAUGGCCCUACAAUUGUCGGACAAACCAUACAACCCCGAACAAGACGUACACCCUUACUCACGGGGCUGGUCACCACCGGACACUCAACAAAGAGAACACGAACGAGGGCUAAGUCAGUCUUGGAUGUACUAAUAGACAAGCCAUGCCCCAUACAUUCUGCCCCGCCUGAAUCAAGCUCCACCCAUAGCCUUAGAGCAUGUUGGGUCGUCAGGCACGUACCGGCGGAGCACCGGUCAGUAAUUCCACCAGAUACAUCCACAGAAAUCUUAACGAUCUACAAGACGUUCACCUCAAAAAAUCAAUGAAAGAGAGCCUUUCAGGAGCUCCAUCAAAUCCACCAUGUAGCAGUGGAAAACCCAUGGACGAACACACCUAUCACCUUUUACCACGGCGACAAGCCGAUGACUAGCACAGGUCGGGUACCUGCCUCCCUACUCCUGAACCCCAUAGUCGACGACUUUAGACUCAACAAAGUACUGAUGGACGGGGACAGCGGCCUCAACCUCAUCUACAAGGAAACACUUGAAAAAAUGUAGUUCAACCAAUCUCGAAUAGAGACAAGCACAACCAGCUUCCGGGGUAUUGUCCCCGGCAAAGAGGACCGCUGCACCAGACGAGUAGCGCUCGACGUGGUAUUCGGUACACCUGAUUACUACAGAUCUCAAGAGCUCCUCUUUCAUGGCAUCCCGUUCCAUAGCGGUUACACCGCAACGUUCGGACGCGAAGCCUUCACAUGAUUCCAGGCCAUACCAUACUACAAGUACAUGAAACUCAAAAUUUGAGGGCCAAAUAGAGUGAUUACAGUAAACAGCGACCCCAAAAGAGCCCUUUGACCUGAAAACAAAAUGGCUUCCCUAGCAUGGAGGUUCUAGCGGAGACCCUACCACAGAAGAACUCAUAGCACUACGCGCCCUGGUGGACAAAGACGACGUGAUCCUCAGCAAGUGGCCCAAAUCCACAUCCUUCAAACCUGUCGAUGAAAUCGACAAGCUCCACGUACACCCAACGGACCCAGUAAAACAACAUCUAUCGGGGCACAACUGGAGUACGAAAUCUACAAAGCACUACGGACCUUUUUGCGCAAAAAUUGGGAUAUAUUUGCCUCGCACCUCUCAGACAUGCGAGGAAUUCCUCUGGGGCUGGCAGAGCACAGCCUGAACAUAAUCACCGGUUUCAAACUUGUCAAACAGGCCUUGCGCCGAUUUUCUGAACUUAAGCAUCAAGCCAAGAGUGAGGAGCUUGCCAAGCUAUUGGAAGUCGGGUUUAUUAGGGACAUUAAACACCCCGACUGGUUAGCAAACCUGGUCAUGGUACCAAAGAAGGAUAAAUCUUGGCGGGUAUGUGUCGAUUUCAAAGACCUAAACAAAGCCUGCCCCAAGGAUCCUUUUCCGCUGCCCCGAAUAGACCAAAUUAUCGAUGCUACACCCAAACAAGAUUCCUUGUGUUUAAUCGACGCCUACUCCGGUUACCAUCACAUGAAGAUGAAGGAAUCUGAUCAUGCGGCAACCUCUUUUAUAACACCCUACGGGCCAUUUUGCUGUAACACAAUGCCAUUCGGGUUAAAAAAUGCGGGCGCCACUUACCAAUGCAUGAUCCAGACAUGCUUGGGGAAACAAAUCGGCAAAAUGGUAGAGGCAUACAUGGAUGAUGUAGUCGUUAAGGCUAGAUACGUCAACCAGCUGGUGGACGGCCUCAAAGAAACCUUUGCCGACUUACGGGCAUACGAUAUUCGGAUUAAUCCGGCUAAAUGCGUCUUCGGAGUCCCACUCGGUAAGAUCCUCGCAUUUAUCAUGUCGAAAAGAGGAAUUGAAGCCAAUCCGACCAAAAUAUGAGCAUUGUCAUAGCUUGCGAUGCCAACAGAGUUACAACACGUCGAAAAGUUCGCAGGGUGUGUGGCGGCCUUAAGACGAUUUAUAUCUCGUCUCGGCGAGAAGGCCCUCCCGCUCUAUAGGUAGCUGAAGAAAACCAAAGAUUUCAAGUUGACUAACGAGGCCAGAACGGCUCUAGAGGACAUCAAGGCGAUAUUAGCCAGCAACCCCAUACUAGCAGUGCCCUUCACAGGGGAGCUGAUGCUACUAUACAUCUCAGCCACCAAUAAAGUUGUUAGCACGGUACUCGUCGUAGAACGAGAAGCUGAGGGCCAACAACUACGGAUUCAAAGGUCGGCCUAUUAUGUAUCCAAAGUGCUCACACCAUGUAAAACGAGUACCCGCACUACCAAAAGAUCGCCUACAUAGUCUUUAUGGCAUCACGGAAGCUUCCACACUAUUUCCAAGAAUGUGCGGUCACUGAAACUUCAGAAGUUCCAUUGAACGAUAUCAUCAACAAUAAGGAUGCCACCAACCUAAUAGCCAAAUGGGCCAUCGAGCUCUUGCCAUUCGAGAUCACUUACAAACUGAUACGUCCCAAACGUAUCUAUAAUUUCUGCUUGUUCCAUGAUCUUUUGGGUGACAUUGUUAUAUGUUUUGCUACACUUUUAUAUCAUUUUACACAUAUUUGGACUAACCUACUAACUCAGUGCACCCAGUGCCAGUUUCUGUCUACUGAUGUCUAUUUUGCAGGGGCUUUUACCCAAUUUUCCGAAGCCCGAAAAAAUCCAGAAAUAUAUAUAUAAAAUCAGAGAAAUGGAAGUUUCCGGAUCACCAAAGAUGGGCCACAGGGGGCCAGGGGGUCUCUUGGGUGGGUCCCACCUCCUCCGGUGCCCUCCUUUGGCCUAUAUUUAGAGUCCCGAGAGGAAACCGUCGCAGACUUUCUGGAAUCAAGAAUUUGUCCAUCGUUCCGCCGCCGCAGCGCUUCUGAGAUCGGGAGCGUCAAGAGACCUCAUCCCGGCACCCUGCCAGAGGGAGGAUUGACCUCCGGGAGCUUCGCCACCGCCACGGACGCUUUCUGGACGUGUCGUGAGUAGUCCUCCUUGGACCAUGAGUCCAUGACCAAUAGCUAUGUGAUGUCUUCUCUCCAAUUUUGUGCUUCAAUGGUUAGUCCUUGUGAGCUGCCCUACAUGAUCAAGGCAUCUAUGUAACUCUCUUGGAAUUUCUAUGCUCGGUUUGUUGGGAUGUGAUGGAUUACGAGAUUAUGUUCAGAUUGUUAUGAGUUAUAUAUUUGAUUAUCCUUUUAUAUUAUGUUCCUUAGUGAUUCAUGCAUGUUCUUCAUUGCUAUUUAUCGCUUCGGCCAAGUAGUAGAUUAUAAGUCCAAGAGGGAGCGUUAUGCAUGAUUGUGGGUUCAUAACCCUCGAUGUCUAGCUUGAGUGACAAAAACAUGAGACUAGGGGACAUGCUUGUUGCCACCAGGGAGAAAACAAUGGUGCUUGUGACCGCAGUUGCAAGGAUUGUUUACCUUACGCAUAGUUCGUUAAUGCAGUUGUCCGUUGCUUUGAGUUUACACUUCGGGUGGGGCUCGCAACUUAAUACCGGAGAGAUGUUCUGGAUAGAUAUCUCAAGGUGGAUGAUUAGUAAGUAGAUGUUGAUGAAUAAAUGGUCUACUUGUCUUGGCGUACUACCCAUUACUAUUGAACUCUAACUAUCAAGGAGCAUAAUUAGCAUUGCGGUGCGGUCAUAAUUCUGCCAAUUGCCCAACUGUGAUUUGUUUACCCUAGCAUAGUUGUUUAUCGCCUUUUGGGAGAGACAUCACCAGUGAACAUCAUGUGACUCCGGUCCAUAUCACCAUCAUUGUUUACACUUCCAUCAUUUACUGCUUUCAUUUAAUUUUCCGCUGCAAUCACUAUUACUUUCCCGCUUGUGUUUUGAUCCUUUGCAAACUACAAGGCCGGAGAGAUUGACAACCUCUCUGUACUAGUUGGGGGCAAAGUUAUUUGUUGUGUGUGUAGGUACACGUCUUCUGCUAGCGCCAUGGUGGAAGACACCUACUUGUUGAGCCUAGGAGUCCUCUUGGUUCGAUAAACCUUACAGUCUCCGUGUAAGGGAAAUCUUCUACUCACUACAUGUCCACCUUCCACUUGGGGUAACCAACGAGGGGCGAGAAGUAUAUCCAUCAACUCAUCAUCAAGCAAAUUUCUGGCGCCGUUGCCGGGGACUCUAGUCUUCAAGAUUGGGGAGUUGCACGCUAUCUUUUACCUUUGCUUUUUAGUCUUAUUAGUUUGCUUUCCAGUUUUUGCUUUCUAGGUUUUGCUUUAGUGUCUAAUACCAAAAAACCACAAAAAAUUAGUUGCUUUGUUCUUGCUUGUUGUUGCUACUAUGGGUUCCACUGAGAACACUAAGUUGUGUGACUUCACUAGUUAGGCUUAUGGAAAACUGCACUCUUAGUUCACUGCUUGGGGAAGGCCGCUUAACCACACCCGUGGUAGAGAAGUCUCCUCCACCUACUGAAUGUAUCCCAUUCAAAAUACCACUUGGGAUAAUUGAAAUAAUUAGGAAUGAUUGUUAUGCAUGAGAUGGAACAGUCAAUCCUAGUAUUCAUUUGUUGAAACUUACAGAACUUUGUGAGUUGUUUAAGAUUUCAGGUUUGACAAGAGAUGGAGUCAUGAGGAAAUUAUUUGCCUUGUCGCUGAAAGGAAAAGCAUUGGAAUGGUAUAGGCUACUAGAUGAUUCUCACCUACGGGAUUGGGAAGAGAUUCAAUCUCUCUUUUACUCUUCAUGAAGUCCAUGUGGAUCAUGGUAACAAUGCUUUAUGUGAUACUUAUAUUGUUGAGUUUAUUCAUGAUCUCACUGAAAAUUAUUAUGAGAAGGGAACAUAUGCUUAUAGAUAUUUCAAUAAUAUAAAAUUCCCUCUCUUUAUGUUGAAGGUUUUGAAGCUACACUUGUUUUGCCUUCCUAUGCUUAUUGCUUUGUGCUUCAAUGAAUUAUUCUAUUACAAUGUUCCUAUGCAUAGGAAGCAUGUUAGACUUAAAUGUGUUUCAUAUUUGCUUCUUGAUGCUCUCUUUUGUUCUACAACUCUUAUUCCUACGAGAGCAUUAUUAAAAUCUUUAGCCUGUCUUUAUGGCUAUAAAGAAAGAGCUCUAGGUAGACAACCCUUGUUAUCUUUACUUUGAGUUUUUAAUUUUAGUUUUAUUGGUCUUGAUGUGUAUUACUACCGUAGAAACAUCAUUGUAUCUUUAUUUAUAAGCUUUGUGCCAAGUUAUAGCCUCCGAUUGCAAGAAAUUUCAAAAGUUGUGACGUACUUUCCAAAAAUAGAUUCUGUCUGCUUGACGGAAAAAUUCGCCAAAACUCACCAGAUCAUCUUUCUGAUCUGAAUGUUUUUGACAGUAUGCUAUAUAUAAUUGCCUCUCUUGCAUAUAUUCUGAGUUUUUUUAUUUGAGUUGCAGAAGCGCCCCGAAAAAUUUAUUUACUACCCGUUGUUCUGUUUUUCACAGAUUCUGCCAUGUUUUGCGUUUUCAAUGUUUUGCAAAUCCUAAGCUUAGUUUUUCUUGCAAAAACCUUUUGGUAAUCAUGAUAAGCGGUAGAUUUUCACGAAAAUAUUUAUUUACAACAGGAAUUGAAUUAUUUUAUUGAGGGAACUAACCACUCUAAUCAGCUUAUGAUGAGUUUCGUAUGAAGGGAGUUUUCAAGUAUGCGAUGGGACAGAUGAUGAAAGAAGAUACAGGGGUGUCAAGCGCUCAAGCUUGGGGAUGACCCAUGCACCCUAAGAAAUAUUCAAAGGAUACUCAAGCGUCUAAUCUUGGGGAUGCCCCCAUGCAUCCCCUUCUCUAUCAACAAUCAUCAGGUCGUCCAUCUCCAUGCUAUAUUUUUAUCACUUCAUAUGUUAUGUGCUAUGCUUGGAGCGUCCCGUUAUUUACUUUUUAGUUUAUUUUAGUUUUGCUUGAUGUUCAUAACAAGUCGGAACCUAGGCUACCUUUUUUGGGAGAGAGACACGCUCAAUUCCACUCUAGAACAGAACAUAGGUUUUCAUGCUUAUCUUUUUUGUGUUUUCUUCAUCUUUUAAUAGCUACUGUCAUGCUUAGCUCUUAGUUUUCAUGCUUAUAUUUUUAAGAACUAUUAUUUAGGUUGCUUCUGGAACUCUCUUGCAUUAUCAUGCUUAUCUUGUUUAGAGCGUUGGCUCGUUGCACUAAGUUGUGUGUCUUGCAUGAGUAGAUAAUUGAGAUUGCUAUUUAAGUAUAGUAGUAACCUGCAAUAGUUUUGAGGUAUUGAUUUGAGUAAUGUUUGGAGUAUUGGUGCCAAGAGCUUGAGCCUAUUAGUGAUAGGUGUCGUAUUUUGGGAAAUCUGUGUGUUCUUCAAAAACUAAAAAUUAGUUGAGAACUCUAGAUACUAAAUUGAUCGCUAACCUCUCGAGGGGUUGGAAUAUAUAGAGUACCCUCACAUUACCAGAGUCGAGGAUGUGCAAGGAUAACCAAACCCCCAAACACUCCUCCUCGGGGUACUUGUCUCAUUGUGAAUUUCUUAACUAGAUAGAGAGUUAUCGAUAAUAAGUGUAUGAGUUCUUCGGACUAAUGUGAGUAUUCGAUUGUUGGCACUUCCACCAUCCAUAUUUUGCUAGCCUCUUCGGUACCGUGCAUUGCCCUUUCUCACAUUUAGAGUUGGUGCAAACUCCGCCAGUGCAUCCAAACACAUGACAUGAUACGCUCUGUAAUACAUAAGCCUCAUUAUAUCUUUCCUCAAAACAGCCACCAUACCUACCUAUUAAGGCAUUUUCGUAGCCUUUCCGAGAUACAUUGCCAUGCAACAUCCACCAUAUCAUGACUUGAUCUUCACGUCAUAAUGCUUUUGCUUGACCGUAGAGCCACAUCCUAGUUGGGCCUUGCCCCUAUUACUGCUACAUGACGCAUUGGUAUCAUUGCAUAUCCUGCUACACUGGCAGAGGCAUACAUUUGCAUACAUCAUGAUAGUUUUCACUUGUUUUUAUGUUGAGUACUUCUUAUAAAGUAUGAUGAUUUUUAUUUUAUUCAUGUAAAACAUAGAGUGUUUCCCUUAAGAGAGGAAAAGAUCCCAAAGUGGACAGAACAAAAGAUCCCAAAGAGGACAAAUGAGAGAUAAAAGAAAGAGCCAAUGAGGGCACACAAAAAAAGAGAAAAAUAAAAAUAAAAAUAAAUAAAAGAGAGAAGGGGGCAACCCUACUAUUCCUUUUGAAAGAUCCACACUCGUACUCCAUUACUAUAUUGGUACAACAUAGAGAUUAUCAUUCAUGCAUAACUAUGUGGGGACCCUUACACUAUAGAACUUGGUUUGCAUAUUCCAAUGAUGAGCCUCCUAAAAUGAGCUCUAGGUAUUCAUGAGCAAACAAGUUGGAUGCACCCCCACUAGUUCCAUUGCAGAGCUUACCUUAGCUCAUAUGUGCAUCCGUUACAUGGCAAUCCCUACUCCUCACAUCAUAUCUAUCAUUUGGCUUUCUCUCGCCUAUGGUUGUCCUCAUUGAUGUGAGCCUUUCACACCUUUUUGUCUUCCUUUCCCAUCAUUAUUCUAUUUGCCAUCCUAAGUGCCAACAUAUCUUGCUUACGCUCAUCCAUUGCAUGAGUACUCAAAGUCGAAAGGGAGAGGAUCAUUUUGACUUGUGCCUGACUAGUGGUCUGGGGAUGAGUCAAAAUAAGAUUCUGAAGGAGACUAAGUGUGAGGUUUAGUAGGUUGAGUUCUCAAUUAAAAAUAUAUAUUUUAUGAUCUCAACCCAUCUCCCACUUCUUGCACGCAAACACCAUUUGGAGACAUUCGAGUCACGGACAGCGAGAGCUCUUGCACCUUAAUGUUCUUACUUUGUUAAAUUCAAUACUAGAUAUAGACUCUUUCAUGUUAUUGUCUUGAUUUGAAUUGCAUAUUUUACUUGCUUUACUUUCAAGUUCUUAUAUGUGUGUUAGCAUGUCACCACAGAAAUUAUUGUGUUAUCAUUUAUCUACUCGAGGACGAGCAGAAAUUAAGCUUGGGGAUAUUGAUAUGUCCCAAAUGUAUCUAUAAUUUCUGCAUGUUCCAUGAUCUUUUGGGUGACAUUGUUAUAUGUUUUGCUACACUUUUGUAUCAUUUUACACAUAUUUGGACUAACCCACUAACUCAGUGCACCCAGUGCCAGUUUAUGUCUGCUGAUGUCUAUUUUGCAGGGGGAUUUUACCCAAUUUUCCGAAGCCCGAAAAAAUCUAGAAAAAAUAUAAAACAAAUCAGCGAAACGGAAGCUUCCGGAUCACCGAAGAUGGACCAGAGGGGGGCCAGGGGCUUCCCAUGCGGCCUGCUGGCACGGCCAGGCCCUAGGCCACACCAGAAAGUCGCCUCGGUGGGUCCCACCUCCUCUGGUGCCCUACUUUGUCCUAUAUUUAGAUUCCCGAGAGGAAACCCUCGCAGACUUUCUGGAACCGCGAAUUUCUCUAUUGUUCCGCCGCCGUAGCGCUUCCGAGAUCGGGAGCGUCAUGAGAACUCUUCUCGGCACCCUGCCGGAGGGAGGAUUGACCUCCGGGAGCUUCUCCACCGCCAUGGACGCUUCCCGGACAUGCCGUGAGUAGUCCUCCUUGGACCAUGAGUCCAUGAGCAGUAGCUAUGUGAUGUCUUCUCUCCAAUCUUGUGCUUAAAUUGUUAGUCCUUGUGAGCUGCCCUACAUGAUCAAGGAAUCUAUGUAAUUCUCUUGCUAUUGCUAUACUCGGUUUGUUGGGAUCCGAUGGAUUAUUAGAUUAUGUUCAGAUUGUUAUGAGUUACAUAUUUGAUUACCCUUUUAUAUUAUGUUCCUUAGUUAUUCAUGUAUGUUCUCUGUUCUAUUUAUUGCGUUGGCCCAGUAGUAGAUUGUAACUCCAAGAGGGAGCGUUAUGCAUGAUUGUGGGUUCAUGCUCCUCGAUGUCUAGCUGGAGUGAAAAAAACAUGAGACUAGGGAACGUGCUUGUUGCCACCAGGGAGAAAACAACGGUGCUUGUGACCACAGUUGCAAGGAUUGUUUACCUUACGCAUAGUUCAUUAAUGCAAUUGUCCGUUGCUUUGAGUUUACACUUGGGUGGGGCUCGCAGCUUAAUACCGGAGAUAUGUUCUGGAUAGAUAUCCCAAGGUGGAUGAUUAGUAAGUAGAUGCUGAUGAAUAAACGAUCUACUUGUCUUGGCGUACUACCCAUUACUAUUGAACCUCUAACUAUCAAGGAGCAUAAUUAGCAUUGCGGUGCGAUCAUAAAUCUGUCAAUUGCCCAACUGUGAUUUGUUUACCCUAGCAUAGUUGUUUAUCGUCUUUUGGGAGAGAUACAUCACUAGUGAACAUCAUGUGACUCCGGUCCAUAUCACCAUCAUUGUUUACACUUCCAUCAUUUACCGGUUUCAUUUACUUUUCCGCUGCAAUCACUAUUACUUUCCAGCUUGUGUUUUUGAUCCUUUGCAAACUACAAGGCCGGAGAGAUUGAAGACCUGUGUGUACUUGUUGGGAGCAAAGUUAUUUGUUGUGUGCAGGUCCACGUCUUCUGCUAGCGCCAGGGUGGAAGGCACCUACUUGUUGAGCCUAGGAGUCCUCUUGGUUCGAUAAACCUUACAGUCUCCAUGUAAUAGAAAUCUGCUGCCAACUACAUCUGCACCUUCCACUUGGGGUAACCAACGAGGGGCGAGAAGUAUAUCCAUCAACUCGUCAUCACAAACCACGAUGAGCCACCAAAUCUUAGGUCUUGUACGACUUCGUGGAUGAAUGAGCCGAGGCCGAACUUCCCAGAGAGUAUAGCACUUAUGCUCAUUGGACCAUGUAUUUUGUUGGGUCCAAAACUCUCGCCGGUCUGGGGGCUGCAGUGAUUCUCACAUCCCCUACCGGGGAUAAUGUUCGGUACAUGCCAGAAAUCAUGUAUGCCGACUCAAACAAUGCAGGAGAAGACGAAGCGCUAAUACACGGUCUUCGGAUGGCGGCCUCAAUGGGCAUACAACCGCUCGAGGUACGAGGAGGAUCUAAUCUCGCCAUCUCACAAAUCAACGGUGAAUUUGAUGCAAGAAAUCCAAAGAUGGCGGCUUAUAGAAACACCGUCCUCAAAAUACUAGCACGAUUUGACGGGCUAGAGUUCGACCACGUCAACAAUAACCAAGCAACGGACGUUCUCUCCCACUUAGGCGCAAAGCGCGACCCCGUCCCGAGCAAUAUAUUUUUAGAAUGGUUUUUCAAGCCAUCCGUAGUAUGGCAGGACGAGAUGGGCCGCACAGGAGCCGAUGGCUAAGAACAGGUGGUACCCCCAACAACCGAGCAAGACGGUCAAGUGAUUGGCAGAACUUCAAUUGAAGAAACAUCAUCGGCCCAUGAGGUCAUGGCCAUAAUCGCACCAUGGACCAAACCCUUCCUUGCUUAUCAAUUACACAAGGAACUCCCAGAUGACCAGGCCUAGGCGCGACAUAUCAUCCGCCGAUCAAAGGCUUACAAGGUCCACAAGGGCAAUCUAUAUAAAAAGAGCACCACAGGAGUACUCCAGCGGUGCAUAUCCGGGGAAGAGGGAAGGCAACUUUUGGCCGAGGUACAGGUCGGUAAGGGCGGUCACCAGGAAGCAGCCCAGACCCUUGUCAGCAAGGCUUUUCGAGCUUGUUUCUUUUGGCCGACAGCCUGAGUGGAUGCCCAAGCGCUCGUUUAGUGUUGUACGGGGUGUCAACUCUUCGCAAAUCAAAGCCACAUGCCCCCAACAGCUCUUCGGACAAUUAUGAUCACAUGGCCCUUUGCGGUCUGGGGUCUGGAUAUGGUCGGCCCACUUAAAGGGGGUACUAAGAAAAAGAAAUACCUCCUGGUUGUGGUGGACAAAUUCACCAAAUGGAUUGAAGCAAAGUUGGCUAGCUCCGCCAAAGCUAAGCCAGUAAUCAAAUUCAUCUCCUGUGUCGUACAUCGUUAUGGUGUUCCGCAUAGCAUAAUAACACACAACGGAUCCAAUUUCACCGCCCAGGAGGUAAAAGAUUGGUGUGCAACCUUGGGCAUCAAGCUCGAUUAUGCCUCCGUAUACCACCCGCAGACUAACGGACAAGUCGAAAGAUACAAUGAGCUCAUUACGAGAGUUAUUAAACCUCGGUUGGUCCGCUCCCUUCAAGAAUCUGAUUUCCAAUGGGUUGAGGAGCUCGACUCCGUACUAUCAGGCUUGCACACCACCCGAAAUUGUUCUGCAGGGUACACCCCUUUUUUAUGGUGUAUGGGGCUGAAGCAGUCCUCCCCUGUGACAUUAUACACGAUGCACCGCGGGUGCAUAUGUACAAGAAAAAAAGCCGAGCUAGAUCGGCAAGAUGACUUAGAUGCACUAUAAGGUGACCGUGACAUAGCCCUGGCCCGAUCCGCUUUCUACAAUAGCAAGCUAGGCUCUAUCAGAGUAGGGAAGUUCGGGCAAAUACACACAACAUUGGAGAACUCGUCCUACACCUCCCCGAGAAUCAGAAGCACAAACUUCACCCAAAGUGGGAGGGCCCUUUUAUAAUUGAUGAAAUUUUAACAAGAGGAGCUUAUCACCUGUGCAAUUCCGAGGACAGCCGCCUUGAGCCAAACUCGUGGAAUGCAGGUCGUCUUUGGUGUUUUUACGGCUAGACCAACAUCAUCACCCUUUUUCCGCCUUUUCCUUUUUUUCAGUUUUCGCCCUAAAUUUUUUUUAUCUUUCCUCUGUAGGGCUUGUUAGUUGUUGUUGGGGCAUGUUCGGCUUAACCGAACAUCCUCAAGCAUUUAGCACCUGGGGGCUUCCUUAAAAAGUCACUCAAUGUAUUUUCCAUACCUACUUGUUUAUAUAUACACCUCGACUUAAAACAUCGAUUUCAGCCAUUUUAUGCAUCAAUUGGACCUAAGAGUUUAGCAAUGCUGGGUUGCCUCGCUCUUGUGCUUACUCUCUAUGUUCCCUAUAUGUUCAGCUAGAGGGUAAAGGAAGCACUGCUGCGAUUGUAAUGACCGGUUCGCCCAUCCACUCGGCAAUUUUACGUCAUAAAAAGGAUGUCCCCGUUGCACGGAGAAACGGCCACACCGACUACAAACUAUGUAGUAACCCAGAAAAAGAAACCCAUCAAGGAACUAUUUUUUCCAGAAGAUGUUUCUUACGUCUCGUCGUAAUAUAACAUAAUCCCCCCGUAUAAUCUUUUUCUGUUAGUACCACAUGGCCGGAUUGCCUCGUUAUCAGAAAUUAAUUCCAAAUUUCAUAGAUACCAAGUACGAACCACUGCCCAGUUAUAAUAGGGGGGUAGAAGCCGAUGCCCGCUUAAGAACAGAAUUUUCAAAACAUGGAGGGAAGUGCCUUAACACACAAAUAUUACAUUACAUAUGAUCACAUUCUUGGUGACUCGUCCAGUUGAUCUAUCAUAACAUCUAAUGUGCAUUCCUCCUGUGACAUGCGUGCGGCGGGCAUCACUUGAUCAUACACCAGGUGUAGAGACAUUUCCUUCCCAUAUAGCCUCGUUGGUCCAACCCUGUCCAUUUCCUCAGGAUCUAGAUGGGUAAAGAGGGUCUUCACCAUAGCCCAGGUCUCCUGAGAUCCUUCUCGGUAGGCCGAAGUUUUCCACAAAUCAAAGUGCCUUCGGGAUCCUUUAAAAUGAUCGGCAAGCUCGGCCAUGCCUUGCGGAGGGUUUUGGUUCGGCCAUAGAGCUCGUACCAUACUCCACAUAGCUUUUUGGGCCCACUCAUGCACAAUGGAUAGUUCCUUCAACAGGUCCCCCAAAGGAAUUGGCCUCGUGUAGAUGACCCCCAGUUAAGAUACCUAAUCAAAAGAAGUGCACAUUUUCAUGGUCAACACAAUAAAACCUUGAUCAAUUACACGUGAGAGCUUUACUUAUAGAAUAGACCGCCUUUUAAUUUCUGAUCCUCUUCUCGGGUUUGUGCCAACUGAGUUCAAAAACUCUCAACUUCCUCAGCUUGUUUUUUAUUCUCUUCUUUGAGAUCGUUGUUUUUCUCGCGGCAUCACUUCAGUACACGAUGACCGACUUCAAGUUGAGAUUCGGCGUACCGCUCAGCCUCGCGAGAUGCAUCUAGAUCCUUUUACAUUUGGCCUAUCGAUUCGCCUGCUCUAGCAAAUUCCUUGGCUAUUACUUUAAAAAAUACAUUUUAUGGAAAUUUAGCAUUUCACAAAUAAAUUCCGUUACCAUGGGUUUCUCUGGUGAAUUUCUUCACAUCUUCCAGCUCAGCCUUACUAGGGUGUAAAUCGAUCUGGCUCGGUUGAAAAUCUUUGGAUAAUCUUUUGUUCUCCUGCUUUAAGUCCUGCAGAUUUAAAGGUUAUUAAGUUCACCCAUAAUUCAGCCGUCCCGCCCAAAUUAAGGCUCGUGGGCUACUGGGCUCGAACUUUUGUUCGGAUAUAAUGAUGUUGAUGACCCACCUGCAGAUGGAGAGACACUUGCCCGACCACUUCUUUAAGGCCAGCUCACGCGGCUCGAAGGUAUGCAUCGGCCGAGUUGAGAGCAUUAAACUCUUGCUCAGAAAAUACUAUUGGAAAUAUGCCCGAGAGGAAAUGCUAAAGAGUUAUUAUUAUAUUUCAUGUUUAAAGAUAAUCGUUUAUUAUCCAUGCUAUAAUUGCAUUGAAUGAAAACAUAGAUACAUGUGUGGAUACAUAGACAAAACAAUGUCCCUAGCGAGCCUCUAGUUGGCUAGCCAGUUGAUCAAUGAUAGUCAAGGUUUUCUGACUAUAUGCAAGUGUUGUCACCUGAUAACUAGAUCACGUCAUUAGGAGAAUCAUGUGAUGGACUAGACCCCAACUAUGAACGUAGCAUAUUGAUCGUGUCAUUUUAUUGCUAUUGUUUUAUGUGUGUCAAGUAUUUGUUCCUAUGACCAUGAGAUCAUAUAACUCACUGGCACCGGAGGAAUACCUUGUGUUCAUCAAACGUCGCAACGUAACUAGGUGACUAUAAAGGUGCUCUACAGGUAUCUCCGAAGGUGUCCGUUGAGUUAGUAUGGAUCAAGACUGGGAUUUGUCACUCCGUGUGACAGAGAGGUAUCUCGGGGCCCACUCGGUAAUACAACAUUACACACAAGCCUUGCAAGCAAUGUGACUAAGUGUAAGUCACGGGAUCUUGUAUGACGGAACAAGUAAAGAGACUUGCCGGUAUCAAGAUUGAAAUAGGUAUGCGGAUAUCGACGAUCGAAUCUCGGGCAAGUAACAUACCGGAGGACAAAGGGAAUGACAUACGGGAUUAUAUGAAUCCUUGGCACUGAGGUACAACCGAUAGGAUCUUCGGAGAAUAUGUAGGAUCCAAUAUGGGCAUCCAGGUUCCGCUAUUGGAUAUAGACCGAGGAGUGCCUCGGGUCAUGUCUACAUAGUUCUCGAACCCGCAGGGUCUACACACUUAAGGUUCGAUGAUGUUUAAUUAUAGUUGAGUUAUAUGUGUGGUUACCGAAUCUUGUUCAGAGUCCCGGAUGAGAUCACGGACGUCACGAGGGUUUCCGGAAUGGUCCGGAAACGGGUAUUGAUAUAUAGGAUGGUUUCAUUUGGUCACCGGAAAGUUUUGGGCAAUUCCGGCAGUGUACCGGGAGUGACGAAUGGGUUCCGGUUGUUUACCGGGAGGGGCCCACCCACCCGGGAGUGAGCCCAAGGCCCUAGGGUGGCGCCACAAGUCCUUAGAGGGCUGGUGGAGUCAUCCCAAGAGGGCUAUGGCGCCACAUAAAGAAAAUACCAAAAGAAAAGAAAAAGAAAAAGGAAAGAGGGAGGUGGGAAGGAAGAGGAAGCCUCCUCCUUCCCAAACCGAAUUGGAGGAGGAAUCCUCCUCCUCCUAGCGGCCGGUGCACCUUGAGGGACUUGUCCCUCAAGGCUAGCCCCUCCCCCUCCCUCCUAUAUAUAGUGGUGGUUUAGGGCUUUUUGAGACACAACUUUGCCACGUGCAACUCUAGCCUAUACCGCAUAGUUUUACCUCUAGAUAGGAUUUCUGCGGAGCUCGGGCGGAGCCCUGCAGGAGUACAUCAUCACCACCACCGGAGCGCCGUCAUGCUGCCGGGGAACUCAUCUACUUCUCCGUCUUGCUUGCUGGAUCAAGAAGGCCAAGAUUAUUGUCGAGCUGUACGUGUGCUGAAUGCGGAGUUGUCGUCCAUUCGGCGCUAGAUCGGAACGGAUCGUGGGACGGAUCGCGGGAUGGUUCGUGGGAUGGUUCGAGGGAUGUGAAGACGUUCCACUACAUCAACCGCGUUUCUUAACGCUUCCCAGUGUGCGAUCUACAAGGGUACAUAGAUCUAAUCUCCACUCGUAGAUGGACAUCACCAUGAUAGGUCUUCGUGUGCGUAGGAAAUUUUUUGUUUCCCAUGCAACGCUCCCCAACAAAUACAGGAUGCCACAGUGACUCCUUCCGCUGCCAAUGAUUCAUUGCACUCUCAUAUUUGGAGUAGCUUAUCAAUAGUCCGUCUGAACCCUUUGGGAGUGGACCCAUGUUCGGGACUCCGUUGUCAGCCAACACUCUUGGGUUCGGUUGACUGCCCAAUGCCAUGUGGUCGUCCUCGGGCAAGGAAGGCUGUGCGCAUCUCCUGAUUCGAUCGGCCAAGGUCCUUAAAACGUGCAGGACGAAAGUUGCUACGGUAAGGUUUAAAAAUCGGUUUGUAUACCUUUUUGCCGAAGGGGCAACUGGUGUGGUUUCUUUCGCUACCUAUUGCUCAGGAAUUCCGCCCUUGCUUGACAAACCCCUACCGGUUUAGUAUGAAUAGUGGUCCGGCAUGCGCUCCGGCGACCCCUAGGCACGGCCCCUCGUCGGGCAACAGUUUUUCUCUUACUCCCUGAAGAGGGAAAGGACCUGGGUUUGUUGGCUAUAAGGGCCACCUUCUUCUCUUCAACACUCUCUUGAUAAAACACCUCGUCUUGAAAGAUAAUCGAAAGCUCUGGGUCUUCAUGAAACCGGGAGUCAUCUUUAUGGGCAAAGUCCUCGAGUUGGGGUGUGGGAUAGUUUACCAUCUCGAUCCAGUGGUUCCAGAGCUACGAAGGAGGUAUAGGAGUUAUAAAUCAAACAAUAAUGGGCAUGAAUGCCCAAAACUUUGAACAUGAACACAAUUACCCAUUCGACGGGGUUAUAUGCCGAAUAGCCAUCCUUCGGGGUGAGGCGGGUAAAAUCUUCUUUUUCCCCCUUGAAGAUAUCGGUCAGAAUGGCCCCUAAGGCCUUCUCGUCAUCCGGUCCUUGCCUUCUGGAUCGGGUUGAAUCGCUCGUCCCACUGUAAUGCCACAAAGGAUGUGUGCGAUGUUGGAGUGGUUGGACGCACUGGGUAAUCACUGCGGCCAUCACAUCAAUGAUAGUUAGCCAGCUAUGAGUAAGCACCCUGGCCUUGGAGGAUAGGCGCUUCACUUCAGAGCUGUCCUCGUGGGAAGAGCUCUUUGGCCCCCAGCUGAAUCGCUUCUUUAAAGGAAUCACAAAGUAUUCGGGAAGGCCUCUCCGAACUGGGUCAGAUAGUGGAACAUCCACAAUAUAAAACCAUUCCGAGGGCCACUCGUCAAGCUCCUUCUUCGACAUCCCAAUCGGGUAUCCUAUGGCGGCUAUGUGCCAUACUUCGGCUCCACCUACUUCCCGAAUUGUCAUUCCUCUAGUUCGGAGAAUGAUGGAGAAGUACUUUCUCCAUAGAUCAAAGUGGGGCUCGCAACCCAAGAACAUCUCGCAUAAGGCCACGAAGCCUUAGAUAUGAAGGAUGGAACUAUGGGUGAGAUUGUGGAGCUACAACCCGUAAAACUCCAAUAACCCCCUUAGGAAAGGGUGAAUAUGGAAUACCACCCCUCACAACAGGAAGGAAACGAAGCAAACCCGUUCUCCCCUUUGCGGGGAAGGGAAGUUUUCCGCGAAGGCUUUUCCAUCAAUGGAGGUCAGACCGGUGUGAGUGGGUGCGAGGUCUGAUUGGGGAAGAUACCCCUGAGUUUUGAGCUCGUGCGGGCGGAUGAGAGAAACGGUGCAACUAGCCUAGUCCCCCGAAAGGGGGCCGAGGGGGCUUGAAGAGGAACAUUCCAUGACUCCGGAGAUGUUAAGAGCUCUAGGGUUUCUUCGCGAGGCUGGGAGGCGAUGGAGCCUCAAAACAGAUCUCGAUCUGUUUACAAAGGGUGUUAACCCCUCUUGUUAUAGGGAUUCAUCAUUUCUUGCUCGGAGGAUACAGAGGAACAUGCCUUGCAUACUGAACACUUUGGGCGUGAUCAUCCGAAGACCCUACACAUUAGCAUGGAAGGCUACUUCAGGGGCUACUAAGAGAGUCCGGGAUUAAGGGGUCCUCAGGUAGUUGGCUUACUAUGAAGAGGUUAGCCUGAUGGACCGUACAAGUUGGAGGUUGGGUGUCUCGUGCUUAAGGAGGAAAGCACCGAAGACCGGCAUGACAUCCAAGUAAUGUAGAUUAGGUCGAUUGUAUGUAACCCUAGGUCCCGGAUACGUCUCCGUCAUAUCUACUUUUCUGAACUCUUUUGCCCUUGUUUUGGACUCUAAUUUGCAUGAUUUGAAUGGAACUAACCCGGACUAACGCUGUUUUCAGGAGAAUUACCAUGGUGUUGUUUUUUUGCAGAAAUAAAAGUUCUCGGAGUGUUGUGAAAAUUUACGGAGAAUUUUUCUGGAAUUAAUGAAAAAUACCUGCGCAAAGAUCCACCGGAGGAGGUGAGCCAGUGGGCCACAAGCCCAGGGGGCGCGGCCACCCCCCCAGGCCGCACCAACCAGGCUUGUGGGGUCCACGAGGCUCCACCACCUCCAAACUCAGCUCUAUUUAUUCCGUUUCACCCGGAAAAAAUCAGAGAGAAGGAUUCAUCGCAUUUUACGAUACGAAGGUGCCGCCACCUCCUGUUCUUCAUCUGGAGGGCAGAUCUGGGUUCCGUUCUGGGCUCCAGAGAGGGGAAAUCGUCGCCAUCGUCAUCAUCAACCUUCCUGCAUCACCAAUUCCAUGAUGCUCUUCACCGUUCGUGAGUAAUCUCAUUGUAGGCUUGCUGGACGGUGAUGAGUUGGAUGAGAUCUAUCAUGUAAUCGAGUUAGUUUUGACGGGGAUUGAUCCCUAGUAUCCACUAUGUUCUGAGAUUGAUGUUGCUACUACUUUGCCAUGCUUAAUGCUUGUCACUAGGGACCGAGUGCCAUGAUUUCAGAUCUGAACCUAUUACGUUGUCGCCAAUAUAUGUGUGUUUUAGAUCCUAUCUUGCAAGUUGUAGUCACCUACUAUGUGUUAUGACCCGGCAACCCCGGAGUGACAAUAGCCGGAACCACUCCCGGAGAUGACCAUAGUAUGAGGAGUUCAUGUAUUCACCAAGUGUUAAUGCGUUGGUCCGGUUCUUUAUUAAAAGGAGAACCUUAAUAUCCUGUAGUUUUCAUUAGGACCCCGCUGCCACGGGACGGAUGGACAAUAGAUGUCAUGCACGUUCUUUUCCCUAAGCAUGUAUGACUACAUAUGGAAUACAUACCUACAUUAGAUUGACAAAUGGGAGCUAGUUACAUAUCUCUCCGGGUUAUAGUUGUUACAUGAUGAAUCACAUCCGGCAUAAUCAUCCAUCACCGAUCCAGUGCCUACGAGUCUUUUACUACUAGUCCUUUCUACGUUACAUUGUCGCUACUACUGUUGCUGCUGCUGUUGUUACUCUGUUGCUACUGCUGUUACUCUACUGCUAUUGGUUACUGGUGUUACUUGCUACUGUUGUCACUACUGUUGUUACUUGUUACUUUGCUGCUACCUGCUGCAAGACUUUUCUGGCGCCAUUGAUACAACAAGUCAGGAAUAGCCUGCCGUCAACACACCUUUUUCUGGCACCGUUGCUAACGUACCACUUUGCUACUGAUACUUUGCUUGCAGACACUAAUCUUUCAGGUGUGGUUCAAUUGACAACUCAACUGCUAAUACUUGAGAAUAUUCUUUGGCUUCCCCUUGUGUCGAAUCAAUAAAUUUGGGUUGAAUACUCUACCCUCGAAAACUAUUGCGAUCCCCUACACUUGUGGGUUAUCAAGACUAUUUUCUGGCGCCGUUGCCGGGGAAGCACAACUAUAUUCUCUGACUCACUUGGAAUUUACGUCUGCUGAUCACUAUGAGGAAUCCGAUAGAUCCAAGAACUAAAGUCUUGCCCUCAACUACGAGGACAGGUAAGGAACUGCCAUCUAGCUCUGCACUUGAUUCAUCUUCAGUUAUGAGUAAGUUUGCAACAUCACCUCCUGCUAGAAAUCUUGAUAUGUCGCCUGUGCUUGAUGAUGCUACUUCUGCUUCCCAUGAUGCUUAUGAUGAUGCUAUGCUUGAUACUAUGCCUGAUGAUGCUAUGCUUGAUACUAUGCCUGAUGAUGCUAUGCUUGAUACUAUGCCUGAUGAUGCUAUGCUUACUACUUUGCCUGAUGAUGCUAUGCCUGAUACUGCUUUGCCACUAGGUGCAUUCCUUGAUGCACAAAUUGCUAGAGUUGCUUCUAGAUGUGAUGAUAUUUCUGAAACUGCUGAUACUAUUGAAGUAGAACCUGCUAUUUUGCCUGCUAGAACUAGCUCUCCUAGACCUGAUAUGCCUGUUAUGCCUGAGCGUUAUGUUAUGGAGGGAGAGAUAGCUGAGGAUUUUCUUGCGUGUAAGGAUAGCUAUGAUGUUGAGAAAUUACUGCGCAAGUGGAAAUAAAAAUGUCUAAACACGAGGAUGAAAUACGACCCGAAGUUUGCCACUUCACCUAUCUUUGUGACCGAUAAGGAUUAUGAAUUCUCUGUUGAUCCUAAGUUAAGCACCCAUGCCCUUUCCUCCCAAACCAUCCAAGAAAAAGGAUGAUGAGGAUUUUGAGCGCUUUGUUGAAAUGAUUAGACCUGUCUUUCUACAAAUGUGUUUGACGAAUAUGCUCACGAUGUCUCUGUAUGCGAAGUACAUGAAAUAUAUUGUGACUAAUAAGAGGAGGAUACCCGAGGUUGAGAUUUCCACCAUGCUCGCUAAUUAUACCUUCAAGGGUGGAACUCCCAAGAAACUAGGUGAUCCCGGUGUGCCCACUAUACCUUGCUCCAUUAAAGGCAACUACGUUAGAACUGCGUUAUGCGACCUUGGAGCCGCUGUUAGUGUUAUGCCUCUCUCUCUUUAUCGUAGACUUGAACUGGAUAAGUUGACACCCACUGAAAAUCUCUGUGCAAAUGACCGACAAAUCAACUGCUUUCCCUAUCGCCAUUUGCGAGGACGUGCCUGUUGUGGUUGCUAACGUCACUAUCUUAUCAGACUUUGUUAUCUUGGAUAUUCCCGAGGACAAUGCCAUGGAAGUCAUCCUUGGAAGACCCUUUUUAAACACCGCACGGGCUGUUAUAGAUUGCAACAAAGGCAAUGUCAUUUUCCAUGUCAACGGUAAUGAGCAUACGGUGCACUUUCCGAAGAAACAAUAUCGAGUACAUUGCAUCAAUGCUAUCGAAAAAACUUCAUCGAUUCUUAUUGGGAGCUUUGAAUGCCCUAUUCCUUGUGUCAAGAUGAAGUAUGAUUCGCUUGUUGGGGAAAUACACAUCGCCAUUGAGGUGACAUAGUGACUAUUCGAAAAUUCUCCGUCUUCUUUUGCGAUUCGAGAAGUUUUGUCGAGGGGAAUUUGAUCAACCCCAUUGACGGAUUUCUUUCGAUGACCAUGAGAUGGAUGAAUCAAGGAGUCACAAACCUCUGUUUUAAGCUUUCAUCUUUGGUUGCUUAGAAGAAAGAUGAUAGAUUUAGUUUAGUUUUCCCUGUUUUCUGUUUUAGCGUCCGGUAGAAAAGUACCGCGAAAAUAAAAGUUCUCCGAACGUCGUGAAAAUCAAGUAUGAUUUUUGCUGGAUUUUUUGAAAAAUACUGAGACGAAGAGCUUGUCUGGGGGCUGCACCAGUGGGCCACAAGCCCAGGGGGCGUGGGCACCCCCUUUCCGCGCCACCCAGGCUUGUGGGGUCCACAGGCACCCCCUCCACUCAUUCUUGCUCUCAUCUGGUUCUCCUACCUCCAGAAAAAAUCGUUUCGCAACUCAAACCUGUGUUCUUGCUCCUCUUGCUGGGAUUUCUGAUUUCUUUGCUGAAAGCACCAUUCUCCGAACUGUUUUGGGGAAAUUACUCCUUGUUAAGUGACUCCUCCAUUGGUCCAAUUAGUCUUUGCUCUAGUGCCUCAUACUUCGCGUAUUUUUGCUGCCUUGAUGACCAUGUUCUUGAGCUUUGCAUGCUAAUUUUAGAUGGUCCCAAGUAGUUUUGAUGCGUAAUAUGGCCUCUAGGCACUUGUGGGGGUAGUUGCUACGAGUUUUGUUGAGCCUUGUUCACUUUUCCUUAGAGUCACUAAAAAUUUCAGAAAUUUUCAGAGAUAGAAAAGGGAAAAUAUGAGGAGGUUCUGAAGAGGCUCUUCAAGCCGUGACCCCAAGGAUGAUGGGAGUGAGAAGAAGCCCAAUUAUCUGGUCCGUCGAGUCCUGGAAGUUCGAGCGUGCGAGUGGCCAAGCGACGUGUUCUUACGCGCCGCCGGAAUUUAUGAGGACUUUUAUCACUCGGUGGAGAACGCAGGCCUUACCGCCUUCGUUGAAGAUAAGUGUCUGCAAUACCUCCUCCUCACUAAUAUCUUCGUACAAAGCUUUAACUUCUAUCCAAGGAAGAAUCCUCCUAUGGUUGUGUUCAAACUUUAUGAUAUCCCCCAGGGCAUGUCACUCCAGGAUUUUUGCAAUGUUUGCAAAUUACCUUACGUUGGGGAUAUUCGUGAAUCUCGUGCACGGGACUUAGAAUCUUUCAUCGAUACAAUUGCCGUAGGAGAGGAGAGAGGAGUGUCUUGUGCUAGAGCUGCUAGCAUUCAUUUUCCCGUGCUUCGGUACUUCUCAUUAUUUGUGGGAAAAUGUUUGAUUGGCCGUGGGAAAGCUGGGUCACUUAGUUCCCCAGAUCUUAAGGUCUUGCGCGAAGCACUUUAUAAUGAUAAAACUUAUAGCUUGGGCGCUAUAGUAGCUCAAUGGUUGAACACGAACCGUUAUAAAGGCAUUGUCUAUGGAGGUAUCUAUGCUACUCGUCUUGCCGGACACUUUGAGAUACCUAUUAGACUGGACGAGGAAGAAGAGAUUCUUCUUCCCAAAAAAUAUCUAGAUUAAGAUAGCAUGGUUCGCCAUGACUUUCUUUAUAGAGAUAUAAAUAGAAGGAUGAUUUAUAACCUGGUAUUUAGCCAGGGUACUCGUGAGACUAUUACUUUGCCUGCUCCUUCUUUGUUCAAUCUUCAUGCAGGGAGGUACAUUAUUAUGCCCUCGGACAUCACCGCAUAUUGGGGCUUGGCCCAACCAUAGGUGCCCAUGCCCGAGCCACCAGUCGAGUACCAGAUGCCAGUUUAUCAGUGGGAGCCACAGGAGCUCACACAGCAGUGGCAUCGUCAGUCCACUCUGGAGUACCCCGGAGCUGGUUAUUUCCCUCCUUGGGAGUAUACCAACUUAGGCCAAAAGUGUAAGCUUGGGGGAGUACGUGUUUCUCACCGACUUUACAUUCUUGCUUAUGCUUUCACUUUGUUCGUUGGUGUUCACACUUUGCCACUGUAUCAUCCAUGCUAGUUUAUUUUCUUUUUCUCAUUUUCUUUUCGUGUGUUUGCCUAGUUUGAGAAAACCCAAAAAGAUUUUCUUUUUCUUCUUUUGCUUGUUGGGAGCUUUCUCGUGUAAAUAGUUUUCUUUUCUUUGGGUCAAGGUAGAAGACCAUGGUUACAAUGUUUAGUGGCUCUUGCAUGCAUACCUGUUUUGCUUUCAAAGAGCCAUAUUACUUUGUCUUCUCCUUUGUGUUUUCCUACAGGUUCCAGCUUUAGUCCAAUGCACGAGCACUCUUAUUAUUGUUUUUAUCGUUCGAUCGUACAAGUGAAAGGCAAUAAUGACGAUAUAUGAUGAAGUGACUGAGCCUGGAAAAGCUGGUAUGAACUCGAUCUAUUUUGUUCUUGUAAAUAUGACUAGCUCAUUGUUCCUAGUUCAACUUUGUUGUGAGAGAAACAUGUUUGCAAUGACAACUUAGAGAUCAUAGUUGCUGAUGCCAUGCUUACUUAGCUAGGAGCUUAUAAUGGUCUGUCUUGGUUGGCAACAUGAAUGUUGAGAUGACUAUGAUGUAGUAUGAUAGGAUGGUAUCCUCCUUUGAAUGAUUCAAGCGGCUUGACUUGGCGCAUGUUCACACAUGUAGUUGAAACAAAAUCAACAUAGCCUCUAUGAUAUUCAUGUUCAUGGUGAUUUAUGUCCUACUCAUGCUUGCACUCAAUGUUAGUUUAUCUCAAUGCAUUUUGAGGACCGUUGUCGCUCUCUAGUUGGUCGCUUCCCAAUCUUUUGCUUGCCUUCACUUGUACUAAGCGAGAAUACUGCUUGUGCAUCCAUUUCCAUAACCCCAAACUUGUUCCAGAUGAGUCCACCAUACCUACCUAUGUGCGGUAUCUACCUAUCGUUCCAACUAAAUUUGCAUGUGCCACUCUCUAAAUCUUCAAGAAAUAAUCUAUUUUGCAUGCCCUAACCGCUCAUGUAGUGACAGGGGGCUAUUAGUAUCUUCCAUGCUAGGCGUGUUAUCCUCGAUAUGUGUUUAUUCACUAUCAUUCAUGAGAAAGGGGCCGGUAAUUGGAAUUCCCAGUUCCAUGCUCAAAUCGAAAAGAUAAUUGCAAACAAAACUCCCCCAGGAUUGAUGUUGGUAUGGAUGGUACCCGAGGAUUCGGCUAGCCAUGGAGUGUGAUUGAUUGGUGGUGGGGGAGUCAAAACUUUACUUUUUUGUUUGGGAACCGCCUAUAGCAUGUGUAGCGUGGAAGAUGUUGAGAACUCUUAGUCAUUGCGUCGACAAUGAAAGCAUGCCACCGAAAAUUAUUAUCUCUGUUUUCAAAGCUUGAGCUCUGGCACCUUUGCAAAUCAAUGCUUCCCUCUGUGAAGGGCCUGUCUAUUUAUGUUCCUGUUGAGUCAUCCUCCUCUUAUAAAAGCUCCAAUUAGAGAGCACCUCUGUCAUUUUUAUGCUUUUGUUUUAACUAUGUUGGGUAUGACUGUGACUGGAUCUUCUUUGCCAUGAAUUACAAUGUUUAGUCAGCCCUUGGUCUUUGAAGGUGCUCUGCAUUUAUGUUUUGCGGUCUCAGAAAGAGCUAGCGAGAUACCAUCUGUUUGCACUGAUUCAUGUUGUUUUGAUUGAAGUGUUGACAUUUGAGGCUUAUUAUUAUUUUCUCGCUAGUUGAUUAUGCCAUUGAUAUGAGUCUACCGUGAGACCUAGAUGUCAUUUUCUUAUGUGGUUUGCUUGUGAUCUUGCUGAAACUAUGGAUAUGAGUUAGACAUAGUUGCAGCAACAAGAUCAAACAGAGUUCGUCGAAGUUUUUCUUUUGUCUCUUUCAGUUUGUCAACUGAAUUGCUUGAGGACAAGCAAGGCUUUAAGCUUGGGGGAGUUGAUACGUCUCCGUCGUAUCUACUUUUCCGAACUGUUUUGCCCUUGUUUUGGACUCUAAUUUGCAUGAUUUGAAUGGAACUAACCCGGACUAACGUUGUUUUCAGGAGAAUUGCCAUGGUGUUGUUUUUGUGCAGAAAUAAAAGUUCUCGGAAUGUCCUGAAAAUUUAUGGAGAUUUUUUCUGGAAUUAAUGAAAAAUACCUGCGCAAAGAUCCACCGGAGGAGGUGAGCCAGUGGGUCACAAGCCCAGGUGGCGCGGCCACCCCCCAGGCCGCACCAACUAGGCUUGUGGGGCCGACGAGGCUCCACCGCCUCCAAACUCAGCUCUAUUUAUUCCGUUUCAGCCGGAAAAAAUUAGAGAGAAGGAUUAAUCGCGUUUUACGAUACGGAGGCGCCGCCACCUACUAUUCUUCAUCUGGAGGGCAGAUGUGGAGUUCGUUUUGGGCUCCGGAGAGGGGAAAUCGUCUCCAUUGUCAUCAUCAACCUCCCUCCAUCGCCAAUUCCAAGAUGCUCUUCACCGUUCGUGAGUAAUCUCAUCGUAGGCUUGCUGGACGGUGAUGAGUUGGAUGCGAUCUAUGAUGUAAUCGAGUUAGUUUUGACGGGGAUUGAUCCCUAGUAUCCACUAUGUUCUAAGAUUGAUGUUGCUACUACUUUGCCAUGCUUAAUGCGUGUCACUAGGGCCCGAGUGCCAUGAUUUCAGAUCUGAACCUAUUAUGUUGUCGCCAAUAUAUGUGUGUUUUAGAUCCUAUCUUCCAAGUUGUAGUCACCUACUAUGUGUUAUGACCCGGCAACCCCGGAGUGACAAUAGCCGGAACCACUCCCGGAGAUCACCAUAGUAUGAGGAGUUCAUGUAUUCACCAAGUGUUAAUGCAUUAGUCCGGUUCUUUAUUAAAAGGAGAACCUUAAUAUCCCGUAGUUUCCAUUAGGACCCCGCUGCCACGGGAGAGAUGGGCAAUAGAUGUCAUGCAAGUUCUUUUCCCUAAGCACGUAUGACUAAAUACGGAAUACAUGCCUACAUUAGAUUCACGAACGGGAGCUAGUUACAUAUCUCUCCGUGUUAUGGCUGUUACAUGAUGAAUCACAUCCGGCAUAAUCAUCCAUCAGCGAUCCAAUGCCUACAAGUCUUUUACUACUGGUCCUUGCUACGUUAGUUUGUCGCUACUACUGUUGCUGCUGCUGCUAUUACUGUGUUGCUACUGCUGUUACUCUGGUACUACUCGUUACUGCUGUUACUUGCUACUGUUGUUACUUGUUACUUUGCUGCUACCUUCAGCAAGACUUUUCUGGCGCCAUUGAUACAACAAGUCAGGAAUAGCCUGCCGUCAACAGACCUUUUUCUGGCACCGUUGCUAUCAUACCACUUUGCUACUGAUACUUUGCUUGCAGACACUAAUCUUUCAGGUGUGGUUGAAUUGACAACUCAGCUGCUAAUACUUGAUAAUAUUCUUUCGCUUCCCCUUGUGUUGAAUCAAUAAAUUUGGGUUGAAUACCCUACCCUCGAAAACUGUUGUGAUCCCUACACUUGUGGGUUAUCAGUCCCCUAGUGAUUAUAUAAACCGAGGGUCCUCAUCCAUGUAGACAGGUUGAUUCACCUAGGGUUUAGUAUACAUGAUCUCGAGGUAGACUCUGUAAUCAUCAUCCACAUCGAUAUAAUCAAAAAGGACGUAUGGUUUUACCUCCUCAAGAGGGCCCGUACCUGAGUAAACAUUGUCUCCCCAUCUGUCCUGCAACCCAUCUAUCUAAGAUCCACAGUUCUGGAACCCCUACCCGAGAUCUGCCAGUUUCGAUGCCGACAGCUUGCCCCCUUCAAAAAGUCAUCCACGACCUUGAUGACCAUGGGCAGGAAUGGAACCAAGAUGAGGUCGUUAGACCGUCAUGCCAUUGUGCCUAGACAACGCGUGGAUUCAUCACAUGUUCAUGUACAUGGGGCUCAAAAUGAUGCUAUAGUCGCUAAAAAGCAAGAAAAUUUGUACAUAUGGUAUAAAAUGUCGCUAAUCGACUUUUUUCCCAUCUAUAAAACUUUGUAAUACAAUGUUAACCUCAAAUUAGUAUUUUUAAUCUGUUGAAUUGAGUGUGAGACUAUUAAAUUGAUGAAAAAGAAAACAAAAUAUCUAGAGCUAACAAAUAUGAUGACUAUGUUUUUACAUAUGGUCUCCGUAGGCUCCAAAUGCAUAUGGAAUAUGAUCCAUAUAUAUUGUGAAGGUUGCCCAUAUUACGAUUGGUCUAGACUUGAUCUUAGAGCAUCUCCAACCGGAUUGGGCAAAUAUGCCUUCACAUGUCCACGGACAACAUCUGCUUUCCCUCAUUUGUCCUUGGCCUCAACCGCCCCCUCAUUUCCCCUUCCCAAAUCAAUACAAAUCCAUGCAACGUCGAUCACGCAGGAAUGAAAAUAGUACACACUAGUAGAAAAUGCCCAUUUGUCCCGGUUCCAGAGGCCCAUUAGCCCCGGUUCUUGAACUAGGACUAAAUGGUCAGGACUAAAGCCCAAAACCUUUAGUCCCGGUUCGCUUACGAACGGGGACCGAAUGGUCUCCACGUGGCCGCUACGGCGAGCCCGAGCAGGAGGUUCUCUAGUCCCGGUUGUCCACACCAACCGGGACAACAUGGUAUCCACGCGUCAGCAUCUGCCCGGGCUGCGGUUUUUGUUUUUUUAUCGCGGGGGGGGGGAGGGGGGUUGGAGGGUUAAUUUAGUGGUUUCAUAUUGUGUUAGCUAGCUAAUAGAGAGAAGUGUCCUCUCUUUCUCCAUGCUUGGUCGACGCUAACUACUAUACAUAUAGAGAGAACAUGACGCUAGCUAAUAAGAAAAUGAAGGAAAUGAUUUACAAUACUUAACAUCUUUUACAAUGCCUAACAUCAUCUACCAAAGAUACAAUCACAAAUAUCCCACAUGAUAUUCUCCGUCGCUAGGUAUGACGUGGUCAAGAAGGAAACCCGCCAAUUCCUCUUUAAUUGCUCGUAUGCCAUCAUCUGAUAGGCGUUCAUCCCGCUUCUUCCAGAUCUAAUUUAAAGAAUGGAUCAAUACAUGCAUAUAUAUGAAUAAAACUCAACACAAUUGAAGGUAAUAUAUAAGAUAAAAUUGUGAAUAUUACUUACGUACUUCAAAUUGUUCGUCAGAGAUACCCCGCCCAGAGGUCGAGAGACGAAUGAACUCGCAUACGUAGUAUGCACAUUUUUCAGUCCCAACUACCUGGUACAAGCACUUUACGAGAAUAUAUAGAGUUCAAUCAAACUAAUAAGCAAGCAUGGUAAUGAUAUAUUGAUGAAAAUUUCAAUCAAUUAGAGAUGCGCGGAACUAGCUAGCUAGUACUACUUACUGGGGUGCGUAAACUGCAACUCUUUACCGCGAACCUUAUUCGUGAACUUCUUCCAAAUCCUGCCAGGAAAAUAAAAUGAAUACUUGAUAUCAGGAAAUUAAGGAAAUUUGCAUGCCGGUAUGGUCCCGGUAUUGAGUGAACUUACUUCUUAAGCAUUGCAGUCAUGUCCGCAUAAUCCUCGGACAAUUACUUUUGCCGCGUCAAGCUUAAUGGAUAACAGAAUCCAGUGGUAACUGUGCACACAUAUAUAACUCAUCAAUUACAUUUACUAAUUAACCUCGAGUAAGCGAAACCGAGUAUACAGAGAAGACAACAACACUCACCUGAAGUUGUAAGGAAAGAGUAUUUCCCUUUUGUUUCGAUUUACAAGCAACGAAUUUAACAACUUAACAUCGGUCUCUUUGGUUUCAUUUCGUACCGACAAUACAUUUACCGAUUCUGGGCUAAUGAACCCAACGUCGAAGAUUCCUACUUUUCUUCAUUCGGCGAUCUUCAAUCUGCAUAAUAUAUAUAGUGAGGACAAUUAUAGAUACAUGCAAUGAACGAGCUGAUCUAGAGACUUAACUAUAAAAGUAAUACUUACAAACAGUAGCAAGUCAGGAGUUGUUUGUUGAGGGAUAGGUCAUUGUAUAACUGAAAUAACUCCUCAAAUUCAACAAGCACCACUGUAGCUCCAAUAAAUUUUCUCCUUGAAGAUGUUCAUGUACCACUCAUGCAAUUCGUGCAUCCUCGGUGUUAGAGGAGGAUGACCAGGUUUGACAAGAGGCUUCCCGAGCACGAAUUUAUAUAAUUUUUCUUUUAUUACCUCGUCCAUCUUAAAAAUUACUGAAUCGCUCACGUAAUCACCAGGAUUGGUACCGGGCAGCAACCCCGAAUCAUUAGCGACGACGAUAUCGCUAGACACCUUGAGUGGGGGGCACGAUUGCUUCUUCUGUUGGUCAAGCUGGGGAAUUGUUUUCCCACUUCUUCAUUUUGCUAACAUUGCAUCACUGCUAGCCGCCAGAGCGACGGUGGAGUCUGUCUUCCGCUUGAGAGAAGGAGGAGGAGGCGGCAUCUUUCUUACUUGUAUAACUUUCGGCGGAGCGGCGACGACGUCUGUCUUCUGCUGUUGCAGAGGAGGCGGACUGCUCCGACGCGCCUGAGGAGGAGCCGAAGGAGGAGGACUUCUCCGACGCGCUGGAGGAGGAGCCGAAGAAGGAGGUGGACUGCUCCGACGCGCUGGAGGAGGAGCCGAAGAAGGAGGCGGAGUGCUCCGACGCACCGGAGGAGGAGCCGAAGGAGGAUGACUGCUCCGACGCGCUGGAGGAGGAGCCGAAGAAGGAGGCGGAGUGCUCCGACGCGCCAUAGGAGGAGACAAAGAAGGAGGCGUACUGCUCCGACGUACCGGAGGAGGAGUCGAAGAAGGAGGCGGAGUGCCCUCACGCGCCGGAGGAGGAGCUGAAAAAGAAGGCGGAGUGCCCUCAUGCGUCGGAGGAGCCGGAGUGCCCUGAUCAUUCGCUGGAGGAGGAUGAGGAGUGCCCUGAUCAGUCACCGGAGGAGUAUGAGGAGUGCCCUGAUCACUCGCUGGAGGAGGAGGAGGCGUCCAGUUUGGAAGAUUGAUGCACUCCUUCGGCCAUAAACAUGUACUCCUCAAAGCAUGAACCAGCUUAUUCUCAUCUUCACAUGUAGGGUGGUCAAGCUCGAGCUGCUCAAAAUCCUUCUUUACUUCAUCCACCAUCACAAGAGCAUAACCACGUGGAAUCGGACGGCAGUGAAAAGUUCCGUUGGAUUGAGGACGUGCAACAAUGCCGAUAGCAGCCUUGAAAGUGAGGUUCCGGCAUUUUGUCAAAAGCUCGCAAGGUUGAGACUCCUUGAUAGUAUACACGGGGUAGCUAGGAGCCGUGAAGUCAGACGACCACGCUGCUUCUCCGCUGAGAUGGCGGGAUAAAUUCUGGGGUAGUUUCGUGCCGCUGAGAUGGUUGGUCGACAGCUCGCUGGCUUUGAAGUUCCUCUAGAAUUUGUAGUCUUGCAUUGAUCUUCUGCAUGUCUCUCAGCUCCGCUUUCCUCUUUCUCGCUCGGAUUCUGUAACCGGCUGCGUCGGGAAACCCAACCUUCCACGGAAUAGAGCCUGGUGUGCCUCGUGUUCGUCCAGGGUGCUCAACAUUCUCUAGGGCCUCGGUCAGUUCGUCCUUCUCUCUUUUGAGAAAGAACGCCCCUUCCUACGCUGCGGUGAUACACUGCUGAAUCUUGUUGAUGGGUGUUGCAAGUUGCUCGUCCGUCCAACGACACUCCCCUGUUUCAGGGUCCAAAUUUCCCCCAACUCCGAAGAACCAAUUCCUUGAUCGGUCGGGCCAGUUCCAUGUCUGUGGUUGGACCCCUUUAGCAAUGAGGUCAUUCUCAGCUUUGUCCCACAACGGACGACCUUUGAGGUAGCCACCCAACCCCGUGUGAUGGUGAUACUGCUUCUUUGCAGCAUUGUUCUUGUUUCUCUCUGACAUUUCCUUACUCUAAUCCGAUGACUUGUAGGCCACAAAUGCGGGCCAGUGAUCUCUAAUCUUCUCAAAUCGGCCGACGAAUUCUGGAGUCUUCCCUUGGUCGACAUACUUUGAUUUCAACUCUUUCUUCCACCUCCUGAAUAGUUCUUCCAUCUUCUUAAGAGCACACGCCUUGACCAGUGGCUCUAUAACUGGGUUAUUCGGAUCCUCCUCUGGUGGUAGGGUGAAAUUUUUCCUUCAACGCGGUCCAAAGAUAAUCUUUCAGCCUAUCAGUGACAUAAUGACCUUCAGGGAGGUUGUCGCCCUUAGGCUUAUUCCAUUGCUUGAUGCUUAUCGGGAUGUUUUCCCUGACAAUAGCUCCGCACUGAGUAGAAAAUGCGUCCCUGGUCUGCUUGGGUUCAAUCGGUUGGCCAUCGUUCGACAGUUCUGUGAUCGUGAACUUUUGAUCCUUGCCCAACCUUCUCGUCGGGCCUCGUCUCGUUACCGAAGUUUGGCCCGAUCCGGACUUUUCAAUAGCUCCCUCCUCCGUUCGGUCACCGGAGCCGUCAUCAUGGUCUCCUUCCUCCAGGAUUCGGUAGUAACCGAAGCCAUCAUGAUAAUGUCCUUCCUCCUCCAUUGUUCGAUCACCGAAGCCAUCAUGAUAAUGUCCUUCCUCCAGGAUUCGGUAGUCACCGAUGUCGCUGACCAAAAGUUCGACAUUACUACCGUCGCCGUGGAUUAUAUCCCCCAAAAUUUCUUCUUUUUCCAUGUCUCUUUGGAAUAUCCAUUGUUUCUGGAAAUAUUACUAAGUGGGGGGGGAAGCCCUUUAUACAUAAUCCCAAAUAUUAACAUGAAAACUUAAUUUGUAACUUAAUCUAAUCUAAAUAUUUUUAUAAUUUUUAUAACUUUAUUUGCUAUUGAAACUGAAUAUAAUCUAAAUAUUUUUAUAACUUUUAUAACUUGUGUCACAUUGGGGAGUUAAAAAAUGUACCCAACAUAUUCUAAUAUGACUGUAAUACACACACAGGGAUUCACAAUUAGACUACGUCCUCUCACACACAUAGAUUCGCAAAUAGGGAGAUGGAGAGAUCAAUGGACGUGCUACCGGUGCGUCGACGGGCAACGAUGGUGGGCUUCGGAACGACGACGGGCGACGACAACGACGGCGAUGGGCACGGGGGCUACGGCAACGACGACGACGACGACGAUGGGUGGAGACGGGUGACUACAAUGACUGCAAUGGGCUCGGGGGUGACGGCGACGGUGAUGGGCUCGGGGACAACAGCGACGACGAUGGGCUCGGGGGCGACGGCGACAACGACGGGCUCGGGAGCGACAGUGACAGUGAUGGGCUCGGGGCGACGACGGGCUCGUGAGCGACGGCGACGGCGACGACGGGCUCGUGGAGGAGACGCGGGCCGGCGGCGACGGGCUCGGGUGCGACGGUGAGGAAGAGAGAACGGGGGGGAUGGAAGUUGGUGGAAAUUUCGACAACUCCCACAAUAUACGAACACCUUUGUUCCGGCUGGUGGCCCCAACCGGGACCAAAGCACACCUUUAGUCCCGGGUUGUUACACCAACCGGGACUAAAGGUCAAUUUCGACAACUCCCGCACUAUAUGCAAAAACCUUUGGUUUCGGUUUGUGGCACCAACCGGGACCAAAGCCACACUUCCGAUGGCCCAAAAGGGCGGGAAGAAGAGUACUUUCGUACCGGUUGUUGGCUAGAACCGGGACAAAAGGUCCGUCGGCCCAUUUGAUAUUUUUCAUACAUUUACUGAUUUUUGUUUUGAGCUAAAUGACUCUUAAAUUUGAAAAGCACUACAAAUGAACUCUGAAAAUGUUGAAAGUUGGCAUGGUAUAAUCAUUUCACGCACAUGGCAUGUGCUAAAAAGUUGAGAGGGUUGCGGCAAAAACUAGAUGCACAUCGUGUUCAAAAGAGACAGUCUCCUUCGAAGUAUUAGGGUUUAAUACGAAAACUCAUCUGUUACAAAGGGAUUUCAUUUUUUUGAACUUAUUUGAACUCCAGACUUUUUGUGUGUUCAAAAUUCACCAUUCAAAGACACAAUAUCCAUUUUAACUAUUUCUAACUUCAUUUGGUAUUUUCAUGCAUUUAGUGAUUUGUUUUGAGCUAAAUGACCAUUAAAUUGAAAAGCAUUACAAAUGAACUCUGAAAAGGUUGAAAGUUGGCAUGGUAUCAUCAUUUCACCCACAUAGCAUGUGCUGAAAAGUUGAGAGGGUUGCGGCAAAAACUGGAUGCACUUUGUGUACAAAACGGACAAUCUCUUUCAAAGUAUCAGGGUUUCAUACGAAAACUCAUCUGUUACAAAGGGAUUUCAUUUUUUGAACUUAUUUGAACUCCAGACUAUUUGUGUGUUCAAAAUUCACCAUUCAAAGACACAAUAUCAAUUUUUAACCAUUUCUCACUUCAUUUGGUAUUUUUCAUGCAUUUAGUGAUUUGUUUGAGCUAAAUGACCAUUAAAUUGAAAAGCACUACAAAUGAACUCAGAAAAGGUUGAAAGUUGGCAUGGUAUCACCAUUUCUACCCACAUAGCAUGUGCUAAAAAGUUGAGAGGGUUGCGGCAAAAACUGGAUGCACUUCGUGUACAAAACAGACAAUCUCUUUCGAAGUAUGAGGAUUUCAUAGGAAAACUCAUCUGUUACAAAGGGCAUUUCAUUUCUUCACUUUUUCUUCUCUUGUGUUCCUUUCUUAUUUCACCGUAAGCGUGGAUAAUCUUCAUCGUUUAAUAGGGUGCUUGGGUCAGCCUUGACUUUGAAGGGAUGAAUUUCAUGAAACUUUUCAUAAUCUUCAGACAUGUCUGUCUUGCCCUACAAUCCCACGAUGUCUCUUUUUCCUAAAAGAACUAUGUGGUGCUUUGGCUCAUCGUAUGAUGUAUUCGCUUCCUUAUAUUUUCAUAUUCUCGGUUUGGUAGACAUGUCCUUCCUAUAGAAAACUGCGCCACAUCAUUGGCUAGGACGAAUGGUUCCUCUCCGUGUGCAAGAUUGUUCAGAUCCACUGUUGUCAUUCCAUACUGUGGGUCUAUCUGUACCUCGCCUCCUGACAGAUUGACCCAUUUGCAAUGAAACAAAGGGACCUUCAAAUCAUGUCCAUAGUCAAGUUCCCAUAUGUCCACUAUGUAACCAUAAUAUGUGUCCUUUCCCCUCUCGGUUGCUGCAUCAAAGCGGACACCGCUGUUUUGGUUGGUGCUCUUUUGAUCUUGGGUGAUCGUGUAAAAUGUAUUCCCAUUUAUCUCGUACCCUUGGUAACUCAAUACAGUCGAAGAUGGUCCCCUGGCCAAGGAGUACAACUCAUCAGAAACGGUGUUGUCACACAUAAGACGUUUUUGCAACCAACUAUUGAAAGUCCUGAUGUGUUCAAAUGUAAUCCAGUUGUCACACUACUCCGGGUGUAUGGAGCUCAGAAUAUUCUUGUGUUCAUCGACAUACGGGGUCACCAAGGUAGAAUUCUGUAGAACUGUGUAGUGUGCUUGAGACCAAGAAUGCCCGUCCGUACACAUUAUUGACUCCGCUCCUAGUGUGCCUUUUCCAGUCUGUCUCCCCUCAUACCGCGAUUGAGGGAGACCAUUCUUCUUAAGGUCAGGAAUGAAGUCAACACAAAGUCCAAUGACAUCCUCUGUUUGAUGGCCCAUGGAGAUUCUUCCUUCUGGCUUAACGCGGCUACGAACAUAUUUCUUUAAGACUCCCAUGAACCUCUCAAAGAGGAACAUAUUGUGUAAAAAUACACGGCCCAGAACGACAAUAUCGUCGACUAGAUGAACUAGGAUGUGCGUCAUGAUAUUGAAGAAGGAUGGUGGGAACACCAGCUCGAAACUAACAAGACAUUGCACCAAAUCACUCCUUAACCUUGGCAGGAUUCCUGGAUCGAUCACCUUCUAAGAGAUUGCAUUGAGGAAUGCACAUAGCUUCACAAUGGCUAAUCGAGCGUUUUCCGGUAGAAGUCCCCUCAAUGCAACCCGAAGCAGUUGUGUCAUAAUCACGUGGCAGUCAUGAGACUUUAGGUUCUGAAACUUUUUCUCUGCCAUGUUUAUUAUUCCCUUUAUAUUCGACGAGAAGCCAGACGGGACCUUCAUACUGAGCAGGCAUUCAAAGAAGAUUUCCUUCUCUUCUUUGGUAAGAGCGUAGCUGGCAGGACCUUCAUACUGCUCUGGUUGCAUGUCGUCUUUUUCAUGCACACGUUGAUGUUCCUCCCGUGCCUCCGAUGUAUCUUUUGUCUUACCAUACACUCCCAAGAAGCCUAGCAGGUUCACGCAAAGAUUCUUCGUCAUGUGCAUCACGUCGAUUGCAGAGCGUACCUCUAGGUAUUUCCAAUAGGGUAGGUCCCAAAAUAUAGAUUUCUUAUUCCACAUGGGUGCGUGUCCCGCAUCGUCAUUCGGAACAGAUAGUCCGCCAAGACCCUUUCCAAAGGUUACUUGUAAAUCAUUGACCAUAUCAAGUAUGUGAUCACCAGUACGGAGGGCGGGCUUCUUCUGGUGAUCUGCCUCACCUUUGAAAUGCUUUCCUUUCUUUCGACAUUGAUGGUUGGUCGGAAGAAAUCGAUGAUGCCCCAUGUACACAUUCUUCCUGCAUUUGUCGAAAUAUAUACUGUUGGUGUCAUCUAAAUAGUGUGUGCAUGCGUUGUAUCCCUUGUUUGUCUGUCCUGAAAGGUUACUGAGAGCAGGCCAAACGUUGAUGGUUACAAACAGCAACGCAUGUAGAUCAAAUUCCUCCUGUUCGUUCUCAUCCCACACACGUACACCAUUUCCAUUCCAUAGUUGUAAAAGUUCAUCAACUAAUGGCCUUAGGUACACAUCAAUGUAUUUGUCGGGUUGCCUAGCGCCUUGGAUGAGCACUGGCGUCAUAAUAAACUUCCGCUUCAUGCACAACCAAGGAGGAAGGUUAUACAUACAUAGAGUCACAGGCCAUGUGCUAUGCUUGCUGCUCUACUCCCCAAAAGGAUUAACGCCAUCUGCACUUAAACCAAACCAUGCAUUCCUUGGGUCACGUGUAAAGUUGCUUCACUUCCUCUCGAUCUUUCUCCAUUGCGACCCGUCAGCGGGUGCUCUCAACUUUCCGUCUUUCUUACGGUCUUUUAUAUGCCAUUGCAUCAACUCGGCCUGCUUUUUGUUUCUAAACAUAUGUUUCAACCGUGGUAUUAUAGGAGCAUACCACAUCACCUUGGCAGGAACCAUCUUCCUGGUGCGCUGGCCCUCAACAUCACCAGGGUCAUCUCAUCUGAUCUUAUACCGCAAUGUGCCGCAUACUGGGCAUGCGUUCAAAUCCUCGUAUGCACCACGGUAGAGGAUGUAGUCAUUACGGCAUGCAUGUAUCUUCUGCACCUCCAAUCCUAGAGGGCAUAGAACCUUCUUCGAUUCAUAUGUACUGUCGGGCAAUUUGUUAUCCUUUGGAAGCUUCUUCUUCAUUAACUUCAUUAGCGAACUAAAUGCCUUAUGAGAUACACCAUUGUGUGCCUUCCAUUGCAGCAAUUCCAGUGUGGUACCGAGCUUUGUGUUGUCAUCUUCGCAAUUUGGAUACAACCCUUGUUUGUGAUCCUCUAACAUGUGAUCGAACUUCAACUUUUCCCUUUCACUUCCGCAUUGUCUAUGUGCAUCAACAAUGAACCGACGAAGAUCAUCAUUGGGCACAUCGUCUGGUUCAUCUUGAUCUUCAGCUUCCCCCAUUGCAGCAUCACCAUAUUCAGGGGGCCGGGUAGUUGUCAUCAUCCUCUUCUUCUACGUUGUCUUCCAUCAUAACCCCUCUUUCUCUGUGCUUUGUCCAAACAUUAUAGUGUGGCAUAAAACCCUUCUAAAGCAGGUGAAGGAUUUUAUAGUCGGAGAAUUCCUUUGUAUUCCCACAGACAGUACAUGGACAAUGCAUAAAACCAUUCUGCUUGUUUGCCUUAGCCGCUUCGAGAAAAUUAUGCAGGCCAUUAAUAUACUCGGAGGUGCGUCGGUCACCGUACAUCCAUUGAAGGUUCAUCUGCGUGCGUUAUAUAACAAAGUGUAUUAAAAACUACACAAAUCUUGAUGAAAAUGGAGUUUGGACAAGGAGCUUCUAAAGGAGAAAGCUUAAGUAUGGCUCGGGCAUUUCAUUGAACACCUCAUGUGCAUAGGAGGUGAGCUAGAGCACCACAAAGCUCUCCCAUGGCCGGCCGAAAAAACAGAGCAGUGCACUUCUCUGCUCGCGAGGGUAUAUGUAGGCCAAUCGUUGGUCCCAGUUAUUGGCUGGAACAGAGACCAAAGGACAACCUAAGGUCUCGGUUCCAGCCACAAACUGGGACUACUAGUUGUGGGCCAGGAGCGAGGCACAUUGGUCCCGGUUCGUGUCUGGAACCGGGACCGAAGGUGACAAACGAACCAAGACAAAUGGCCCACAAGGCCCGGCCGGUGCCCUGGCCUCACGAACCGGGACCUAUCACCACAUAGGUCCCGGUCCAUGAGUGAACCGGGAUUAAUGGGAUUUCAUCAAGUGGACCAAAGCCCUAUUUUCUACUAGUGACAUGAAACAUUAGAUGAGUAUGCCAUACAUGGCAUCGAACAACCAAAUGGGAUGGGAAGUUCAUUACAUUGCAUCGGACAACCAAAAGACAGAGCUAGUUCAACACCGGAUUCUACUACUACUUCAUAUAUAGUCCUUCUUGUCCUUUUUAGUCUUCAUCCAAAGUCAAAGUAUCUCUACUUUGACCAAAUUUAUAGAAAAAGUAUCAACCUUCAUAAUGCCAAAUAAAUAUUCUUAGAUCCAAUGUGAAAUGUAGUUUCAUAGUAUAUAUAUUUGGUAUUGUAGAUAUAGAUAGUUUUGAAUAUAAAUUUGUUCAAAGUUUGCAAACUUUGACUUAACAGAAAUCUAAUACGCGGAGUAAAAAGGACCAGAGAGAGUACAUAUACUAUGAAAUUAUACUAGGAAAAGAGAAUACCACCGCUUUGACUUGCCAUGCCCCUUGUCAUAUCUAGGGCGGUGGUAGUACAUGGUGAAGACCGCGCGAGGGUCAUCGCCCGAUGAGCGUUAGAGUAGGAGGAGCUGGUGAUGCAGGAGGAUGGGGAGGGGUAGGGGGCGGUGAGGAGUCAGGCGAUGCAAGCCCGCUCUACGACGGGCUUUUGUUAUCGUCUUCACUUUCCGAGCCACUUCCCACUCGAUGCAUCGAUGCCCUCUCGCAAUGCCUUCACAUUUUUGCGGCAACGAGUGUUCGUCAUUGUGGAGAUCAAUGACCAGCGCAUUACUUCAUGUAAUACAUGGUCAUCGAAGUUGGGCAGGAGACCAACAAUUGUAGCGGACUAGCUAGAUCGAACCUUGUCACAAGCCUUCUGCCGAGCACGCCACACUGCCCGCGUCAAAGGCUCGGAGGACGCCACCGAGCAUCAAUUUGUUGGAGAUAUGCCAUAGAGGCAAUAAUAUUGUAUUUUGCAUUUCCAUAUUCAUAGUUAAGACUUUAUAUUCUAUGCCAUAACUGCUAGGAUCCUAGAAUAUGUGAUUCAGUGGAAAACUCAUAUGCAUGUGUGGAAUAGUAAAUGGUUAAAUAGAGAUUCACAGUGUUGCCUCUAAUACUGGCUCAAGUGUAGUGGGUGAUCUCAUUUUUUGGAUCUUAGGAUAUCAUCAUGUGCAAUGAUGAUCUUAAAACAACAUUGAGACUACGACAUUAGAACAAUGAUCAUAUUGAAUCGACCAAAUACUUGUUUGUUAUACUUUGAGAUAAUAUCUUCUCAAAUCAAUUGGUAUAACACAAAGUGUUAACAUGUGUUUUAUGUUCCUUAUACCAUGACAGUGUCGUAGUCACUUCUUAUCAUAUGCCGAGCUUUGGGGUUGCUCAAACAUCAUUUGUACCUAGGUGAUCAUAACGACAACUUACACGUUCAUCAGAAAUUUUGACAGGGGACUAGAUAGUUCGAGAGUGGGAUUUUCUCCUCCAAUGAUGGAGAGUUAUUAUUAGGGCCCUCUCCGUGUGACAAAAUCAAUCAUCAUAUGGCCAGACACAGGUGACUUAGUCACGUGGACGCCUAAACAUGAAAACGAGAAAGAAGAACAAAAACAGCAACGAGGAUAACAGUAUAGUGAGUGUGUGAUGACUCAUGAGGAUAUGGAUGCAUCUCGGGUUUAAAAGUAUCGCAAAGAAAAUUUAAUGUCACAUGGUAAUCAAAGGUUCACUCUAAUAUCAUUCAUGUGCUCAUAGGGAUCGAUAUGGACGUCCACGGUCCCGCUACCGGUCAUUGAACAAAGGGGUUUCGUUCAUGAGUUAUCGAACCUACGGGGUCACAAGACUAAGGCUAUCACAAUCUUCUGAGUGUUAGUAGUACGGGGGAGAUGAGAACAUGUUUUUGAAAUUGUUUCAUUAUUGUAUGAAAUAGUUUCGAGAGGACCCGGAAGCGUUUCGGGGUCACCAUAAGGGCCCCGGAGAGUAUCGGGUAAUACCGGCGAUUGCUGAUAAAUAAUAUAUAGGUGGAAAUGUUUUGUAGCAUGUUAAAUUAUAUAUAAAAUGGACUGAAAGUGUUAAGAAUAAUUUUAUAUUUUAUUUAAUAAUAAUGGGCCUUAAAAGACCAAGAGGUGGAAGGCAACUUGGGCCACAAGAGCCCAAUGGGAAGGUGCCUCCCUUCCCUAAGGAAGGGGGCCGAAUUGAUGAGGGGGAGGAGUUGGACUCCUCUUCCCUUGUCCGGCCAAAAGGGAGGGACUCAUUCCCCUUGUGGCGCCCUCCUUCUCUCCUCCAACCUAUAUAUACUCGAGGUAUUUGCACCUAUUGUAUACACAAGUUUUGGAGCCGCUUCUAGUUCAUCUAGUUCUAGUUCUAGUUGGUCCUAGUUGACUAAUCAGAGCUCGGUCUAGUUCCUCAAAUCCUCAUAAUUAGAAGGCUAGUGUGAUUCUAAUCUUCUCCCUCUAAUUCUCAAGUGACGAUUAGCUUUGGAUGACAAAGCGAUGUCGGAUCAUGAAGAUCGUACACUUGCAACCAAGUAGAGAGGUUGUGUUUUUGUCUUCGGUUCGAGGGAUUGUUCAUCUAUGAUUCAAGGAACUCCAAGCUUGGUCUUCAUCAUCACGUUCUUGUUUUGCUCCUACUCGGUGAUGGUAACGGUCGUGAUCCCAACCAUUAUUAUAUCUUCAUAGUGUUCCUCGUUGCUUGCGUGGCGUUUUUUGUUUUCUACUAUGUUUCCCAACACCAACAAUGCCCAAGAAUGCAUGCUGGCGACAACACACCAUAUACACAUGAGCAGCGUCGGGACACCAAGGACGGUGUGGAGUGCCUUAACUAACAACUCCAUUCACCCUAUCCGCAACUUGGGACGGUGCGAAGCUCAAAGAGUCUCCAUAGUCAACCCACGAGCGGUGGAGGGCCAGCUACUCGUCGGACAAUUAGAGCUAGAAUCCUCCGCCACCACCAUAUCCCAAUCAAUGGGGCUUAAUCGGAUCUUGAUCCACUACCGGAGCUGUAUAUGGUGGCUUGGGAUGGUGAGGACUAGAUGACAAGGAGGGAGUAGAGCAAUCGAGAGUGAGGGCUAGGGUUUGGUCCGGGUAGGAUAGAGUGGGGUUUAUGUGGUGUCAGAGUGGGACCAAUAGGGGUUGUUUUACGUGGUGUGUUACACAAUCUCGGGUCCGCUAACACCAGCCUUUCCGACCCACAUGCAUCAACAGGACAAACAGGAGAGCAACACCGACUUAUGACAGGCCUGGGGCCCUCUCCCCCCAAAAGACUAGCCUUUUAGGAGGGGACACCCUCACCCUUAUAAGUCGUGUUAUGUCUCCUCCCACAACCAAUGUGGGACUAAACCCAACAAUCUCCCCCUCACACAUCGCUCACCCAUGGGCCCGCUAAUACCAGCGUCUCCAGCCCACCUACCAUGACCGACCACCCGUGAGUCCACCGAGAUUUAUUCUGGGCACCUGGGCUCUGAUACCACUUGUUACACAAUCCCGGGUCCGCUAACACCAGCGUUUGCGACCCACAUGCGUCAACGGGCCCAACUGGAGACGUUCUCUUCGUACAAGUCUGGUGAUUUUGGUUUAGCCUAUAUGAGCGAUGACACUGGUUAUCGUGUUGUACAUCGGUUGUGGGAGGAGAAGUUACACGACUUAUAAGGGUGAGGGUGUCCCCUCCUAACAGGCUAGUCUUUUGGGGAGAGAGGGCCCAAGGCCUGUCAUAAGUCGGUGUUGCUCUCCGGUUGGGCCUGUUGACGCAUGUGGGUCGGAAACGCUGGUGUUAGCGGACCCGAGAUUGCGUAACAAGUGGUAUCAUGAGCAAGGUUACGACGAGGUCGUUGUGCAUUGAUCUAGAGGAUGAAGAACAAUUGGAAGCAGUUGGAUCGAAAGCUUUACGGCGGAAGAAUUGCGAGGCUACGAAGUAGAUCGGUCAAAAUAUCAGUCGAUGAUGUGGCAGCGACGUGUGGUCGUUCGUCGUACAAGCGACAUCUCGAUUGGCUGGGCUUUUGGCGUACAUGCAAGUCGCGCGUGGUGUUGGGAGAGGCCCAGGUGCAGCGAUAUAUCUCCUGUCAAAUCGCGCGUGGCGUUGGCAGAGGCCCAGGUGCAGCGAUAUAUCUCAUGUCAAAAAGCUAUCAUACAUAGCAGCAUAAUUAGAUUUGUUUGGAAACAAAAAUUAACAAGACCGAGUCCUGGAAGAACUCGUGUUGGACAGGAACCUGGAGGUGCGCUAUUAUAUAUAGCCGCAAGGGCCGGGCACCUGAUGUGACGAAAAUAACAGCAGAUCAACCGGCAAAGAAAGUCCAUUGAUACGCAUUAGUACAUCGGAAAGCAUCAGGCUUUGGCAAAGCAAUUAACAUCAAGCGUCCAGAUUUGUGCUUUCGAGUAGAUCACGUGGAAGGCCAAUUUAUUUUGGUGGAUUGCUACUAGUGCACAGAGGCGAGACCAUGUGGGUUUUGCUCGUGCACUUCAGCAUCACGGGGAUAACUCGGGUAUUUUUUCACACAAUCAGCCGUACAAAGAACCAUGGCGCCAGUGGGUACCAGGUUUGAGGUGGAGAAGUUCGACGGGACUGGAAGCUUUGGGUUAUGGCAGACAAGGGUGAAAGAUUUGUUGGGAGAACAGGGAUGCUUGAAGGCGUUGUUGCAGGAAGCCAAGCCAGCUAAGAUGGAGGCUGAGGACUGGGAGGAGUUACAGUUGAGGACAUCUGGAACUAUACGGUUGUGUCUGUCGGACCAGGUUAUUUAUCAUGUGAUGGAUGAGAAUUUGCCGAAGAAGAUCUGGGAGAAGCUGGAGAGUCAAUUUAUGUCCAAGACUGCUACGACCAAGGUGUAUCUGAAGCAAAAGUUGUAUGGGAUGAAUAUGCGGGAGGGGUCAGAUCUUGUGGAGUAUAUGAACGCCUUUAAUCAAGUCGUGAUAGAUCUAGCACGCUUGGGUGCAACGAUUGACGACGAGGAUAGGGCAAUUCUGCUUCUUUGUUCAUUGUCAUCAUCCUAUGACCAUUUGAUCACUACUUUGACGCAUGGCAAGGAGACUGUCAAGAAUGAGGAUAUUACUGCAGCCUUGCUAUCUUAUCAUAUGAGAAAGAAGAAUGCAGUGGAAGUCUCUCAUAGUGAAGGUUUGCUAGUCAAGGGUGAAGCGUAGCGAAAGGGAUAUGAGGCAGGGAAGAAAAAGAAAAGAAAAUAAAAUACAGUGUCACAAGUGUAAGCAGAGGGGACAUAUUAAAAAGGACUGUCUAGAGCUUAAUGGUGGGUCAAGUGCUAAUAUGACAAUUCAUGGUGAUGACUCAGACAUCAGUAGUGAUGCCCUUGUAGUAUCAGACAAGCGGUCAACCAAAAGUGAAGCGUGGAUGUUGGAUUCAGCUUGCUCUUUUCAUGCGACACCCAACAAGGAGUGGUUCUCUUCGUACAAGUCUGGUGAUUUUGGUUUAGCCUAUAUGGGCGAUGACACUGGUUAUCGUGUUGCUGGAGUAGGUGACAUUAAAAUAAAGAUGUUUGACGGAGUUGAGCGGAUGCUUCGGGGAGUCAGGCAUGUGCCGGGGUUAAGGAGGAAUCUAAUUUCGCUUGGAGUUCUUCAUGAUGGUGGUAUGGUAUUCCGUUGUGAUCGGGAUAAUAAGACCAUGGAAAUCAUGGAAGAUAAGGUGACUGUGAUGAUUGGAGCGAGGAAAGCUUCACAUCUUUACAAGUUGCAAGGAAGCACUAUUGCAGGUGGAGUCACGGAGACUGGAAUUGCAGGAGUAGCAACAGGAUCCCACGGAGGCGGCGGGUCUGGGGAAGAAUCAUCGGGUAGCUCUCGGUAAGCUACAAAGAAGACAACACAAGUCCGGAGUACACGGAAGUUUGACGCAUGGACACAUUCAAAGGGGUGAAGAAUAUUCGCCAAGGUGGAGUUUGUUAGAGUUGUGUCGAAUAUUGUGUACGAGUUGGGUUACAUAUGGACUUGGUGUUGUAGUUUGGGUAGGAUACAUGUAGUGUUGUAGUCGGACAUGUUGUACCCUUGGCCUCUUAUAUAUGAGGAGGCACCCCACGUUGUAACCUAUGACUACUAGAUAGCGACAGGCUCGCAAGGGGGGAGCCGGGGCUUGUGCCGACGCCCGGGUGGCCGGUGUUGCGGUAUCUCGGGGAGGAGCGCCCGUAGUCAUUGCCCCGGGGAGUAGGCGAGUUCGCCGAACCUCGUUAACAAAUCUCGGUCUCGUUAUUGUGCUGUGAUUGUUUGUCCCUCGGUGGAUCGACUACGUACCUCGGAUUUAUUCGUAACAUGGUGGACGUGUCUGCGCAUGUGUGAGCCGCCCAAAUCAGCUACAGAUAUGAGCUGAAUUUGAGGGGCGUUGAACGAUCGUGAACAUUUAGGCUCGAUUUGAAGGGUUAACUUGGACGAGGUCGAGAAGUCUCAACUUGAGUAAAGGAUUUAUAAAUGUUGGGUUAUCCAGAGUGUCCACGUGGAUAAAUAAAGGGAAUAUAUAGGGUCUAACGGAGAUCAUCUUUGAGACACGAAAGCAUUUCAAAACAUAGAACCAGACAACCAACAUUCAAGCCAACUCCAACGCGCUGAUGCAUUUGAUCUGCACAUGUCCGUAUAUGCCGAAAUGGACAGAAGCGACGUCUCAACAUGUUGACGCAUCCACAAAUGUGGUCCGCUCAAUGACCGUCUCGACAAAUAUCAGGAUCAAAUUUGCGGCCGAUUUGCAUCCACAAAGAGAACACAUGUCAUCUUUGUGUCCGUUCUAACUCGCAUGUUGGACUACCAACCAAUGCCCAAUCAUUGUGAAUGCAAACCAACCAUCUUAGGCCCGCUUGUCACCGACACGAAGAAUCCAGUCCACGUUCUUUUAAAUGGCCAUGCGUGCUCCCUUUCUGGCCGACACAAACCCUAGCCUCUGUCGUCGCCAUGGGCUUCGUCAUCCACAAGCAUGACCAUGAGGCUCGAUCUUCACGUAGCCCGGCCAAUUUAACGCUGGCGUCGGGAUGGGGGCGAUGACCAUGCUACCGACUCUACAUUUCGGUGCAUUGUGCUUAGUACCAAUGGGAGUACUGUGUCCAAUUGUCAUGGCUGAACAUCAACCUUCUACACAGUUGGCAUCUCGACAGCCAUUAGAUUCCGGUGACGGUCGUGCUGCAGUCUGGGCAUGUACGUGCAGUAGAGAUCUGCAACCUCCAUGCUCUUAUCGUGCCGGAGCAACACCGCGACCCUGCAUACAUGCUCGACUCCCUGAAUUGGGACAUCUAAUUCACGGUUGAGCACGCCAUGAGCCGUCGUGGCGUCGUCUAGAUCGACGAUCGCCCCCAUCGCCAUCGUCGAUGGAGAAGGAGGACGACAAAGAGGUGGCCUACCAAGCGGCACUGGAGGAGGCGAUCCAGCGCGCCAUCGAGGAGUCCAAGUGUGUGAAGGAUGCUCGGUGACCUAGCCUCAAGGAGGCGUUGCAGCAUUCGGUGGCCGGUGAGAACGUCUAUCCACUACGACCUUCAUCACCACCGCCAUCGUCCGCACCCGCGCCCAUGCUCGAGACGUAUCAAUGGGUGGGCGUUGUGCCCAGGUAUAUCUCUAGGUCGCCAGUUUGGCUAUGCGUGAUGGAGGAUGGGGAGCGAUAGUACCUUGCGCAGUGGGAGGGCCGCGCGGUGGUAUCAAAUUGGGCAGACUUGGAGCAUCCGAUGCAAUCAUUGUGCAAGGAGGAGGCCGAGCGGCGCGCGCAGGAGGAAAAGAUGCAGUGUCACGCAACGCCGCCACCGCCACCGCGUCAGCAAACGACACUGGCAGCCUACCAGCAUGCUUUCCCAUGGGCGGCGUUGCUGAGUACGUCGACCUAACCAUGGAGGGCAAGCAUGACGACGAUGAUGCCUAGGGCUGCGGGCUGGGGCACCGAGCGCAUGAGAGUGGUAUUUUUAGUUUAAAUAUUUUUUGUUUUAAUUAAUUAUUAAGUGGGCUUCGACCAGCAUUCCAAUAUGCAUGUUUUAUUUUAAAAAAUUUAUGCCUAUUGAGUUGUUUGUAAGUUGUGGCGUCGGCCAAAUGCUUUGGCCACAUUUGGGCGCCCCGAUGGCCCAAGGCCACAAUCGAACACAUUUGUCCGCUCGAACGACUCAAACAAGCAAAAAACAAAAAAUAUGUGUCUAUUUGCGCGUGGGUGGGGAUGCACACGUCUCGCAAUGCCUGGGCGACAGCCGGAGAAGUACAAAGACGAUGCCGGAGGAGGAGGAGGAUGAGGAUGCACUGCAAGAGGGAGUUGGGGUCGAGUGAAAGAAAAGUGACCCGAGAUGAGAAUUCGAGUGGAUCGGGGGUGUCGGAGUCCCACGUCAUUGCGGUUCAGAAUACCACAAAGCUCCCCAAUUUUGUGAUCGGUUUACAAAAAAUUAGACAAACGAACGCAUCCACGCACAAAUGCAUGUGUGUUGAAUGGCAAACUACACGGUUCAAACGUAUGUGGGCGUUUUGAGGGUCUACUUGAAGAUGCCUCGAGUGUUCUUCCUUUAUUUGUUCGGACCUACCGUUAUAAUUUUUCUGAAUAGAUGUUUCAAAAAUCUGAAAAUAAAUUAUUUGUGUUCACUAGACAUUUGUCCACAACCCUAUGCUUUGAGUUUGGAUCUGUAUUUCUGAAGAGCUGCGUACACAUGUGUGGUGAACAUUCGCGAUUAUUUUCUGAAUAUUUUAAUUUGAAUUUUUAUAAUUUGGAAGUAAGAGUGACACCUGAUACACUUAUACGACAUUUUCCGUGGCGGGGGUACCCAGAAUACGUGUCACCCGUUUCAGCCGUUAGCAAGCGUCGGUGCUGCCAUUGCCGACAGUCGACAUCUGGGGUUCCCUGUUCAGCAGGUAAUUAUCACAUUCAGAGGAAGGACACGUAUCUCCACGUUAUUGGCUAGUGCUUUCUUUCAUUUUUCUUUUUUGCAUAAAUCCACUUGCGAUUGUGACCACAAGAGCUUUAGCUGAUUCCAUAUCUGCCACUUUAUCUUAAAGAGGUAACCCGCUGAGAUUUGUGCGAACAAAGUUCAUUUCGUGACUGCGGUUCUUCACGGUCAAGCACUAAAAAAAGGGACAGAUAGACAUUAACACUGUCAGCCUGCUCUUAGUUCAAGUACCUUUACGAAGGAUUGUUAUAGAAAUUUGGAGGAUCAAAAUCAUAAGAAAUUUUUCUGUGUUAUUCGUCUGAUUAGUAGAAGUAAGUUUCAUAGGAAUUCUCAGGCAGCACUUUACACUAAACGAUUUUAAAAUAAUUUGUAUCCACUCAAAGCUCUUAGUAAUAACCAUGGAUUAGAAAGACUACGUUCAUUCUUAUCCUACACAAAAAUGAUUGUUAUCCUACACAAAAAAACUGAACAAGGUUAGUCUGUCUAAUACAAAAACUUCUAUUUUUCUACAACACUCAAAUAGAGAUUGAAGUGUGCUACUAUUUUACAUUACAAUUUUCUCUUCCCCUGUCUGUCUUAUUAUAUCCGAAGAUAUUUUCUUCUCCACUACCAAACUCAACCACACAAGUAGCUUUCCCUCUUGUCGCCGAUCCCAUCCACACCUUCCUCCACCUAUAAAAUCGAACCCCUACCAUCUAUCCUCUUCACUCCCUCUGCUACUAGCCUCACCACUCUUAAGCGACAAAAGAUUGUUGCUACCAGCACCUAAGCUUGAAUGGAGGGUGAGAAGAACUCGUCCGGGGACCUGAUGUCCAGCAGCAAGCUGGUCGCGGAGGCCGCCAGGACAGCCUACGAGAAGAAGAGCGUCGAGGGCAUCGACAAGGAAAAGGUAGCCGCCGCCUCCGCCGAUAUCCUGGACUCCGCCGCCAAGUACGGCAAGCUAGAGGACAAGCCGGUGGGCCAGUACCUCGAGAAGGCCGAGGAGUACCUGAAACAGUACAGCUCCGGCGGUGCAGAGAAGACUGAUGCACCUGCUGCCGCUGACGCACCGAAGCCGGAUGCACCCAAGGAGCCAGCGCCUGCGCCUGCACCUGCACCCGCCGUGGAGGAAGAGAAAUCGUCCGACGGGUUCGGUCUCGACGACGUCAUGAAGGGGGCUGCAUCGCUAUCAGGGAAGAAGGGUGACGGGGAGGAGAAGGAGAGCGGCGGCGGCGGCUUCAUGAAGAUGGCUCAGGGGUUCAUGAAGUAGAAGUCGGGUUUCUGCUUCUACUACAUGCAUGUAGCUCUUGCUAAGUUCGUGCGCUGCGUUCCUUUUUUGUAUUUUAUUACUGUAUAAAAUAAUAACGUCGUGGUUGCGCUUAAUUAUAUUAUUAGCUGCUGAUAUUUGGUUCUGUAAAGUUUCUUAAGUUAUGGAUGUCUGUAUGAUGAUCAAUAAUCCGGUUGUGCUAGCUAGAGGCAUCCUGCUUGCAGGAUCUCGGUUGUAAUCUACUCCCUCCCUUUUUAAAUAUAAGUUUUUUUAGACGUUUCACUAAAAGACUAUAUACGGAUGUAUAUAAACAUAUUUUAAAAUAUAAAUUCAUUCAUUUUGCUUCGUAUUUGGUUUUUUAAUGGAAUUUAAAAAAAUAUAUAUAUUUAGAAAUGGAGGGAGUAUAAGUUGCGACAUAAAGACCGGUGUUUCCAUUAUCAAUUAUUGCAUCUGGCCCUAUAUCAUGUUAUUUUAGGGGUAUGACCCUAUAUUAUUUGGGCCAUGCCUAUGACUACCAAGGAACAUGGAGGGUUUUUGCACUGUUUUGACCUUUUCAACAGUCUUUAUCAUAAACUGAAAGUAUUUUACGAUUUGACCCUUUUAAAAAACGUCACAGCCCGUGAUGUUGCUGCUGCACGUAGAAACGUCGGUCUAGCUUGAUGUUUCUAUUCCACAUUUAAACGUCGAUCUAGCUCGGAUGUCAUUCACGCAAAAACGCCACGCUCACUGAUGUUGUCCUUGCAGCAAACGCCAUACAUCGUUCCUUCUCCCGGACAGGUGGGCGUCGUGUGCUCGUGCAUGCAUGGUCACGGGUAGGGAGGGACUGGGCGCCGCAGUCGCACAGGGGAAUGCGGCUCCCCGCCAAGCGGUGCCCGGUUGAGAAACUGCCUGCCGCCUCGGUAAGCAUGCAUGCCAGAGAUGGUGACUCUGACAGCCGGGCCUGGCUAGCUAGCUAGUGUAUUAUGACAGUGGCAACAUCUCGCUCGUUGGCAGCGAUGGUUGACGGUCAAAAGCUAGCUAAGUAGCGAGCCAUGCAGCGCUAGUCCAGUCCCGUCAGUCACCACAAAACAAAAAACAAACACAAACACACAAUCAGGCUGUAGUAAGUGUCAAUCCAUGGCGUCACCAAGGGCUGUUUGGCUUUCGGUCACACUUUGUCAAGUCAAAAUUUAGCAGCCACAGUUUAAUUAACAUAUGUUUGGUUUUUGCCACACUUUGGUUUGCCAUACUUUAUUAAUGCUAUGACCCAUUGUCAUGAGCAAGCAAGCGGAGUAGAGCACAGUUGUACAGCUAUAUGAAAAAUAAAACGGGAGCAGGAGCGUGGAGAAAAAGUGGGCAUGGCAACGCCGCUAGAACAGUAACAGGCCACGGAAACGACAUGGUCCAUGGCGUUUGCCGUCUGGGUAGCAACGUGAGAGCCUGGCGUUUUUAUGUGAGCUGCAAUGCGAGCUAGUUAGUCGUGUGAACGUGGAGCAGAAACGUCAUAGUAGAUUGGCGUUUCUACGUGUAGUAGCAACACCACGGGUUAUAGCGUCUUUAAAAUGUCAGAUCGUGAAAUAGUUUCGUACAGAGUUCAUUUUGUGUUAUAAUUUCAGAUUAACGUCAGAAUAGUGAAAAAAAUCCUAACAUGGAGUACUAAAAUUGAUUAGGACUUUUUUUUGCAAACACCCAAAAGACUUGCGUGCCGAUGUAUUACAAGAAAGAAAAUAGUACAGGGUAUUCGGCGGGUGGCCGUGAUUACAAGGGACGCCGAUGCGACUCCAUCGGCGGGCAAUCAGAAUAAAGCAACGAUCAAUACAAUCUGUACAUAAGUUCAUGCACACAUAAAAACCGGGGCGACGACACUAUCUAACUCAAAGAAAAAAAGAAAUGAGAAAAAAGCCAGCUAAUGACGGUACAACCUUGGUCCUACAUGAAAGCCAGACGCCGGCCGUAGCCAAAAUAGCGUCCAACAUACCAUUCACACAUGCGCAGUCGUGCUGCCUAGAAAGUGGGUGCCAAUACUGCAUAAAAGACAGGAAUUUGAAGGAGUGAGACGUGUACCUCGAAAAAAUCCGUUCUAUCACCAUCUUAUUGCGAGUCGUCUAGAGGGUCCAAGCCAUGGCGGCAAAGAUCAACCAGAAUAAACGGCGGUGGCGCCCAGUGUGAUUGGCCCUGAAUUGGAGGAACUCUGCAAGGUCUUCAGCCUCCGAGUCGGGUCCAAGAGCCUCGCGAAUGAAUUCCCAUAUGGCUCUUGCCGUCGUGCACGUGAAGAUUUUGUGGGUUGCGUCUCUCGCACGCCAAUAAGGGGCACGUGUCGUCACCUGGUCCGUGCCGCUUCCGCAACUCUGUCCCCGAGGGGAUGCGGUUACGGAGUAGCUGCCACACAAAGAUUUUGAUCUUUAAGGGUAGAGGGGCCUUCCAUAGCGGCUAGCCAUGGAAUAAUGAGGAGCGACAGAUGACCUGAUAGGACGAACUAACCGAAAAUUCCCGCGACAGGGAAAGACGCCAGACCACCGUAUCUGGGCGAUCCGGGAGUACAUGUGCCAAGACGUCGAGCAGGCGGUGCCACUCGUCCGUUUCUAUCGAUCCGAAUGAGGGCCUGGACAUAAUAGCCAAGUGCCCUUGGCGGAGGGCGCUAGAUGCUAGAAGGGAUGGGUUUACGCAGAUGGGGAAAAGGAUAGGAAACCACACCCUGAGUAGUUCAUCCCUAACCCAGGGGACCAGCCGAAACUAGGUCCCUUCUCCGUUACCUUUAUUAAAGGAGAUUCCUAGAUGAAUCUCCUCUUUGAUAUUGUGGAUAGCGCGCCCGAAUUCAGAUCCGCCGGUACGAGAGCACACAAGGAGCGGCUCACCCCUUAGGUACUUUGCGUGAAGGAGUUGGAGUCAGAGACCACCCUCGUUACGGAGGAUCCUCGAAAUCCACAGUAACACGAGGGAGGUAUUCAUACUGCGGGAUGCCGGGAUCCCCAACCCACCAUGGUCCUUAGGAAGGAAAAUAUCUGCCCACUUGACCAUGUGGUGCUUCUGAUGACCGUCAUUGGCCUGCCAGAAGAACCUGGCGAGCUCCUUAUCGAACGAGCUAUGGACGCUCUCCGGUAGGAUAUACAUCCCCAUCAUAAACAUGGGUAGGCUCGCCAAGUUGUUAGAAAUGAGGAAAGCUUUACUCCCUUUGGAGGUAAAACGGCCUCGCCAUGGCUCAGCCCGUGAAGCAAGCCGACCCACUAGGGGGGUCAACCCCUGACGCCAGGAUCUUUGACUUCGCCAAAGGCAUUCCUAAAUAAGUUGUGGGGAACACCGAUAGCUUGCAAUUUAGGUUAUUUGAAAUACAGAGCUGAUCCUCUAGGGAGUAGCCUAGGACGAAGAUCUCGCUUUUAUCAAAGUUGAUCUUCAGACCCGACAUCGCUUCGAAGCAUAGGAGGAGAAAUUUUAGAUUCAUAAUAUCGAGGUUGGACCCUUCAACCAUGAUCAUGGUAUCAUCUCUGUACUAGAGGUGGGUGACCCCUCCACAAGGGAUCAGGUGCCCCACCACCCUAGAAAGAUCUCGAACAUACGAGCUUUGUCUAGAAUGCCCGCCAGGGCAUCAACGAUGAGGUUGAAGACGAGGGUGAGAGAGGCCCCCCCUGCUUCACUCGAGCCGAGGAUGAGAAAAAAGGUCUCACCUUGCCAUUAAUGUUAAUGGUCGUCUUGCUAGACCGGACCAUCUGCAUAAUCCAGGAGCACCAUUUGUCAUCGAAGCAUCGGCGGUUAAGCACCAACCUCAGGAAGGACCAAUAGAGACGGUCAUAUGCCUUCUAGAAGUCCAACUUGAGGAACACACCCUUCUGGCCGCGUGAGUGCACCUCAUGCACAAUAUCUUGGAGGACCAAGAUCUCAUCAUGGAUUCAUCAGGCCUUCAAGCAUGAAGUCUGAAGGGGAUGAUCAAGCCUCUCCGCCAAGGAGCCACGUGUGUCGCACAUAGUUUAGAGAAUAUGCGCUCUAACAGUUUGAUCACCGUGAUAGGCCUAAACUGAUGAUAUCCGCCGCCCCAACUAUUUUGGGGAUCAGGGUAAUCACGCCAUAAUUGAUCCGGGCCUUUUCAAAGGUCCCAAUAUAGAACUCAUGGAAGAUUGCAUAAUCACCGGCUUAAUGUCGUCCCAGAAUUUUAGAAGAAGACCACUCACAGCCCAUCUGGACCAGGGGCCGAGCCUUCCUUCAUAGAGGCGAUAGCCCUGCCCACCUCCUCCUUCAAGAAAGGGAGGGUUAACUCCGUAUUCUCGGCAUCCGAAACUCAAACGGUAGGAGACCAGAAGUUGUCGGUGAUCGAAACCCCACUACGGGGUCCCGCCAAAAAUAACUCCUUGUAGAAAGAGUAUAUGUGGGACCGGAUCUCGUCCUCAUGCUCAAGAAGGUUUCAACCAUCCCAUAAACACGGGAUAGCGUAUCUCCGGCGUCGACCAUUCACGAUUGCCUGAAAGUAUGCGGUAUUGGCAUCACCUUGUAGAAGCCAUUUCUAUCCUACAUGGUAUUGCCAGAAGAGCUUCUCUCCCUUGAAUAUCUCCAUAAGCGAGGCCACAAGGGCAUAACGCCGCAUCCAUUCAUCGGCCAAGAGGCGAGAAGCAUCGUCCAGCACAUCAAGGGCUUUUAUCUGGACUAGUAGUGCCUCCUUACGCGCUAUAGUGUCCGCACCAAGGAUAGGACCCCACCCCCUCAUGAACUGGUGGGUACGAUGCAAAUAGUGGUGCCAAACGUCAGUAGCACAUUACGCAUGAGGAGGUGAUGCCACGGCCUCUACCGAGCGGUUGCACACCAGCGCCAAGAAUCGUGGUUGCAUUAGCCAAGCGGGCUUAAAGUGGAACCACCUCGGCUUAGGGGGUGCGUCGUCCCCCGACGAGAGAAGAACAGCGACAUGAUCUGCCCCUAUCCAUGUGACUGCCCGAAGCGAGCAAAGCGGGAACAUGACCUCCCACUGCAUCGAUACUAGGACCCUAUCCACAACACUACGGAUAUGGUCCAUCUGCUUAUUAGUCCACGUGAACCUAGCCCCUAUGUAGGCUAACUCCCAUAGAGCCAGGUCGGCGAUGCAGUCAUUGAACAUGCGCAUCCGACCCCGAUCCAAUGUCAUGGAACUUUUGUCGUCCGCCUGUUGAAUAAGGUUGAAAUCACGAGCCACCACGACCGGUGUAGUGUAGCGUUCAACCUCAUUCUUGAGUUCGGCCAGGAAAUCCACCGACCUACUAUGGUCAGCCGGGACGUAGACAAUGAUCACCUCCCAACUGAGGUUCACUUGUCGGUCCACGAUGGACAUGCUAAGGAAGAACUCCUCUCGGUCCAUGGCCUCAACCUAGAAGGUGUCCUCCUAGACCCUAAUCAAGAUGCCCCCCGAGAGGCGUGUAGAAGGAAGCUACUUCUAGGCAAACGAGCGGUGGGAGAGCCCAUGCAUUUCUGGAUGGAGAAGUCUUGGAGAAUGGUCUCUUGGAAGCCCACAAUAUCGAUCCUUUCUUACCUAAUGUAUUCGAUAAAUUGUUGAUUCUGGCCUAGGUGCCCGAAGCCCCGUAUGUUCCAACAUAGGAGCUUCAUGAUGGAACCAUGGUCGGGGAACUAGAGUGCCACUUAGGCGGGGCCUAGAUAGCCCGUCCAGCAACUGCAGAGCGGGGGAACUGUUUGGUCGGGUCCCCACGAUGCCCCUUUCUAGCAGGUGCCUCUGCGUGUUGGAGUUACGGAAGGCCGACACUAGCAGCAUGUGCGUGCACCCUUUGCUCGGUGGGGUGAAGGCGUGUGGGAGGCCGGCCCCGCGGUACCCUACCAACUCCAGGGCCUUCACGGACAGCCCGAGACAGGCCUAGGUCACACAGCCUGGCAUCAACCUUGGGCUCUCUAUGCCAAGAGUCUUCCGAGGGAGGGUUACCCAAAGGUCCACGAAGCUCAGGAGCAAAGGGAAUGGUGUUGUCUUCAGCCCAUGGCUCUACACGAGCACGGGCCUCAGCCAAGACACCAUCCAACCUCUCCUUGACACAAAUGGCCGAGAUGUGUUCAAGCCGCGAACCCUUCUCACCAUGGAACACAAUGUCAUAGUUGGAAGCCACAUUGCCUAGAUGACCAAGCGUAAGAGAGCCAAGGAUCGCAAAGUGGGAGCAAGAACAAGAUGAAGCAGGGUCCAGUGAGGGAUUACUUGAGGGGAGGUCGUGAGCAGUCACCCACAAGGAUGCAUUUUCUGCGAUGGUUGGGACCCAACCGUCCUUCAAUGCCAUGGAGCCGGAGAUAUGAGCACUUUGGCGUACGACGAAUGCUGGCGUCGGCGGUCCACGGCCUGGCGCAAACCACGAGAGAGACGCGGUCGGUCGAAGUUGCGCUGACCCCCGACGGCGGUGGAGUGCUGGGGAACAAAGACGUGAACCCCGAUGCUGAAGCAGGGGGGUCCGAGGCAAGCGGGUGUAGCAUACUGCCCGAGGGGAUCGCGGCGAAGAUGGAUGGCAGAUGUCCAUCCCCGGUCUCGUGGAACCCAGAGCGACCGGCGCGUCCGACAACCCCACACCCUCGGACGGGUCGGGUGGAACAUGUGCUGGCACAACAAGGGGGGGUCAUCGUCUCCUGAGUCAGCGGUGUUGUCCUUUGACUGACCCUCCUCUCCCCCGGCCCCUCCUCCACCAACGACGGAGACGGGGGAGGCGGUCCGACGGCCAUCCUAGCCUCUAGAUCGUUCUGGUCCAGCUUGUAGGUGAGACAGACCCCUUUGGAUCUCCCGAAGUAGAAGAGCAUAUAAAGGCCCUGGACCUCCUCCAAGGACAGGCACGGGAUCUCAGCAUGCGCACGGCCAUGAUACGUCUCGAACGUAUCUAUAAUUUUUGAUGGUUUCACGCUAUUAUCUUGUCUUCUUUGGUUGUUUUAUGUACCUUUUAUAUCUUUUUUGGUACUAACUUAUUAAUUCAGUACCACGUGCCAGUUCCUGUUUUUUCUGUGUUUUUGACUCUUUUCAGAUCUGAUUUUGGAACGAAGUCCAAACGGAAGAAAAACUCCGAAAUGAUUUUUUCCCGAACGCAAGAAGAUCAGGGGGCCUUUGGGCCAAGCCAGGUGGGCUCCAGGGAGUCCACAAGCCCUCACUCCGCCAACAAGGGGGGAGGCGGCGGUGGGCAGGCUUGUGGCCUCCCUGACCGCCCCCUGACCUAGAUCCUUGGCCUAUAUAUUCCCAAAUAUUCCGCAAAAAAUCAGGGGAGCCUCGAAAAUACUUUUCCACCGCCGCAAGCUUCCGUUUCUGCGAGAUCUCAUCUGGAGAUCCUUCCCGGCACCCUGCCGGAGGGAACUUCCGAGUUGGAGGGCUUCUUCUUCAUGAUCAUCGCCCCUCCAAUGACUCGUGAGUAGUUCACUUCAGACCUACGGGUCCGUAGUUAGUAGCUAGAUGGCUUCUUCUCUCUCUUGGAUCUUCAAUACAAAGUUCUCCAUGAUCUUCAUGGAGAUCUAUCCGAUGUAAUCUUCUUUGGCGGUGUGUUUGUCGAGAUCUGAUGAAUUGUGGAUUUGUGAUCAGAUUAUCUAUGAUAUAUAUUUGAGUCUUUGCUGACUUAUUAUAUGCAUGAUUUGAUAUCCUUGUAAGUCUCUCUGAGUCUUGGGUUUUGUUUGGCCAACUAGAUCUAUGAUUCUUGCAAUGGGAGAAGUGCUUGGUUUUGGGUUCUACCAUGUGGUGACCUUUCCCAGUGACAGUAGGGGCAGCAAGGCACACAUCAAGUAGUUGCCAUCAAGGGUAAAAAGAUGGGGUUUUUAUCAUUGGUUUGAGAUUAUCCCUCUACAUCAUGUGAUCUUGCUUAAGGCGUUACUCUGUUCUUAUGGACUUAAUACAUUAGAUGCAUGCUGGAUAGCGGUCGACGUGUGGAGUAAUAGUAGUAGAUGCAGAAAGUAUCGGUCUACUUGUUUUGGACGUGAUGCCUAUAGAUAUAAUCAUUGCAUAGAUAUCGUCACGACUUUGCGCGGUUCUAUCAAUUGCUCGAAAGUAAUUUGUUCACCCACCGUCUACCUGCUUUCAUGAGAGAAGCCACUAGUAAACACUACGGCCCCCGGGUCUAUUCACAUCCAUCGUUUACACCUCCGCUUUUACUUUGCUUUGUUACUUUGUUGCUUUCAGUUCUCACUUGGCAAACAAUCUAUAAGGGAUUGACAACCCCUUCAUAGCGUUGGGAGCAAGCUUUUGUGUUUGUGCAGGAUCUUGUGAUACUCCUCCACCGGAUUGAUACCUUGGUUCUCAAACUAAGGGAAAUACUUACCGUCGCUGUGCUACAUCACCCUUUCCGCUUCAAGGGAACACCAACGCAAGGCUCCAAGGCCACGGGGGAAAUCCUUUGCAUACUUGCGUAGGAAGUCCCUUAAGGCGUAGCCGCAGCUGAAGGAUUCCUGGUGCCGUCGACACACCUGUUUCUGGUGCCAUUGGAAGGACUUUUGUGCAUUAGCAUAGCUGACAUCAGAAGCUUUUCUGGCGCCGUUGCCGGGGAUCUUUUUGAAGCAGAACAAGCAUUUCUGGCGCCGUUGCCGGGGAGGAGAAAUCAAGAUCUAUCCAAGUAGGUCUCACAAACUCUUCACUUGCAUUUACUUUUGUUGCCAGUUGCCUCUCGUUUUCCUCUCCCCCACUUCACAUUUGCCGUUUUCAUUUGCCUUUCUCCUUCGCCGUUUUCUUUUGCCUUUGCCGUUUUCCUUUGCCGGUUCUCUUGCUUGCUUGUGUGCUUGUUUGUUUGUUGAAGUCAUCAUGGCUGAAAACACCAAACUUUGCGACUUCUCGAGCACUAAUAAUAAUGAUUUUAUUAGUACUCCAAUUGCUCCCACCACUAGUGCGGAAUCGUAUGAAAUCAACGCAACUUUGCUGAAUCUUGUUAUGAAAGAGCAAUUCUCUGGCCUUCCUAGUGAAGAUGUCGCAUCCCAUCUCAAUACCUUCAUUGAGCUUUGUGAUAUGCAAAAGAAAAGAUAUGUGGAUAAUGACGUGAUUAAGUUGAAAAUUUUUCCUUUCUCGUUGCGAGAUCGCGCAAAAACUUGAUUUUCUUCUUUGCCUAAAAAUAGUAUCGAUUCUUGGGAUAAGUGCAAAGAUGCUUACAUAUCCAAGUAUUUUCUGCCGGCAAAGAUCAUCUCCUGACGUAACGAUAUGAUGAAUUUCAAGCAACUUGAUCAUGAACAUGUUGCACAAUCUUGGGAGAGGAUGAAGCUUAUGAUUAGAAAUUGUCCCGCUCAUGGCUUGAGUUUGUGGAUGAUUAUACAAAUCUUUUACGCUGGCUUGAAUUUCGCUUCUCGCAAUAUCUUGGACUCCGCCUCAGGUGGAACGUUCAUGGAAAUCACGUUAGGAGACGCUGCAAAAGUCCUAGACAAUAUCAUGACCAACUACUCUUAGUGGCACACUGAAAGGUCGCGUGCUAGCAAAUGGUGCAUGCUAUAGAAGAAAUUAACUCGCUUAGCGCUAAGAUGGACGAGUUGAUGAAUUUGGUUGCUAGUAGAAACGCUACCAUAGAUCCUAAUGACAUGCCACUAUCUUCUUUGAUUGAGAGUAGCAACGCUAGUUUGGAUGUGAAUUUUGUUGGUAGGAACAAUUUUGGCAACAACAAUGCUUUUAGAGGAAACUAUGUUCCUAGGCCUUUUCCUAGUAACUCCUCUAACAAUUAUGGAAAUUCCUACGGCAACACUUAUGGAAAUCACAACAAAUUACUCUCUGAUUUAGAGAGUAAUAUCAAAGAAUUCAUUAACUCUCAAAAGAUUUUCAAUGCGUUCAUAGAGGAAAAACUACUCAAAAUAGAAGAUUUGGCUAAGAGCGUUGAUAAGAUGUCUUGUGAUAUUGAUGAUUUGAAAGUUAGAUGCGCUCCUCCCAAGGUCAACUUGGAUGAAACUUUGAAAGCUAUGCGUAUCUCCAUGAAUGAGAGCAAAGAAAGAACCGCCCAAAUUCGCGCUAGGCAUGAAUGGUUUAAAAGGGUGCGUUCUAGUGAUGCAAAUCACGAAUAUCUUAAAUUGCUUGGUCUCCUCUUGCAUAUUUGUUUUCGCGUGUCAAAUCUACUUAUGGAGGGGCUGGAUAUGAGUCUACUUUGGUUCAAAAACGCCCCAAUGAUUCUGACUCCACCUAUCUUGAUGAUAAACGUGCGGAGAGUGGAGUAGAAGAAGUCAAAAUUUCGGGUAGUAAUGAAACUCCCACUUUGGAUUUCAAGGAAUUCAAUUAUGAUAAUUGCUCCUUGGUUGAAUGCAUUUCUUUGAUGCAAUCCAUUGCAAACUCUCCACAUGCUUAUAGCCAAAGUAAAGCCUUUACCGCGCAUAUCGUAGAUGCUAUGAUGAAAUCUCUUCAAGAGAAGCUCAAACUAGAAGUCUCUAUACCUAGAAAAUUUCAUGAUGAGUGGGAACCUACUAUAAAAAUCAAGAUCAAAAACUAUGAGUGCAAUGCUUUGUGUGAUUUGGGUGCUAGUGUUUCCGCGAUUCCAAAGUCUUUAUGUGAUAUUCUUGGUUUUCAUGGGAUUGAAGGGUGUUCUCUUAAUUUGCAUCUUGCGGAUUCUACUCUCAAGAAACCCAUGGGGAGGAUCGGUGAUGUUCUUAUUGUUGCAAAUAAGAACUAUGCACCCGUGGAUUUCAUUGUACUUGACAUAGAUUGCAAUCCUUCAUGGCCCAUUAUUCUUGGUAGACCUUUCCUAAGGACUAUUGGUGCUAUCAUCGAUAUGAAGGAAGAGAAUAUUAGAUUUCAAUUUACUUUAAAUAAGGGCAUGGAGAACUUUCCUAGAAAGAAAAUAAGAUUGCCUUAUGAGUCUAUGAUGAGGGCUACCUAUGGUUUGAGCACCAAAGAUGACUAUACGUGAUUUCAUCACCUUUCGCCUAGCUAAGGGCGUUAAACAAAAGAGCUAGUUGGGAGGCAACCCAACGAAUCUAUCCUUUUUCUUUCUGUUUUGUGUUUUUCACACUUUCAUAAUUCUGUUAUGAUUGUGUUUUUUGUGUUUCUUUUUGCGUUUGUGCCAAGCAAAACCGUUACUAUUAGUCUUGGGGAUGAUCGUUUGGUCAUGCUGGAAAAGACAGAAACUUUCUUCUCACGAAAAGAAUUUUCAUUUUGUUUCUGUAAGAGAUUUUGAGUUGAUUCUUUUUGCUGCUGAUUUCUACGCAAAUUCUUCAGACUGUCGUAAUUGUUCAGAAUUUUUGAAGUACCAGAGGUAUACGAAAUAUACAUAUUGCUACAGACUGGUCUGCUGUUAACAGAUUCUGUUUUUGUUGUGUUGGUUGGUUAUUUUGAUGAAACUAUGGAUAGUAUCGGGGGGUAUUAGCCAUGGAAUAUUGAAAAUACAGUAACCCAACAUCAUCACAAGUAUAAUUUAAGUUGCUACAAUACCUAAGGAAGUGGUGGUUUUCUUUCUUGUACUAAUGUUAUCACGAGUUUCUGUUUAAGUUUCGUGUUGUGAAGUUUUCAAGUUUUGGGUGAAGUUCUUAUGGACAAAGAGAUAAAGAGUGGCAAGAGCUCAAGCUUNNNNNNNNNNNNNNNNNNNNNNNNNNNNNNNNNNNNNNNNNNNNNNNNNNNNNNNNNNNNNNNNNNNNNNNNNNNNNNNNNNNNNNNNNNNNNNNNNNNNAAAAGAGGACAUGACUUGGAGAUUGGUCAAUGAUUUCAGAAAAGUGAAUGAGCAAACUGUCAAAACAAAUACCCCAUUCCUGUCAUUGAGGAUCUGCUGGAUGAGUUAAAAGGAGCUACUGUUUUCUCCAAACUUGAUCUAAGAAGUGGUUAUCAUCAGAUAAGAAUGAAUGAAGAGGAUAUUUAAAAAACUAGCAUUCAGUACCCACUAUGGACACUAUGAAUACCUGGUCAUGCCCUUUGGAUUAACUAAUGCACCAUCCACCUUCCAAAUCUUAACGAACACCAUCCUAGCUCCUUACUUAAGGAAGUUUGUGCUAGUAUUCUUUGAUGAUAUACUUAUCUUCAGUAUAAAUAUGAAAGAGCACUUGCUACACUUGCAACUAGUUCUGAAAAGUUUUUGCAAGACAACCAAUUGUUUGGAAAACUAAGCAAAUGUUCCUUUGCACAAACCCAAUUGUUCUGAAAGUUCUGAAAGUUUUGAAUUUGGAGGUUUAAGAAGUGGUUAAGGAUGUAAUAAAGGACUUAAUAUGGAAAUAAUAUGAUUUAUGGAUGAACCAGGGCAUUUUGGUGAUACUUUCUGUGUGAACAAUAGACCAAUCGGAAAGAAAAUGUUAUUCUAUAAUGUGGAGUUUGGACAAAAUAAGAUUGAGUUUUAUUUCAUAUGCUGAUUACCCCAAGAGUAAGAAGGAAUGAAGAACUAUUGGACUUAAAGGGGUGUAAGGUUGGAAUAUAGAAUAAUAGUAACUCAAAGGAUGACUAAAGUUGUACAAGUUCUAAAGUGGGCCAGUGACCCACAUGCCCAAGAAUUAAUAAGGGGNNNNNNNNNNNNNNNNNNNNNNNNNNNNNNNNNNNNNNNNNNNNNNNNNNNNNNNNNNNNNNNNNNNNNNNNNNNNNNNNNNNNNNNNNNNNNNNNNNNNACAAAACGAACAAUCUCUUUUGAAGUAUCAGGGUUUCAUACGAAAACUCAUGUGUUACAAAGGGAUUUCAUUUUUUGAACUUAUUUGAACUCCAGACUUUUUGUGUGUUCAAAAUGCACCAUUCAAAGACACAUCAUCAAUUUUUAACUAUUUCUCACUUCAUUUGGUAUUUUUCAUGCAUUUAGUGAUUUUUAAGCUAAAUGACCCUUAAAUUGAAAAGCACUACAAAUGAACUCUGAAAAGGUUGAAAGUUGGCAUGGUAUCAUCAUUUCACCCACAUAACAUGUGCUAAAAAGUUGAGAGGGUUGCGGCAAAAACUGGAUGCACUUCGUGUACAAAACAGACAAUCUCUUUCGAAGUAUGAGGAUUUCAUAGGAAAACUCAUCUGUUACAAAGGGCAUUUCAUUUCUUCACUUUUUUCUUCUCUUGUGUUCCUUUCUUAUUUCACCGUAAGCGUGGAUAAUCUUCAUCGUUUAAUAGGGUGCUUGGGUCAGCCUUGACUUUGAAGGGAUGAAUUUCAUGAAACUUUUUCAUAAUCUUCAGACAUGUCUGUCUUGCCCUACAAUCCCCACGAUGUCUCUUUUUCCUAAAAGACUAUGUGGUGCUUUGGCUCAUCGUAUGAUGUAUUCGCUUCCUUAUANNNNNNNNNNNNNNNNNNNNNNNNNNNNNNNNNNNNNNNNNNNNNNNNNNNNNNNNNNNNNNNNNNNNNNNNNNNNNNNNNNNNNNNNNNNNNNNNNNNNGUUCAGUUUUUUUGUGUAGGAUAACAAUCAUUUUUGUGUAGGAUAAGAAUGAACGUAGUCUUUCUAAUCCAUGGUUAUUACUAAGAGCUUUGAGUGGAUACAAAUUAUUUUAAAAUCGUUUAGUGUAAAAGUGCUGCCUGAGAAUUCCUAUGAAACUUACUUCUACUAAUCAGACGAAUAACACAGAAAAAUUUCUUAUGAUUUUGAUCCUCCAAAUUUCUAUAACAAUCCUUCGUAAAGGUACUUGAACUAAGAGCAGGCUGACAGUGUUAAUGUCUAUCUGUCCCUUUUUAGUGCUUGACCGUGAAGAACCGCAGUCACGAAAUGAACUUUGUUCGCACAAAUCUCAGCGGGUUACCUCUUUAAGAUAAAGUGGCAGAUAUGGAAUCAGCUAAAGCUCUUGUGGUCACAAUCGCAAGUGGAUUUAUGCAAAAAAGAAAAUGAAAGAAAGCACUAGCCAAUAACGUGGAGAUACGUGUCCUUCCUCUGAAUGUGAUAAUUACCUGCUGAACAGGGAANNNNNNNNNNNNNNNNNNNNNNNNNNNNNNNNNNNNNNNNNNNNNNNNNNNNNNNNNNNNNNNNNNNNNNNNNNNNNNNNNNNNNNNNNNNNNNNNNNNNGAGGGGCGAUGAUGAUGAUGAAGAAGCCCUCCAACUCCAAAGUCCCCUCCGGGCAGGGCGCCGGAAGGGGUCUCCAGAUGAGAUCUCGCGGAAACGGAUGCUUGCGGCGGCAGAAAGUAAUUUUCGAGGNUCCCCUUGAUUUUUUUGCUGAAUAUUUGGGAAUAUAUAGGCCAAGGAUCUAGGUCAGGGGGCGGCCAGGGAGGCCACAAGCCCUAACACCGCCGCUACCCCCUGGUGGCGUAGUGGGGGCUUGUGGGCUCCCUGGAGCCCACCUAGCUUGGCCCGGAGGCCCCGUGAUCUUCUUCCGUUCGGGAAAAAUCAUUUUGGGGUUUUUAUUCCGUUUGGACUCCGUUCCAAAAUCAGAUCUGAAAGAGUCAAAACACAGAAAACACGAACUGGCACUUGGCACUGAAUUAAUAAGUUAGUCCCAAAGAUAUAAAGGUACAUAAACAUCCAAAGAAGACAAGAUAACAGCGUGAAACCAUCAACAAUUAUAGAUACGUUUGAGACGUAUCAAGCAUCCCCAAGCUUAACUCCUGCUCGUCCUCGAGAAGGGAAGUGAUAAAGAAUGAAUUUUGAUGCUUUCAUGCUACCUAGCAUAGGUGUCCUUUGUAAUUCCUCUUAUGUGACGUGAAUGUUCAGAUCCAUUAGAUUCAAAACAAUAGUUUGCUAUAGACGUGGAAACAAUAAUAAUUCAAGCAAAAAAGCAAGGUAAUCAUAAACUUUCAAAAUAACAAUGCCAAAAUAAAGUUAUCCCUACAAAAGGAUAUAGUCUGGCUAUGCUCUAUCAUCAUUGCACAACGAAUUUAAAUCAUGCACAACCCCGGUAUUAGCCAAGCAAUACAUGAGCGUGAGCCAUGGUUAUAGCACUAUAGAUGGUGUGGAGUGUGGUGGAGGUGCAAGACAAAGGAGAAGAUAGUCACAUUAACUAGGCAUAUCAAUGAGCUGUGGAGAUGCUCAUCAAUAGAUAUCAAUGUGAAUGAGUAGGGAUUGCCAUACAAAUGAUGCACUAGAGCUACGAGUAUGUGAAAGCUCUUAAAAAAACUAGUGGGUGUGCAUCCAACUUGCUUGCUCACGAAGACCUAAGGCAAUUUUGAGGAAGCCUAUCAUUGGAAUAUACAAGCCAAGUUACAUAAUGAAAAUUUCCCACUAGCUAUAUGGUGGUGAAAAAACGAGAGACUCUCAAUCAUGAAGAUCAUGGUGCUUAAUAUGCACAAGUGUGGAAAAAGUGGUAGCAUUGUCCCUGCUCUCUUUUUCUCUCAUUUGUGUUUUAUAUUAUUUUUUGGUGGGCUCUUUGGCCUCUUUUUUGGUGGGCUUCUUUGGCCUCUUUUAUUUCCUCACAUGGGACAAUGCUCCAUUAAUGAUGAUCAUCACACUUUCAACUCAAAACUUAGAGCAACUAUGACUCUAUAUGGAAUGCCUUCGGUAGUGUACCGUGGCAAUGAUCUAGCAUGGCAUAGACAUCAAUGGAACAUCAUGCUAGCUAUCUUANNNNNNNNNNNNNNNNNNNNNNNNNNNNNNNNNNNNNNNNNNNNNNNNNNNNNNNNNNNNNNNNNNNNNNNNNNNNNNNNNNNNNNNNNNNNNNNNNNNNGAUUCGAUCGGCCAAGGUCCUUAAACGUGCAGGACGAAAGUUGCUACGGUAAGGUUAAAUCGGUUGUAUACCUUUGCCGAAGGGCAACUGGUGUGGUUCUUUCGCUACCUAUUGCUCAGGAAUUCCGCCCUUGCUUGACAAACCCCUACCGGUUUAGUAUGAAUAGUGGUCCGGCAUGCGCUCCGGCGACCCCUAGGCACGGCCCCUCGUCGGGCAACAGUUUUUCUCUUACUCCCUGAAGAGGGAAAGGACCUGGGUUUGUUGGCUAUAAGGGCCACCUUCUUCUCUUCAACACUCUCUUGAUAAAACACCUCGUCUUGAAAGAUAAUCGAAAGCUCUGGGUCUUCAUGAAACCGGGAGUCAUCUUUAUGGGCAAAGUCCUCGAGUUGGGGUGUGGGAUAGUUUACCAUCUCGAUCCAGUGGUUCCAGAGCUACGAAGGAGGUAUAGGAGUUAUAAAUCAAACAAUAAUGGGCAUGAAUGCCCAAAACUUUGAACAUGAACACAAUUACCCAUUCGACGGGGUUAUAUGCCGAAUAGCCAUCCUUCGGGGUGAGGCGGGUAAAAUCUYYUUUCCCCUUGAAGAUAUCGGUCAGAAUGGCCCCUAAGGCCUUCUCGUCAUCCGGUCCUUGCCUUCUGGAUCGGGUUGAAUCGCUCGUCCCACUGUAAUGCCACAAAGGAUGUGUGCGAUGUUGGAGUGGUUGGANNNNNNNNNNNNNNNNNNNNNNNNNNNNNNNNNNNNNNNNNNNNNNNNNNNNNNNNNNNNNNNNNNNNNNNNNNNNNNNNNNNNNNNNNNNNNNNNNNNNUCAUUGAAAGAAUUAGCCUGAUGCCAUCAUAUAAUAGAGAAAAGGAGUAUUAUUGAUGCUUGAAGACAAAAUAAAAAUAGAAGGUAACACUACCACAACCAGUUGGAACCGAGAUUAUAUAGCACAUCCACAUAAUCUAUGAGUGGAUCGCCAGCCAAAUUGGUUGAAUAAGCCGUAUGCAACCAUUUCAGCCGAUUGCACCAAGAGGCCAUAAACGCCCGCGUCUCCAUGUGCUUAUGUGAUGACCACAUAUGGAUUGGUGCCGUAGUCCUGUAGAUAACCUGCAAGAAAUCAGGAAUAAAUGAUCUCUUAAAAACACACCUCUUCCGGCAAGUCCAUAUUUCCCAUAGAGUGACACAAACUCCCACAGGAAUUUGGCCCUUCUGCUUAUGAUGAAUAACACCCAACAAGUUCUCAAACAGAUUUGGAAUGCUUUUUGGUGGCGCUAAAUUGUAGGCAACAAGAAUCGUGCGCCAAAUCAAGGUAGUAAACGGACAUGAAAAAUAAAUGAUGAAUUGUCUCCUCCUAAUCACAAAAUGAUAUUUUUACUGCCAUGCCAAUUACGCUUAGCAAGAUUAUCUUUUGUAAGAACUACCUCCGUUGGCAAAAAUCACAUGAAAACUUUGAUCUUGCAAGGAACCUAAGCCACGGAAUCCUCUUUUGCAGAUUGAAUGUUCAAAGGGCUAGCCCAAGAAUAUAAGCCACCAAAUCCUCUUUUGAACACAAUAUUAUCCUGAUCAGGUAUUGUAAUGGCAUUAUCAAUAAUGCAAAAUAAGGGGGUGUCACUUGGGUCUACUGGUGGAGGUGUCUAAAUCUAUUAAUGAUUUACUAACUAGAGGCUGAGCAAGUGAUGAACAUGAUAAAAAUACNNNNNNNNNNNNNNNNNNNNNNNNNNNNNNNNNNNNNNNNNNNNNNNNNNNNNNNNNNNNNNNNNNNNNNNNNNNNNNNNNNNNNNNNNNNNNNNNNNNNUGCCAUAUUGCAGAUUAUCUCUGAGGGAAGUUACAUUAUUUUCCCGUUAAUUCAGAUAUAUUAAUAUGUCCAGAUGUAAUUCCAAAUAUCUUAUGUUAGGCAAAGCUUCUAAAAUCAGUGAAGCUCUAGAGCUACUAAGGACUGGUUAAAUCAGUAAAGUUUUACAAUAUCUGCAUGAGUGGUUAUAACAUAGCACAUGUUAUUUGGUACUUCACUAUGUGGUAUCCUUUUUAAUCUUGAUUAUUGAGUCAACAUAUUGAUUGUGGGCUUAUAUACUGCCAAACUGGCCUUCUUAUUCUGUCAUCCAAUUCAUGCAAAAUUCACGCUCACCAUGACAAAGGCCUAAUUUGUUAGCUGAUGUAGUUUUCUAAUUGUGUGCUCUUCAUUUGUAGUUGCCAAGUCUUAAAAUAUUUGUAGUGACGUAACUUUUUUUCUUCAUAUCAGCAGGAUUUUAGAUAGCAUUUUUUAAUGCUAACUGAAGUAAUAAACAAAUUAGCUUAGAAGUCAGUGUAAAGUGCUUAAGAGGAUUUUUUUUCUCUGCACUAACAAAAUUUGAUGGCAAUUCUUGUGAACUGAUCAAAGGUCAGGUUUCAAAAGGUAUGCAUUUUUUUCAUCAUUCUCAGUAUCAUAAAUCAAUUUUGCACAUACAUAUGAUGAAUAUGAUUGCUCAUUUUCCUUUCAUGGUAAAGAAAUCUAUGUGGCGUUACAUGUCAGAUGAUACAUAUAGGAAUUCAUCCUACAACUGAACCUUUUAUUAUAUGACACAUUAGGAAAAUAUGCUUUUCUACUUUUUUAUAUUUGCUUCCAAGAGGUUUAGUCAAUUGUUAAUCCGUUCCCUGCAUUAAUUUGUAAGGCUCUAAAGCCACGUUUUUUCAAGCUGAAACAAUAAAGGCUAACAUGUCAGAUGAUACAUAUAGGAAUUCAUCCUACAACUGAAAUUUACUGGAUUAUUAUCUCGAUCUUCAGUUCUUCUGAUAUAUUUUUYMACGAUCCAAGUGUUAGGAACAAAGAGUCUAAGAAGAAGCAUCAUAUUCCAAUGUUGAUAAUGUUCCCUACUGUCUUUCUUUCAAGUACCCGUAUGGGUACAAAAAAUAUUAGACUUCUAUCGAUCAUGGUUCUUUUGGAGNNNNNNNNNNNNNNNNNNNNNNNNNNNNNNNNNNNNNNNNNNNNNNNNNNNNNNNNNNNNNNNNNNNNNNNNNNNNNNNNNNNNNNNNNNNNNNNNNNNNAUCACUGAAUAUUACAAGAAACUUUUUGGACCACCUGAGCAGAAUCAUAUGAUUUGAUGAGCAUAUGAUUGCGGAUUUGCCGUAGGAGGGUUCAGAAGAAAAUGAGAUUUUAUCGGCCCGUUCAUCAAGGAGGUGUUCGAGGUGAUCAUACAAAUGAAAAAUACAAAGCGUCAGGUCUGGAUGGUUUCCCAGCUGACUUCUACAAGCGGUGUUCGGAAACAAUCAAAGAUGAUCUUCUACCUGUGUUCCUUGUUCUAUAUAAUGGUCAACUAAAUUUAUUCCACCUCAACUUGAGGACAAUAAUGGUGUUGCCAAAAACAGGAGGCGAUCCGCAUCGAGUAGUUCAGACCGAUAUGUCUGCUCAAUGUGAGCUUCAAUUUUUUACGAAGGUUGAAACAAAUAGGCUCACACGUAUCGCACAUGCGGUGGUGCAACCAACUCAGACCGCCUUCAUGCCGGGACGACAUAUCCUAGAGGGUGUUGUAGUUCUACACAAAACUUUACACAAAAUCCACUCAAAGAAACUAGACGGUGUAGUUUCUAAGGUAGAUUUCGAAAAGGUGCAUGGUAAAGUCAAAUGGCCAUUCUUACAACAAGUCUUACAUAUGAAGGGAUUUAAUGAGGCCUGGAUGAAGCAGGUUUAANNNNNNNNNNNNNNNNNNNNNNNNNNNNNNNNNNNNNNNNNNNNNNNNNNNNNNNNNNNNNNNNNNNNNNNNNNNNNNNNNNNNNNNNNNNNNNNNNNNNUGGUGGACAAGCUUAGUUGGUUAAUUUUUUCUAUCUCUUACUGUCUUACACCAAAAUAAAGCAAAGUAGACAAAGGAAGAACAAAAAUACCAUGUGUUUGAAUAAACGACUUAACAGGAGGGGGGCUCGGUGCACAGGAAUGAGAGUGGGCGUUGUCAUCACACCACCACUCCAGACCUCCAUCAUGGUCAACAAUACAACCACCUUAACGCGGCCACACACGUCACUACAACUAUAUCUGUACUAUUAAAGGGGAUCUUGCCGUCUGUCGUGAUGGUUCGACCACAGCAGAUCCCGCGUCGUUACAGCUAUCCCUUCCAUCGAUUUUAUUCGUCCCUCAAUAAACCACGCGGCCCUUUCACCGAUUUUUCCCAACCCUCCAUAAACCGGUUCAAUACCCCACUCGUGACUCAUCGAUCGCAUGCAGUAAAAAGAAUCGUUAGAUCCCGCAGCACGAGAGAACGAGUCCACGUUUCCCACCCCUUGUCGCUAAAAAAACUGCCACGUUUCCCACCCCACCUCUCCCCACCCCUCGUUCCCGAUCUCGUCGCUCUCCUCCCAAAACUCAUCCCCACCAGAGAGAGGAAGGAGCACAGCCGCCAAGGCGCCGAGGAGGAGUCCUCCUGCUCCCCCCUACCCCCUCCCCGGCACCCCCCUUCUCCUCCUCCCCCUCGCCGCAUGGAUCCGCACGGAUCCGUCAGCGGAGGGGUCUCUAGCACGCCGGCGGCUCGACUUCGAGGGGGAUCUGCUUUGAGCGGGGUCAAUGGCCGGGGAGUCGCGCCGGACGAUGCGUCACGGCGGNNNNNNNNNNNNNNNNNNNNNNNNNNNNNNNNNNNNNNNNNNNNNNNNNNNNNNNNNNNNNNNNNNNNNNNNNNNNNNNNNNNNNNNNNNNNNNNNNNNNAUAACCUUCUCCUCAAAAUAUUAUGUCCUUUCAUCAUGAUAGGGUUCUUCUGAGACUGGGUCUUCUUAGCUGACAAGUAUAUCACCAAUACUAAACAACUAUAAGAAAAUCUCAUGGUGGUCAACAAUUUAUGGUUCUUCUAGAAGAAAUGGGUGUGGGCUGAAUCUUGUCGUAUACUUUACGAUUGGCAACGGUUGAAUUACAUGGUUUAUAGUCCUACCAUUAUGAGGUUUUGGCUUGUCAUGUCGACACUCUUCUAAGGUUUAAGGCUCUCUCGUUUCGUCAACAUAUGAGAGUUCAUGAUAGAAGUUUCCAGUAUGAGGGCCAAUCCAUCCCGUACUUCAAUCAUUACUACAUAUACAGACAUUGAAUCACGUAUUCUAACACUAGGGCAUCCUUACAAGCAUUGCAGAAAUUCUAUUGUCGACAAACUAAGUUUGGAUAAAUCCAUUGAUUCUGUAAGCCAAACAAUCAUCUAUUGUUCCUUCACAACUUUCGAGUUUUCAUAUCCUCCUAAGNNNNNNNNNNNNNNNNNNNNNNNNNNNNNNNNNNNNNNNNNNNNNNNNNNNNNNNNNNNNNNNNNNNNNNNNNNNNNNNNNNNNNNNNNNNNNNNNNNNNCACUCCGGGGUUGCCGGGUCAUAACACAUAGUAGGUGACUACAACUUGGAAGAUAGGAUCUAAAACACACAUAUAUUGGCGACAACAUAAUAGGUUCAGAUCUGAAAUCAUGGCACUCGGGCCCUAGUGACACGCAUUAAGCAUGGCAAAGUAGUAGCAACAUCAAUCUUAGAACAUAGUGGAUACUAGGGAUCAAUCCCCGUCAAAACUAACUCGAUUACAUCAUAGAUCGCAUCCAACUCAUCACCGUCCAGCAAGCCUACGAUGAGAUUACUCACGAACGGUGAAGAGCAUCUUGGAAUUGGCGAUGGAGGGAGGUUGAUGAUGACAAUGGAGACGAUUUCCCCUCUCCGGAGCCCAAAACGAACUCCACAUCUGCCCUCCAGAUGAAGAAUAGUAGGUGGCGGCGCCUCCGUAUCGUAAAACGCGAUUAAUCCUUCUCUCUAAUUUUUUCCGGCUGAAACGGAAUAAAUAGAGCUGAGUUUGGAGGCGGUGGAGCCUCGUCGGCCCCACAAGCCUAGUUGGUGCGGCCUGGGGGGUGGCCGCGCCACCUGGGCUUGUGACCCACUGGCUCACCUCCUCCGGUGGAUCUUUGCGCAGGUAUUUUUCAUNNNNNNNNNNAUCUCCAUAAAUUUUCAGGACAUUCCGAGAACUUUUAUUUCUGCACAAAAACAACACCAUGGCAAUUCUCCUGAAAACAACGUUAGUCCGGGUUAGUUCCAUUCAAAUCAUGCAAAUUAGAGUCCAAAACAAGGGCAAAACAGUUCGGAAAAGUAGAUACGACGGAGACGUAUCAACUCCCCCAAGCUUAAAGCCUUGCUUGUCCUCAAGCAAUUCAGUUGACAAACUGAAAGAGACAAAAGAAAAACUUCGACGAACUCUGUUUGAUCUUGUUGCUGCAACUAUGUCUAACUCAUAUCCAUAGUUUCAGCAAGAUCACAAGCAAACCACAUAAGAAAAUGACAUCUAGGUCUCACGGUAGACUCAUAUCAAUGGCAUAAUCAACUAGCGAGAAAAUAAUAAUAAGCCUCAAAUGUCAACACUUCAAUCAAAACAACAUGAAUCAGUGCAAACAGAUGGUAUCUCGCUAGCUCUUUCUGAGACCGCAAAACAUAAAUGCAGAGCACCUUCAAAGACCAAGGGCUGACUAAACAUUGUAAUUCAUGGCAAAGAAGAUCCAGUCACAGUCAUACCCAACAUAGUUAAAACAAAAGCAUAAAAAUGACAGAGGUGCUCUCUAAUUGGAGCUUUUAUAAGAGGAGGAUGACUCAACAGGAACAUAAAUAGACAGGCCCUUCACAGAGGGAAGCAUUGAUUUGCAAAGGUGCCAGAGCUCAAGCUUUGAAAACAGAGAUAAUAAUUUUCGGUGGCAUGCUUUCAUUGUCGACGCAAUGACUAAGAGUUCUCAACAUCUUCCACGCUACACAUGCUAUAGGCGGUUCCCAAACAAAAAAGUAAAGUUUUGACUCCCCCACCACCAAUCAAUCACACUCCAUGGCUAGCCGAAUCCUCGGGUACCAUCCAUACCAACAUCAAUCCUGGGGGAGUUUUGUUUGCAAUUAUCUUUUCGAUUUGAGCAUGGAACUGGGAAUUCCAAUUACCGGCCCCUUUCUCAUGAAUGAUAGUGAAUAAACACAUAUCGAGGAUAACACGCCUAGCAUGGAAGAUACUAAUAGCCCCCUGUCACUACAUGAGCGGUUAGGGCAUGCAAAAUAGAUUAUUUCUUGAAGAUUUAGAGAGUGGCACAUGCAAAUUUAGUUGGAACGAUAGGUAGAUACCGCACAUAGGUAGGUAUGGUGGACUCAUCUGGAACAAGUUUGGGGUUAUGGAAAUGGAUGCACAAGCAGUAUUCUCGCUUAGUACAAGUGAAGGCAAGCAAAAGAUUGGGAAGCGACCAAUUAGAGAGCGACAACGGUCCUCAAAAUGCAUUGAGAUAAACUAACAUUGAGUGCAAGCAUGAGUAGGACAUAAAUCACCAUGAACAUGAAUAUCAUAGAGGCUAUGUUGAUUUUGUUUCAACUACAUGUGUGAACAUGCGCCAAGUCAAGCCGCUUGAAUCAUUCAAAGGAGGAUACCAUCCUAUCAUACUACAUCAUAGUCAUCUCAACAUUCAUGUUGCCAACCAAGACAGACCAUUAUAAGCUCCUAGCUAAGUAAGCAUGGCAUCAGCAACUAUGAUCUCUAAGUUGUCAUUGCAAACAUGUUUCUCUCACAACAAAGUUGAACUAGGAACAAUGAGCUAGUCAUAUUUACAAGAACAAAAUAGAUCGAGUUCAUACCAGCUUUUCCAGGCUCAGUCACUUCAUCAUAUAUCGUCAUUAUUGCCUUUCACUUGUACGAUCGAACGAUAAAAACAAUAAUAAGAGUGCUCGUGCAUUGGACUAAAGCUGGAACCUGUAGGAAAACACAAAGGAGAAGACAAAGUAAUAUGGCUCUUUGAAAGCAAAACAGGUAUGCAUGCAAGAGCCACUAAACAUUGUAACCAUGGUCUUCUACCUUGACCCAAAGAAAAAGAAAACUAUUUACACGAGAAAGCUCCCAACAAGCAAAAGAAGAAAAAGAAAAUCUUUUUGGGUUUUCUCAAACUAGGCAAACACACGAAAAGAAAAUGAGAAAAAGAAAAUAAACUAGCAUGGAUGAUACAGUGGCAAAGUGUGAACACCAACGAACAAAGUGAAAGCAUAAGCAAGAAUGUAAAGUCGGUGAGAAACACGUACUCCCCCAAGCUUACACUUUUGGCCUAAGUUGGUAUACUCCCAAGGAGGGAAAUAACCAGCUCCGGGGUACUCCAGAGUGGACUGACGAUGCCACUGCUGUGUGAGCUCCUGUGGCUCCCACUGAUAAACUGGCAUCUGGUACUCGACUGGUGGCUCGGGCAUGGGCACCUAUGGUUGGGCCAAGCCCCAAUAUGCGGUGAUGUCCGAGGGCAUAAUAAUGUACCUCCCUGCAUGAAGAUUGAACAAAGAAGGAGCAGGCAAAGUAAUAGUCUCACGAGUACCCUGGCUAAAUACCAGGUUAUAAAUCAUCCUUCUAUUUAUAUCUCUAUAAAGAAAGUCAUGGCGAACCAUGCUAUCUUAAUCUAGAUAUUUUUUGGGAAGAAGAAUCUCUUCUUCCUCGUCCAGUCUAAUAGGUAUCUCAAAGUGUCCGGCAAGACGAGUAGCAUAGAUACCUCCAUAGACAAUGCCUUUAUAACGGUUCGUGUUCAACCAUUGAGCUACUAUAGCGCCCAAGCUAUAAGUUUUAUCAUUAUAAAGUGCUUCGCGCAAGACCUUAAGAUCUGGGGAACUAAGUGACCCAGCUUUCCCACGGCCAAUCAAACAUUUUCCCACAAAUAAUGAGAAGUACCGAAGCACGGGAAAAUGAAUGCUAGCAGCUCUAGCACAAGACACUCCUCUCUCCUCUCCUACGGCAAUUGUAUCGAUGAAAGAUUCUAAGUCCCGUGCACGAGAUUCACGAAUAUCCCCAACGUAAGGUAAUUUGCAAACAUUGCAAAAAUCCUGGAGUGACAUGCCCUGGGGGAUAUCAUAAAGUUUGAACACAACCAUAGGAGGAUUCUUCCUUGGAUAGAAGUUAAAGCUUUGUACGAAGAUAUUAGUGAGGAGGAGGUAUUGCAGACACUUAUCUUCAACGAAGGCGGUAAGGCCUGCGUUCUCCACCGAGUGAUAAAAGUCCUCAUAAAUUCCGGCGGCGCGUAAGAACACGUCGCUUGGCCACUCGCACGCUCGAACUUCCAGGACUCGACGGACCAGAUAAUUGGGCUUCUUCUCACUCCCAUCAUCCUUGGGGUCACGGCUUGAAGAGCCUCUUCAGAACCUCCUCAUAUUUUCCCUUUUCUAUCUCUGAAAAUUUCUGAAAUUUUUAGUGACUCUAAGGAAAAGUGAACAAGGCUCAACAAAACUCGUAGCAACUACCCCCACAAGUGCCUAGAGGCCAUAUUACGCAUCAAAACUACUUGGGACCAUCUAAAAUUAGCAUGCAAAGCUCAAGAACAUGGUCAUCAAGGCAGCAAAAAUACGCGAAGUAUGAGGCACUAGAGCAAAGACUAAUUGGACCAAUGGAGGAGUCACUUAACAAGGAGUAAUUUCCCCAAAACAGUUCGGAGAAUGGUGCUUUCAGCAAAGAAAUCAGAAAUCCCAGCAAGAGGAGCAAGAACACAGGUUUGAGUUGCGAAACGAUUUUUUCUGGAGGUAGGAGAACCAGAUGAGAGCAAGAAUGAGUGGAGGGGGUGCCUGUGGACCCCACAAGCCUGGGUGGCGCGGAAAGGGGGUGCCCACGCCCCCUGGGCUUGUGGCCCACUGGUGCAGCCCCCAGACAAGCUCUUCGUCUCAGUAUUUUUCAAAAAAUCCAGCAAAAAUCAUACUUGAUUUUCACGACGUUCGGAGAACUUUUAUUUUCGCGGUACUUUUCUACCGGACGCUAAAACAGAAAACAGGGAAAACUAAACUAAAUCUAUCAUCUUUCUUCUAAGCAACCAAAGAUGAAAGCUUAAAACAGAGGUUUGUGACUCCUUGAUUCAUCCAUCUCAUGGUCAUCGAAAGAAAUCCGUCAAUGGGGUUGAUCAAAUCCCCUCGACAAAACUUCUCGAAUCGCAAAAGAAGACGGAGAAUUUUCGAAUAGUCACUAUGUCACCUCAAUGGCGAUGUGUAUUUCCCCAACAAGCGAAUCAUACUUCAUCUUGACACAAGGAAUAGGGCAUUCAAAGCUCCCAAUAAGAAUCGAUGAAGUUUUUUCGAUAGCAUUGAUGCAAUGUACUCGAUAUUGUUUCUUCGGAAAGUGCACCGUAUGCUCAUUACCGUUGACAUGGAAAAUGACAUUGCCUUUGUUGCAAUCUAUAACAGCCCGUGCGGUGUUUAAAAAGGGUCUUCCAAGGAUGACUUCCAUGGCAUUGUCCUCGGGAAUAUCCAAGAUAACAAAGUCUGAUAAGAUAGUGACGUUAGCAACCACAACAGGCACGUCCUCGCAAAUGGCGAUAGGGAAAGCAGUUGAUUUGUCGGUCAUUUGCACAGAGAUUUUCAGUGGGUGUCAACUUAUCCAGUUCAAGUCUACGAUAAAGAGAGAGAGGCAUAACACUAACAGCGGCUCCAAGGUCGCAUAACGCAGUUCUAACGUAGUUGCCUUUAAUGGAGCAAGGUAUAGUGGGCACACCGGGAUCACCUAGUUUCUUGGGAGUUCCACCCUUGAAGGUAUAAUUAGCGAGCAUGGUGGAAAUCUCAACCUCGGGUAUCCUCCUCUUAUUAGUCACAAUAUAUUUCAUGUACUUCGCAUACAGAGACAUCGUGAGCAUAUUCGUCAAACACAUUUGUAGAAAGACAGGUCUAAUCAUUUCAACAAAGCGCUCAAAAUCCUCAUCAUCCUUUUUCUUGGAUGGUUUGGGAGGAAAGGGCAUGGGUGCUUAACUUAGGAUCAACAGAGAAUUCAUAAUCCUUAUCGGUCACAAAGAUAGGUGAAGUGGCAAACUUCGGGUCGUAUUUCAUCCUCGUGUUUAGACAUUUUUAUUUCCACUUGCGCAGUAAUUUCUCAACAUCAUAGCUAUCCUUACACGCAAGAAAAUCCUCAGCUAUCUCUCCCUCCAUAACAUAACGCUCAGGCAUAACAGGCAUAUCAGGUCUAGGAGAGCUAGUUCUAGCAGGCAAAAUAGCAGGUUCUACUUCAAUAGUAUCAGCAGUUUCAGAAAUAUCAUCACAUCUAGAAGCAACUCUAGCAAUUUGUGCAUCAAGGAAUGCACCUAGUGGCAAAGCAGUAUCAGGCAUAGCAUCAUCAGGCAAAGUAGUAAGCAUAGCAUCAUCAGGCAUAGUAUCAAGCAUAGCAUCAUCAGGCAUAGUAUCAAGCAUAGCAUCAUCAUAAGCAUCAUGGGAAGCAGAAGUAGCAUCAUCAAGCACAGGCGACAUAUCAAGAUUUCUAGCAGGAGGUGAUGUUGCAAACUUACUCAUAACUGAAGAUGAAUCAAGUGCAGAGCUAGAUGGCAGUUCCUUACCUGUCCUCGUAGUUGAGGGCAAGACUUUAGUUCUUGGAUCUAUCGGAUUCCUCAUAGUGAUCAGCAGACGUAAAUUCCAAGUGAGUCAGAGAAUAUAGUUGUGCUUCCCCGGCAACGGCGCCAGAAAAUAGUCUUGAUAACCCACAAGUGUAGGGGAUCGCAAUAGUUUUCGAGGGUAGAGUAUUCAACCCAAAUUUAUUGAUUCGACACAAGGGGAAGCCAAAGAAUAUUCUCAAGUAUUAGCAGUUGAGUUGUCAAUUGAACCACACCUGAAAGAUUAGUGUCUGCAAGCAAAGUAUCAGUAGCAAAGUGGUACGUUAGCAACGGUGCCAGAAAAAGGUGUGUUGACGGCAGGCUAUUCCUGACUUGUUGUAUCAAUGGCGCCAGAAAAGUCUUGCUGAAGGUAGCAGCAAAGUAACAAGUAACAACAGUAGCAAGUAACAGCAGUAACGAGUAGUACCAGAGUAACAGCAGUAGCAACACAGUAAUAGCAGCAGCAGCAACAGUAGUAGCGACAAACUAACGUAGCAAGGACCAGUAGUAAAAGACUUGUAGGCAUUGGAUCGCUGAUGGAUGAUUAUGCCGGAUGUGAUUCAUCAUGUAACAGCCAUAACACGGAGAGAUAUGUAACUAGCUCCCGUUCGUGAAUCUAAUGUAGGCAUGUAUUCCGUAUUUAGUCAUACGUGCUUAGGGAAAAGAACUUGCAUGACAUCUAUUGCCCAUCUCUCCCGUGGCAGCGGGGUCCUAAUGGAAACUACGGGAUAUUAAGGUUCUCCUUUUAAUAAAGAACCGGACUAAUGCAUUAACACUUGGUGAAUACAUGAACUCCUCAUACUAUGGUGAUCUCCGGGAGUGGUUCCGGCUAUUGUCACUCCGGGGUUGCCGGGUCAUAACACAUAGUAGGUGACUACAACUUGNNNNNNNNNNNNNNNNNNNNNNNNNNNNNNNNNNNNNNNNNNNNNNNNNNNNNNNNNNNNNNNNNNNNNNNNNNNNNNNNNNNNNNNNNNNNNNNNNNNNGCCGCCACACAAAGGAUGACAAUCAAUAGACUAAUCAUUGCUCAGACUUCAUCACAUAGCGGUUCACCAUACGUGCAUGCUACGGGAAUCACUAANNNNNNNNNNUUUUUAGUAGUAAUCGAAUCAAAGCAUUCAACUCAUACUCCUAGGGGAAGGGUUGGUAGGUAUAAACCAUCGCGCGAUCCCGACCGCCACGCAAAGGAUGACAAUCAAUAUACUAAUCGUGCUAAGAUUUCAUCACAUAGCGGUUCACCAUAAGUGCAUGCUACGGGAAUCACUAAAUUCAACACAAGUAUUUCUAGAUCCACAACACCUUACUAGCAUGACUUCAAUAUUACCACAACCACAACUCAAAACUAAUUGAGAUGAAUCAAACUUCUCUAACUAUUCAAUGCACAUGAAGGUGGAAGUUUCCGUAUCCCUUUGGAUAACUACCCCUUUUGAUACUACUUUCAAAGCAUAGAUCAACUACCAUGCCACGCACUGCUAUGCUCGAAAAGAUAUAAGUGAAGCACAUAGAGCAAAAGUAUCUAGCUCAAAAGAUAUAAGUGAAGCACAUGUGAGCUGAAUUGUCUACCAAAAGAUAUAAGUGAAGCUCGACAAAAUCACGGUGAGUGCAUGUCUCUCUCUCUAGGUGUGCAGAAAGGAUUAUUGUGACACAACAAAAAUAAAAGACUCCUACGAUAAAAGACGCUCCAAGCAAAAACACAUAACAUGUGGUGAAUAAAAAUAUAGCCCCAAGUAACGUUACCGAUGGAUUGAAGACGAGAGAGGGGAUGCCUUCCCGGGGCAUCCCCAAGCUUAGGCUUUUACGGCAUCCUUGAAUCUCUUGGGGUGCCUUGGGCAUCCCCNNNNNNNNNNNNNNNNNNNNNNNNNNNNNNNNNNNNNNNNNNNNNNNNNNNNNNNNNNNNNNNNNNNNNNNNNNNNNNNNNNNNNNNNNNNNNNNNNNNNUAUCUACAAUACCAAAUAUAUAUACUAUGAAACUACAUUUCACAUUGGAUCUAAGAAUAUUUAUUUGGCAUUAUGAAGGUUGAUACUUUUUCUAUAAAUUUGGUCAAAGUAGAGAUACUUUGACUUUGGAUGAAGACUAAAAAGGACAAGAAGGACUAUAUAUGAAGUAGUAGUAGAAUCCGGUGUUGAACUAGCUCUGUCUUUUGGUUGUCCGAUGCAAUGUAAUGAACUUCCCAUCCCAUUUGGUUGUUCGAUGCCAUGUAUGGCAUACUCAUCUAAUGUUUCAUGUCACUAGUAGAAAAUAGGGCUUUGGUCCACUUGAUGAAAUCCCAUUAAUCCCGGUUCACUCAUGGACCGGGACCUAUGUGGUGAUAGGUCCCGGUUCGUGAGGCCAGGGCACCGGCCGGGCCUUGUGGGCCAUUUGUCUUGGUUCGUUUGUCACCUUCGGUCCCGGUUCCAGACACGAACCGGGACCAAUGUGCCUCGCUCCUGGCCCACAACUAGUAGUCCCAGUUUGUGGCUGGAACCGAGACCUUAGGUUGUCCUUUGGUCUCUGUUCCAGCCAAUAACUGGGACCAACGAUUGGCCUACAUAUACCCUCGCGAGCAGAGAAGUGCACUGCUCUGUUUUUUCGGCCGGCCAUGGGAGAGCUUUGUGGUGCUCUAGCUCACCUCCUAUGCACAUGAGGUGUUCAAUGAAAUGCCCGAGCCAUACUUAAGCUUUCUCCUUUAGAAGCUCCUUGUCCAAACUCCAUUUUCAUCAAGAUUUGUGUAGUUUUUAAUACACUUUGUUAUAUAACGCACGCAGAUGAACCUUCAAUGGAUGUACGGUGACCGACGCACCUCCGAGUAUAUUAAUGGCCUGCAUAAUUUUCUCGAAGCGGCUAAGGCAAACAAGCAGAAUGGUUUUAUGCAUUGUCCAUGUACUGUCUGUGGGAAUACAAAGGAAUUCUCCGACUAUAAAAUCCUUCACCUGCUUUAGAAGGGUUUUAUGCCACACUAUAAUGUUUGGACAAAGCACAGAGAAAGAGGGGUUAUGAUGGAAGACAACGUAGAAGAAGAGGAUGAUGACAACUACCCGGCCCCCUGAAUAUGGUGAUGCUGCAAUGGGGGAAGCUGAAGAUCAAGAUGAACCAGACGAUGUGCCCAAUGAUGAUCUUCGUCGGUUCAUUGUUGAUGCACAUAGACAAUGCGGAAGUGAAAGGGAAAAGUUGAAGUUCGAUCACAUGUUAGAGGAUCACAAACAAGGGUUGUAUCCAAAUUGCGAAGAUGACAACACAAAGCUCGGUACCACACUGGAAUUGCUGCAAUGGAAGGCACACAAUGGUGUAUCUCAUAAGGCAUUUAGUUCGCUAAUGAAGUUAAUGAAGAAGAAGCUUCCAAAGGAUAACAAAUUGCCCGACAGUACAUAUGAAUCGAAGAAGGUUCUAUGCCCUCUAGGAUUGGAGGUGCAGAAGAUACAUGCAUGCCGUAAUGACUACAUCCUCUACCGUGGUGCAUACGAGGAUUUGAACGCAUGCCCAGUAUGCGGCACAUUGCGGUAUAAGAUCAGAUGAGAUGACCCUGGUGAUGUUGAGGGCCAGCGCACCAGGAAGAUGGUUCCUGCCAAGGUGAUGUGGUAUGCUCCUAUAAUACCACGGUUGAAACAUAUGUUUAGAAACAAAAAGCAGGCCGAGUUGAUGCAAUGGCAUAUAAAAGACCGUAAGAAAGACGGAAAGUUGAGAGCACCCGCUGACGGGUCGCAAUGGAGAAAGAUCGAGAGGAAGUGAAGCAACUUUACACGUGACCCAAGGAAUGCAUGGUUUGGUUUAAGUGCAGAUGGCGUUAAUCCUUUUGGGGAGUAGAGCAGCAAGCAUAGCACAUGGCCUGUGACUCUAUGUAUGUAUAACCUUCCUCCUUGGUUGUGCAUGAAGCGGAAGUUUAUUAUGACGCCAGUGCUCAUCCAAGGCGCUAGGCAACCCGACAAAUACAUUGAUGUGUACCUAAGGCCAUUAGUUGAUGAACUUUUACAACUAUGGAAUGGAAAUGGUGUACGUGUGUGGGAUGAGAACGAACAGGAGGAAUUUGAUCUACAUGCGUUGCUGUUUGUAACCAUCAACGUUUGGCCUGCUCUCAGUAACCUUUCAGGACAGACAAACAAGGGAUACAACGCAUGCACACACUAUUUAGAUGACACCAACAGUAUAUAUUUCGACAAAUGCAGGAAGAAUGUGUACAUGGGGCAUCAUCGAUUUCUUCCGACCAACCAUCAAUGUCGAAAGAAAGGAAAGCAUUUCAAAGGUGAGGCAGAUCACCAGAAGAAGCCCGCCCUCCGUACUGGUGAUCACAUACUUGAUAUGGUCAAUGAUUUACAAGUAACCUUUGGAAAGGGUCUUGGCGGACUAUCUGUUCCGAAUGACGAUGCGGGACACGCACCCAUGUGGAAUAAGAAAUCUAUAUUUUGGGACCUACCCUAUUGGAAAUACCUAGAGGUACGCUCUGCAAUCGACGUGAUGCACAUGACGAAGAAUCUUUGCGUGAACCUGCUAGGCUUCUUGGGAGUGUAUGGUAAGACAAAAGAUACAUCGGAGGCACGGGAGGAACAUCAACGUGUGCAUGAAAAAGACGACAUGCAACCAGAGCAGUAUGAAGGUCCUGCCAGCUACGCUCUUACCAAAGAAGAGAAGGAAAUCUUCUUUGAAUGCCUGCUCAGUAUGAAGGUCCCGUCUGGCUUCUCGUCGAAUAUAAAGGGAAUAAUAAACAUGGCAGAGAAAAAGUUUCAGAACCUAAAGUCUCAUGACUGCCACGUGAUUAUGACACAACUGCUUCGGGUUGCAUUGAGGGGACUUCUACCGGAAAACGCUCGAUUAGCCAUUGUGAAGCUAUGUGCAUUCCUCAAUGCAAUCUCUUAGAAGGUGAUCGAUCCAGGAAUCCUGCCAAGGUUAAGGAGUGAUUUGGUGCAAUGUCUUGUUAGUUUCGAGCUGGUGUUCCCACCAUCCUUCUUCAAUAUCAUGACGCACAUCCUAGUUCAUCUAGUCGACGAUAUUGUCGUUCUGGGCCGUGUAUUUUUACACAAUAUGUUCCUCUUUGAGAGGUUCAUGGGAGUCUUAAAGAAAUAUGUUCGUAGCCGCGUUAAGCCAGAAGGAAGAAUCUCCAUGGGCCAUCAAACAGAGGAUGUCAUUGGACUUUGUGUUGACUUCAUUCCUGACCUUAAGAAGAAUGGUCUCCCUCAAUCGCGGUAUGAGGGGAGACAGACUGGAAAAGGCACACUAGGAGCGGAGUCAAUAAUGUGUACGGACGGGCAUUCUUGGUCUCAAGCACACUACACAGUUCUACAGAAUUCUACCUUGGUGACCCCGUAUGUCGAUGAACACAAGAAUAUUCUGAGCUCCAUACACCCGGAGUAGUGUGACAACUGGAUUACAUUUGAACACAUCAGGACUUUCAAUAGUUGGUUGCAAAAACGUCUUAUGUGUGACAACACCGUUUCUGAUGAGUUGUACUCCUUGGCCAGGGGACCAUCUUCGACUGUAUUGAGUUACCAAGGGUACGAGAUAAAUGGGAAUACAUUUUACACGAUCACCCAAGAUCAAAAGAGCACCAACCAAAACAGCGGUGUCCGCUUUGAUGCAGCAACCGAGAGGGGAAAGGACACAUAUUAUGGUUACAUAGUGGACAUAUGGGAACUUGACUAUGGACAUGAUUUGAAGGUCCCUUUGUUUCAUUGCAAAUGGGUCAAUCUGUCAGGAGGCGAGGUACAGAUAGACCCACAGUAUGGAAUGACAACAGUGGAUCUGAACAAUCUUGCACACGGAGAGGAACCAUUCGUCCUAGCCAAUGAUGUGGCGCAGUUUUCUAUAGGAAGGACAUGUCUACCAAACCGAGAAUAUGAAAAUAUAAGGAAGCGAAUACAUCAUACGAUGAGCCAAAGCACCACAUAGUUCUUUUAGGAAAAAGAGACAUCGUGGGAUUGUAGGGCAAGACAGACAUGUCUGAAGAUUAUGAAAAGUUUCAUGAAAUUCAUCCCUUCAAAGUCAAGGCUGACCCAAGCACCCUAUUAAACGAUGAAGAUUAUCCACGCUUACGGUGAAAUAAGAAAGGAACACAAGAGAAGAAAAAGUGAAGAAAUGAAAUGCCCUUUGUAACAGAUGAGUUUUCCUAUGAAAUCCUCAUACUUCGAAAGAGAUUGUCUGUUUUGUACACGAAGUGCAUCCAGUUUUUGCCGCAACCCUCUCAACUUUUUAGCACAUGUUAUGUGGGUGAAAUGAUGAUACCAUGCCAACUUUCAACCUUUUCAGAGUUCAUUUGUAGUGCUUUUCAAUUUAAGGGUCAUUUAGCUUAAAAAUCACUAAAUGCAUGAAAAAUACCAAAUGAAGUGAGAAAUAGUUAAAAAUUGAUGAUGUGUCUUUGAAUGGUGCAUUUUGAACACACAAAAAGUCUGGAGUUCAAAUAAGUUCAAAAAAAUGAANNNNNNNNNNNNNNNNNNNNNNNNNNNNNNNNNNNNNNNNNNNNNNNNNNNNNNNNNNNNNNNNNNNNNNNNNNNNNNNNNNNNNNNNNNNNNNNNNNNNGUGAGAUCUGAAGGCGGAAAGUGCAGCGAAGUAAAACAGUAAGGCUGAAAAUAUGGUGUGAAGUAGACCCGGGGGCCAUAGUGUUCACUAGAGGCUUCUCUCAAAAUAGCAAAUAUUACGGUGGGUGAACAAAAUACUGUCGAGCAAUUGAUAGAACCGCCCAAAGUCAUGACGAUAUCUAAGGCAAUGAUCAUACAUAUAGGCAUCACGUCCGAGACAAGUAGACCGAUACUUUCUGCAUCUACUACUAUUAUUCCACACAUCGACCACUAUCCAGCAUGCAUCUAGUGUAUUGAGUUCAUGACGAACAGAGUAACGCCUUAAGCAGGAUGACAUGAUGUAGAGGGAUAAACUCAAACCAAUGAUUAAAACCCCAUCUUUUUCCCCUUGAUGCCAAUAACACCAUGCGUGCCUCGCUACCCCUUCUGUCACUGGGUCAGGUCACCACACGGUAUGAACCCAAAACCAAGCACUUAUCCCAUUGCAAGAAUCAUAGAUCAAGCCGGCCAAACAAAACCCACAACUCGAAGAGAAUUACAAGGAUAUGAAAUCAUGCAUAAGAGAUAUCAGAAGAAACUCGAAUAAGAUCCAUAGAUAAUCUGAUCAUAAAUCCACAAUUCAUCGGAUCUCGACAAACACACCGUAAAAGAAGAUUUCAUCGGAUAGAUCUCCAUGAAGAUCAUGGAGAACUUUGUAUUGGAGACCGAAGAGAGAGAAGAGGCCAUCUAGCUACUAGCUAUGGACCCGUAGGUCCAUGGUGAAAUACUCAUGCAUCAUCGGAGAGGUCAUGGUGUUGAUGAAAAAGCCCUCCGUAUUUGAAUCCCCCCUCCGGCAGGGCACCAGAACGUGCCCCAGAUGGGAUCUUGCGGAGAUAGAAGCUUGCGGCGGCGGAAAAGUACUUUGGAUGAUCUCUUCAUUUUUUCUGGAAUUUUUAGGAAUAUAUAGGCGAAAGACCUAGGGCAGACGUGUGCUACUGCAACAGAAGACCUUCCAACAGCGCCAGAAACAAGCGUGCUGACUAUUCUUGUCUUGAUACUCCUAAGCAACGGCACCAGGAAUCCUUCUGCUACGGCUACGCCUUUAGGGACUUCCUUGGCAAAUAUGCAAAGGAUUCCCCCGUGGCCUUGGAGCCUUGCGUUGGUGUUCCCUCAAAGCGGAAAGGGUGAUGUAGCACAACGGCGGUAAGUAUUUCCCUUAGUUUUGAGAACCAAGGUAUCGAUCCAGUGAAGGAUUGCGUCCAGUCACAAGUACCUGCACAAACACAAAGAGCUUGCACCCAACGCUAUGANNNNNNNNNNNNNNNNNNNNNNNNNNNNNNNNNNNNNNNNNNNNNNNNNNNNNNNNNNNNNNNNNNNNNNNNNNNNNNNNNNNNNNNNNNNNNNNNNNNNNNNNNNNNNNNNNNNNNNNNNNNNNNNNNNNNNNNUUGAAAGCAAAAAGAAACAAAGCAAAGUAAAAGCAAAAGUUGAAACGAUAGGUAUGAAUAGACCCGGGGGCCGUAGUGUUCACUAGUGGCUUCUCUCAUGAAAGCAAGUCGACGGUGGGUGAACGAAUUACUGUCGAGGAAUUGAUUGAACCGCGCAAAGUCGUGACGUUAUCUAUGGCAAUGAUUAUAUCUAUAGGCAUCACGUCCAAAACAAGUAGACCGACACUUACUGCAUCUACUACUAUUACUCCACACGUCGAGCGCUAUCCAGCAUGCAUCUAGUGUAUUAAGUUCAUGAGAACAGAGUAACGCCUUAAGCAAGAUGACAUGAUGUAGAUGGACAAUCUCAAAUCUACGAUAACAGCCCAUCUUGUUACCCUUGAUGGCAACAACAUGAUGCGUGCCUUCCUGCCCCUUCUAUCACUGGGAAAGGUCACCACACGGUAUGAACCCAAAACCAAGCACUUCUCCCAUNNNNNNNNNNNNNNNNNNNNNNNNNNNNNNNNNNNNNNNNNNNNNNNNNNNNNNNNNNNNNNNNNNNNNNNNNNNNNNNNNNNNNNNNNNNNNNNNNNNNAAAAGCAACAAAGUAACAAAGAGAAGUAAAAGGGGAGGUGUAAACGAUGGGUGUGAAUAGACCCGGGGGCCGUAGUGUUUACUAGUGGCUUCUCUCAUGAAAGCAGGUAGACGGUGGGUGAACAAAUUACUUUCGAGCAAUUGAUAGAACCGCGCAAAGUCGUGACGAUAUCUAUGCAAUGAUUAUAUCUAUAGGCAUCACGUCCGAAACAAGUAGACCGAUACUUUCUGCAUCUACUACUAUUACUCCACAUGUCAACCGCUAUCCAGCAUGCAUCUAGUGUAUUAAGUCCAUAAGAACAGAGUAACGCCUUAAGCAAGAUGACAUGAUGUAGAGGGAUAAUCUCAAACCAAUGAUAAAAACCCCAUCUUUUUACCCUUGAUGGCAACUACUUGAUGUGUGCCUUGCUGCCCCUACUAUCACUGGGAAAGGUCAGCACAUGGUAGAACCCAAAACCAAGCACUUAUCCCAUUGCAAGAAUCAUAGAUCUAGUUGGCCAAACAAAACCCAAGACNNNNNNNNNNNNNNNNNNNNNNNNNNNNNNNNNNNNNNNNNNNNNNNNNNNNNNNNNNNNNNNNNNNNNNNNNNNNNNNNNNNNNNNNNNNNNNNNNNNNUGACCAGGGCGGGCUCGGGCUCUUCCACCACCCCUUGUUGAUGAGCGACCGAGGGAAGGAGCGGAGCCACAGCCUGGGAAGGCCAGUGGGAUGCGGGAGCACGCGAGGGCGGAAGGUGGGACGGUCGACGUCGCUGUUUUGUUCGGGAUGCUCCGAUAUGGUGAUGCUCGAGCACAUGCACAUGGAAGACACGCCGCGGACCACCACCGCCUUGUGAUUGAGCGCAUCAGUGCGCGACUGGCCCAUGAAGGGUUGGUGGCAGUACUCUAAUAGAUGUAGAGUGUGGCUAUGAACUCCUCUCGCGGCUUGGCAACGACACCGGACAAAGCGUGCAUCAGGUAUGUCCUAUCUUGCCACGGUUGUUGGUAAUACAACAUUUUCUCUUGGAUACAUUUCUCAACACUUGCCCUGUCGUCCCUAACGCGGGCACUGUCCAAGCUACUCCUCUCAUGCCCCAUAUCAGCCACGACGAUGGUGUUCGUCCACCUGCAGAAGUCGCCCAAUCAUCUGUGUCACCGUGUGUUCUCUCAGGUCAGCUUCUCUCUCUCUCUCUCNNNNNNNNNNNNNNNNNNNNNNNNNNNNNNNNNNNNNNNNNAGAUCUGGAGCGCCGCAUGCCGUGUACCUCUUGUUCGUCCACCUGCAGCAAUCGCCCAAUCAUCUGUGUCACUGUGUGUUCUCUCAGGUGAGCUUCUCUCUCUCUCUCGAGUUGGUACCUCUUGUUCCCCUUCAUUCACCCGUUUUGUGAGCCUGCAGUUUGAUGUGGACGACACGCCGCGGACCACCACCGCCUUGUGAUUGAGCGCAUCAGUGCACGACUGGCCCAUGAAGGGUUGGUGGCAGUACUCUAAUAGAUGUAGAGUGUGGCUAUGAACUCCUCUCACAGCUUGGCAACGACACCGGACAAAGCGUGCAUCAGGUACGUCCUAUCUUGUCGCGGUUGUUGGUAAUACAACAUUUGCUCUUGGAUACAUUUCUCAACACUUGCCGUGUCGUCCCUAACGCGGGCACUGUCCAAGCUACUCCUCUCAUGCCCCAUAUCAUCCACGACGAUGGUGUUCGUCCACCUGCAGCAGUCGCCCAAUCAUCUGCGUCACUGUGUGUUCUCUCAAGUGAGCUUCUCUCUCUCUCGAGUUGGUACCUCUUGUUCCCCUUCAUUCACCCGUUUUGUGAGCCUGCAGUUUGAUGUGUGCACUUGUGAUUUUUUCUUUGCAUGAAGUUAGCACAUGGGAUGGAUCUGGCGUGAUGGAUUUAGCUCAGCCGAAGAUGAUUCUAGGUAAUCUAUUUGUAUAUGGCAAGGUAAAAUGUUCUUAUCCAUUACUGUUCCAAUGGCAGGGAAGGAUGACCUUAGUCUAAUUAUGGCAAAUAGGUGGACUAUUGAGUUGCUGAUGUCUGAGUGUGAGUAAUUUUUUGCCUAUGUGUUUGAUUUGCAAACUCGUUCGAUACAUUUAUCUCUCCACUGUUAUUCUGAAUAAUUGCAUGUUGUUAUAAAUUUCAAGUUUGCUUCUUCACUAUAAAUCUUCCAAUUUCUUUUUACAAGAAUCUUGCAUACACAGAAAAGUGAGGCUUUGACAAGGGAUUACGUGUGGACCAUCUCGAACUCAAUGAAUAUGUAUGCUCCUUCUGUUAUAUUCUUGAUUGUUUUUCUUGUUAGUUAGCAUAAAAGAUUUCUAUCGUCUUGUUGAAUUUGUUAAUAAUUAGAAAAUGAUUACAUUUUUCUGAUUAAAUUUUAGUGAUGCUUAGUUUGCCAUGCUGUGGAAGGUGGAGGCAGUCUCGAUGUGGAUGGGUGAAAGGUAAAGGUUGAGGGAACGAGGGCGUCGAAGGAUCCACCAAAGUUGCCAUUGUAGUUGACCACGCCACCGGCGGUGUGUCAGACCUUUGUUGCCUCUGCAGGGAAGGGCAGAAGGCCUGCACCGCCAUGGAUCCUGUCCCAUCAUCUUGAGCACUUGUCGGUAUUGCCAUAUUGCAGAUUAUCUCUGAGGGAAGUUACAUUAUUUUCCCGUUAAUUCAGAUAUAUUAAUAUGUCCAGAUGUAAUUCCAAAUAUCUUAUGUUAGGCAAAGCUUCUAAAAUCAGUGAAGCUCUAGAGCUACUAAGGACUGGUUAAAUCAGUAAAGUUUUACAAUAUCUGCAUGAGUGGUUAUAACAUAGCACAUGUUAUUUGGUACUUCACUAUGUGGUAUCCUUUUUUUUAAUCUUGAUUAUUGAGUCAACAUAUUGAUUGUGGGCUUAUAUACUGCCAAACUGGCCUUCUUAUUCUGUCAUCCAAUUCAUGCAAAAUUCACGCUCACCAUGACAAAGGCCUAAUUUGUUAGCUGAUGUAGUUUUCUAAUUGUGUGCUCUUCAUUUGUAGUUGCCAAGUCUUAAAAUAUUUGUAGUGACGUAACUUUUUUUCUUCAUAUCAGCAGGAUUUUAGAUAGCAUUUUUUAAUGCUAACUGAAGUAAUAAACAAAUUAGCUUAGAAGUCAGUGUAAAGUGCUUAAGAGGAUUUUUUUUUCUCUGCACUAACAAAAUUUGAUGGCAAUUCUUGUGAACUGAUCAAAGGUCAGGUUUCAAAAGGUAUGCAUUUUUUUCAUCAUUCUCAGUAUCAUAAAUCAAUUUUGCACAUACAUAUGAUGAAUAUGAUUGCUCAUUUUCCUUUCAUGGUAAAGAAAUCUAUGUGGCGUUACAUGUCAGAUGAUACAUAUAGGAAUUCAUCCUACAACUGAACCUUUUAUUAUAUGACACAUUAGGAAAAUAUGCUUUCUACUUUUUUAUAUUUGCUUCCAAGAGGUUUAGUCAAUUGUUAAUCCGUUCCCUGCAUUAAUUUGUAAGGCUCUAAAGCCACGUUUUUCAAGCUGAAACAAUAAAGGCUAACAUGUCAGAUGAUACAUAUAGGAAUUCAUCCUACAACUGAAAUUUACUGGAUUAUUAUCUCGAUCUUCAGUUCUUCUGAUAUAUUUUUCACGAUCCAAGUGUUAGGAACAAAGAGUCUAAGAAGAAGCAUCAUAUUCCAAUGUUGAUAUUUUAUUCAAGCAUCAAUAAUACUCCUUCUUCUCUAUUAUAUGAUGGCAUCAGGCUAAUUCUUUUUUCAAUGAACAACUACAAUGUGCAACACGAAACAUAGACCGGGACCUGAUGAUGGUGCUCCGGAGGCAAUGAGCUAGCACUGGGUUCACGUGCGAUCAUAGUUUGAGAAACUUAGCGAUCCUUCAAGUGCAUUGUGUCAAAAGAUUGUCGUGGUCCUGCUCUUCUACACUGCCCACAAGAGACAAUAGAUGACCAUGUUGUCAAUUCCAAACGGGAGCUCAUGUAGAGGAGCAGCAAAAGCAUGUCACACAUGCUCUAAUGUGGUUGUACGAACAACGUCUAUGCCAGCAAUGAUAUCUAUGUCAAGAAGAGUGGCAACUGUGGGAACCCAAUCAGAAGGUGGUUUAGACUCUCUUUAGCCGAUGUACGUUGCGCUCCACACAAGUGCGUCUGCAUUUUUUCCCUUGCACUCCUAGAGGGAUCAAGACACAUAGAAUUAGAAAUGAGAUGGUAGGCCUGAAAAUGUAAGAACUAAAGAAAUAUAUCCCCUUUCCUGUAUCUCUUCUCGAGAUGAAACAAUGUUUUUGCAAUAUUAUUUCCUGUAAAAUCUCAUAUUGAAAUAAUCUUGUAGACUUUAGUAUUGCAAGGUGUAAGAUGUUGAUUGCGAGUUGCAAAUCUUACACCAAGAGGUGGUAUCUCUCAGAAAAGUAUCCUUGUUUUUUCUCCUUUUUAUUUCUUGUGUUCUGUAUAUCCAAUGCUUUCACUACCUGAUUUGUUGGAAUUACUACCUUCGUACCAAAAUAGACCAUACUUGGCACGGCCUUCAUUAUUCAUAUUAAAGGCAGAAAUUUCCAAGUUUGAUACAACACGAAGUUGACGAUGGAGACACAAUGAAGUGGGAUGGCAUUAAAUUAGAGAGAAAGAAGAACAUGAGGCGUGAUAUGGCGAAAGGUCGGGAGAGAAAAACAAGCUUUGAUGUACCGAUUUGGUAGAACAUUGCAUGCACAUUACUGUCCCCACAGUUUUACGGAGUAUAAAAGUCGAUUGAUUAGCCUAUACGUUGGUUUUAUGACCUUCAAGGAAGAUGUGGAGGUUGCUAAAUAGGAGGGAGGAAGACACCAUAUUUAUGAAUAAAUUGUCAGAAAAAAAUGAUAUUAAUUUUUCCUGUGGCAACACACGGGCAAUCAACUAGUUGUGGUAGUGUUACCUUCUAUUUUUAUUUUUGUCUUCUACUCGCUGAUUUGAACUUGGUUCACAUUUAAUAAAACGGUUGUGCCAAAAAUGGGUGGUUGCAUAAAUGCCUUGCAAAGGCUCAUUUGAGAACAAACAUAAAUAGUUCCAAUUUAGAAGAAGAAACUAAAGAUGCAAUCGCAACAUCGUUGAUAGUACUAGUAGCAGUGAUCUACCAGAUAUGGUGUUCACCAAUCAAUGAGGCAUGACAUGUCGUGUUCAUAGUGACCUAUUGUAUUGGUAGUGUGGUACAAGAAGAGUAGCAAACAUAUCUGAAGAUGAAUCACCAACAUUUAUACUGCCAAAAAAUGACAACAAUAAAUGUAAUCUCGUGAAUGAACCUAGCACAGAUCAAACAAAUCAUAAUAGAGGUCGUGAGUCCAUUAUAGCCAGUUCAGUUCAAAGGCAGCAGUCCUAUUCAAAAGCUACAACAACAAAAAAGACCUGCAUAUUUCAGGAAAUAUAUCCCUCUCGUGAAUUGAGAAACAGUUACAGGCCACACUAAUACACAACUAGAUAAAUCACUAUGGUAUGCAUCAACUGACAUUUUACCGAUCUCCAUUAGUGUAAUAUAACAUGAACUUUUCUCACCAGCCUAGUAUUAGUUUUGGUAACUCACCAUGUUGGAUGGAGAUGCCAGAGACAUGGGUUCAGUGACAGUUCGCCUGAGUCAUGGUGGUCCUAUAGGCUAUGGUGGACAAGCUUAGUUGGUUAAUUUUUUCUAUCUCUUACUUUCUUACUCCAAAAUAAAGCAAAGUAGACAAAGGAAGAACAAAAAUACCAUGUGUUUGAAUAAACGACUUAACAGGAGGGGGCUCGGUGCACAGGAAUGAGAGUGGGCGUUGUCAUCACACCACCACUCCAGACCUCCACCAUGGUCAACAAUACAGCCACCUUAACGCGGCCACAGACGUCACUACAACUAUAUCACAAUUAGUAUGCGAACGGUCAAAUAAUAAAUUAUUGUUAAAGCCAAAGUGUGCAUACCAAAGAAAAAAAUCCAAAUGUUUCCUUACCGUUUCAGUUCUUGCAGUUUGAGAGAAUAGUUGCCCUUAAAAAAGAGUAAAAUUAAGCACAUACAAACAAACUGAUAGGAGCUGGCCUCCUACCAGGGCGUAGACGUAGGUUAUAUGGGUGGCUGGGGGAUUGGCGAAGCAGUAGGCGUGAGCGACGGCGCCGCAGCGCCAUGGUCGCGAGAUGGAGAAGGCCGCCCACGACGGCUAGGGUUUAGGGUUGCCGGGCAGAAGCCGAGCAAAUAAAUUUGCUUCUUCUUAAUCUCAGAAUAGGUCUUUACAUGAGUAUAUAUAAUCUCAUAGCUAGAUAAACAUACGAUAACUGGGCUAAGCCCGUAACUAUGAUAAGUGGGCUAAUCCCCUAAUUACUGUUGGGUCGGCGGCGGCUAUAAGUAGCCCCGGUCAUAACAUCUCUCCCCGCCUGCGCAAACGGCUCGUCCUCGAGCUGAAGUCUGGAAACUGAUGACGAAAUUCCUCGAGCUGCUCCGAAGUGGCGUCCUCCUCGGAAAGGCCUUGCCACUGAAUCAGAAGUCGCCAAACGUCACGGCUCAGCUGAGCCCGCAACACCUUCUGUGGAACUGGAAGUAGGCGACCUUUGGCAGCUGUCGGAAGGACCGGCGAAGAUGUCGGUGGCUCGCCGCGGAAAGGCUUGAGCAGCCCCACAUGGAAGACAUCUUGGAUACGGGCGCCCGACGGCAAUUGUAGUCGGUAGGCCAUGCUGCCGACGCGCUCCACCACCAGAAACGGCCCGAUGUAACGUGGCCCGAGCUUGCGCUUGGCGCGCAGGUCAAGCAAGUGAGUGGUGCAGUGGAGAAGGCGCAGCCACACCCAAUCGCCUACCGCAAACUCUACAUCACGAUGAUGGGCGUCAUAGUAAUUCGUGGACAGCUGUUGUGCUUGGAGAAGACGUUGACGCACUACCNNNNNNNNNNNNNNNNNNNNNNNNNNNNNNNNNNNNNNNNNNNNNNNNNNNNNNNNNNNNNNNNNNNNNNNNNNNNNNNNNNNNNNNNNNNNNNNNNNNNGGCAUGCAAGCUUGCUCCCAACGCUAUGAAGGGGUUGUCAAUCCCUUAUAGAUUGUUUGCCAAGUGAGAACUAAAAGCAACAAAGUAACAAAGAGAAGUAAAAGGGGAGGUGUAAACGAUGGGUGUGAAUAGACCCGGGGGCCGUAGUGUUUACUAGUGGCUUCUCUCAUGAAAGCAGGUAGACGGUGGGUGAACAAAUUACUUUCGAGCAAUUGAUAGAACCGCGCAAAGUCGUGACGAUAUCUAUGCAAUGAUUAUAUCUAUAGGCAUCACGUCCGAAACAAGUAGACCGAUACUUUCUGCAUCUACUACUAUUACUCCACAUGUCAACCGCUAUCCAUCAUGCAUCUAGUGUAUUAAGUCCAUAAGAACAGAGUAAUGCCUUAAGCAAGAUGACAUGAUGUAGAGGGAUAAUAUCAAACCAAUGAUAAAAACCCCAUCUUUUUACCCUUGAUGGCAACUACNNNNNNNNNNACCAAUGAUAAAACCCCAUCUGUUUACCCUUGAUGGCAACUACUUGAUGUGUGCCUUGCUGCCCCUAUUGUCACUAGGAAAGGUCACCACAUUGUAGAACCCAAAACCAAGCACUUCUCCCAUUUCAAGAAUCAUAGAUCUAGUUGGCCAAACAAAACCCAAGACUUGGAGAGACUUACAAGGAUAUCAAAUCAUGCAUAUAAGAAAUCAGCAAANNNNNNNNNNCCCGUACUAUCACUGGGAAAGGUCAGCACAUGGUAGAACCCAAAACCAAGCACUUAUCCCAUUGCCAAAAUCAUAGAUCUAGUUGGCCAAACAAAACCCAAGACUCNNNNNNNNNNNNNNNNNNNNNNNNNNNNNNNNNNNNNNNNNNNNNNNNNNNNNNNNNNNNNNNNNNNNNNNNNNNNNNNNNNNNNNNNNNNNNNNNNNNNCGAGUAUGUGAAAGCUCUUAAAGAAAACUAGUGGGUGUGCAUCCAACUUGCUUGCUCACGAAGACCUAAGGCAAUUUUGAGGAAGCCUAUCAUUGGANNNNNNNNNNNNNNNNNNNNNNNNNNNNNNNNNNNNNNNNNNNNNNNNNNNNNNNNNNNNNNNNNNNNNNNNNNNNNNNNNNNNNNNNNNNNNNNNNNNNNNNNNNNNNNNNNNNNNNNNNNNNNNNNNNNNNNNNNNNNNNNNNNNNNNNNNNNNNNNNNNNNNNNNNNNNNNNNNNNNNNNNNNNNNNNNNNNNNNNNNNNNNNNNNNNNNNNNNNNNNNNNNNNNNNGUGUUUUAUAUUAUUUUUUUGGUGGGCUCUUUGGCCUCUUUUUUUUGGUGGGCUUCUUUGGCCUCUUUUAUUUCCUCACAUGGGACAAUGNNNNNNNNNNUAAAUCAUGCAUAUAAGAAAUCAGCAAAGACUCAAAUAUAUAUAUCAUAGAUAAUCUGAUCACAAAUCCACAAUUCAUCGGAUCUUGACAAACACACCGCCAAAGAAGAUUACAUCAGAUAGAUCUCCAUGAAGAUCAUGGAGAACUUUGUAUUGAAGAUACAAGAGAGAGAAGAAGCAAUCUAGCUACUAACUACGGACCCGUAGGUCAGAAGUGAACUACUCAUGAGUCAUUGGAGGGGCGAUGAUGAUGAUGAAGAAGCCCUCCAACUCCAAAGUCCCCUCCGACAGGGUGCCGGGAAGGGUCUCCAGAUGAGAUCUCGCGGAAACGGAAGCUUGCGGCAGCGGAAAAGUAUUUUCGAGGCUCCCCUCAUUUUUUGCGGAAUAUUUGGGAAUAUAUAGGCCCAUGAUCUAGGCCAGGUGGCGGUCAGGGAGGCCACAAGCCUGCCCACCGCCGCUUCCCCCUGGUGGCGGAGUGGGGGCUUGUGGGCUCCCUGGAGCCCACCUGGCUUGGCCCAAGGGCCCCGUGAUCUUCUUCCGUUCGGGAAAAAAAUCAUUUCGGGGUUUUUCUUCCGUUUGGACUCCGUUCCAAAAUCAGAUCUGAAAAGAGUCAAAAACACGGAAAAAACAGGAACUGGCACUUGGCACUGAAUUAAUAAGUUAGUCCCAAAAAACAUAUAAAAGGUACAUAAAACAACCAAAGACGACAAGAGAACAGCGUGAAACCAUCAAAAAUUAUAGAUACGUUUGAGACGUAUCAAGCAUCCCCAAGCUUAACUCCUGCUCGUCCGCGAGUAGGGAAGUGAUAAAGAAUGAAUUAUUGAUGCUUUCAUGCUACCUAGCGAGGUGUCCUUUGUAAUUCCUCUUAUGUGACGCGAAUGUUCAGAUCCAUUAGAUUCAAAACAAUACUUUUCUAUUGACGUGGAAACAAUAAUAAUUCAAGCAAACUAGCAAGGUAAUCAUGAACUUUCAAAAUAACAAGGCCAAAAGAAAGUUAUCCCUACAAAAGCAUAUAGUCUGGCUAUGCUCUAUCAUCAUUGCACAACGAAUUUAAAUCAUGCACAACCCCGGUAUUGGCAAUGUAAUUGUUUCACACCUUUACUUUCUCAAACCUUUUCAACUCUCACGCAAUACAUGAGCGUUAGCCAUGGUUAUAGCACUAUAGAUGGUGUGGAAUGUAGUGGAGGUUGCAAGACAAAAAAGGAGAAGAUAAUCACAUUAACUAGGCAUAUCAAUGAGCUGUGGAGAUGCUCAUCAAUAGAUAUCAAUGUGAAUGAGUAGGGAUUGCCAUACAAAUGAUGCACUAGAGCUAUGAAAAUGUGAAAGCUCUUAAAGGAAACUAGUGGGUGUGCAUCCAACUGGCUUGCUCACGAAGACCUAAGGCAAUUUUGAGGAAGCCUAUCAUUGGAAUAUACAAGCCAAGUUACAUAAUGAAAAUUUCCCACUAGUUAUAUGGUGGUGACAAAACGAGAGACUCUCAAUCAUGAAGAUCAUGGUGCUUAAUAUGCACAAGUGUGGAAAAAGUGGUAGCAUUGUCCCUGCUCUCUUUUUCUCUCAUUUUCUUUUUAUUUUUUUGGUGGGCUCUUUGGCCUAUUUUUUUUAUUUUGGUGGGCUUCUUUGGCCUCUUUUAUUUCCUCACAUGGGACAAUGCUCCUGUAAUGAUGAUCAUCACACUUUCAACUCAAAACUUAGAGCAACUAUGACUCUAUAUGGAAUGCCUUCGGUAGUGUACCGUGGCAAUGAUCUAGCAUGGCAUAGACAUCAAUGGAAACAUCAUGCUAGCUAUCUUACGAUCAUGCAAUGGCAAUGUAGACAUGGUGGCACAUGUCAUGGCGGUAGUUGCAUGGCAAUAUAUCUCAGAAUGACUUUGAAAAAGCCAUAAUAGGUUGGUAUGGUGGCUGUUUUGAGGGAGGCUAAUGGUGGGUUUUGUACACCGGCGAAAGUUGCACGGCACUAAGAAGAUAGUGAUGGUGGAAGGUGAAAGUGCAUCUAAACCAUGGACUCAACAUUAGUCAUGAAGAACUCAUAUACUUGUUGCAAAAGUUUUAUUAGUAAUCGAAACAAAGCAUUCAACGCAUACUCCUAGGGGAAGGGUUGGUAGGUAUAAACCAUCGCGCGAUCCCGACCGCCAUGCAAAGGAUGAUAAUCAAUAUACUAAUCAUGCUCAGAUUUCAUCACAUAGAGGUUCACCAUACGAUGCAUGCUACGGGAAUCAGUAACUUCAACACAAGUAUUUCUAGAUCCACAACACCUUACUAGCAUGACUUCNNNNNNNNNNCGCAAAGGAUGACAAUCAAUAUACUAAUCGUGCUAAGAUUUCAUCACAUAGCGGUUCACCAUAAGUGCAUGCUACGGGAAUCACUAAAUUCAACACAAGUAUUUCUAGAUCCACAACACCUUACUAGCAUGACUUCAAUAUUACCAUAACCACAACUCAAAACUAAUUGAGAUGAAUCAAACUUCUCUAACUAUUCAAUGCACAUGAAGGUGGAAGUUUCCGUAUCCCUUUGGAUAACUACCCCUUUUGAUACUACUUUCAAAGCAUAGAUCAACUACCAUGCCACGCACUGCUAUGCUCGAAAAGAUAUAAGUGAAGCACAUAGAGCAAAAGUAUCUAGCUCAAAAGAUAUAAGUGAAGCACAUGUGAGCUGAAUUGUCUACCAAAAGAUAUAAGUGAAGCUCGACAAAAUCACGGUGNNNNNNNNNNUCGUAUCCCUUUGGAUAACUACCCCUUUUGAGACUACUUUCAAAGCAUAGAUCAACUACCAAGCCACGCACCGCUGUGCUCUAAAAGAUAAAAGUGAAGAACAUAGAGUAAAAGUAUCUAGCUCAAAAGAUAUAAGUGAAGCACAUGUGAGGUGAAUUGUCUACCAAAAGAUAUAAGUGAAGCUCGACAAAAUCACGGUGAGUGCAUGUCUCUCUCUCUAGGUGUGCAGAAAGGAUUAUUGUGACACAACAAAAAUAAAAGACUCCUACGAUAAAAGACGCUCCAAGCAAAAACACAUAACAUGUGGUGAAUAAAAAUAUAGCCCCAAGUAACGUUACCGAUGGAUUGAAGACGAGAGAGGGGAUGCCUUCGCGGGGCAUCCCCAAGCUUAGGCUUUUACGGCAUCCUUGAAUCUGUUGGGGUGCCUUGGGCAUCCCCAAGCUUGAGCUCUUGCCACUCUUUAUCUUUUUGUCCAUGAGAGCUUCACCCAAAACUUGAAAACUUCACAACACGAAACUUAAACAGAAACUCGUGAUAACAUUAGUACAAGAAAGCAACCUUAAAUUAUACUUGUGCUUAUGUUGGGUUACUGUACUUUCAAUCUUCAAUGGCUAAUACCCCCAUACUAUCCAUAGUUUCAUCAAAAUAAGCAACCAACACAAGAAAAACAGAAUCUGUUAACAGCAGACCAGUCUGUAGCAAUCUGUAUAUUUCGUAAACCUCUGGUACUUCAAAAAUUCGGAAAAAUUACGACAGUCUGAAGAAUUUGCAUAGAAAUCAGCAGCAAAAAUAAUCAACUCAAAAACUUUUACAAAAAAAAAA
rnacentral:lncRNA from 1 species